AGCAGUAUUGGUAACACUCAAUAUUCUGUAUAUAAUAGAAUAAAUAGCGUCACAGUGAUCGUCGCCUACAAGCAAGGUACAAAUACCACAAAGAGUGACCCACAUAGACAUUCCCCAACAAGAUGUAGUAGUGACUGACACAUAGCCACAAUUAACACGUAGAAAAGGAUAAGACCGGUGCACAGUAGCUCUUAUUUUACAUACUACUUAUGCCAACCAAAGUCACUCAGUUGGGAUGGGAGGGAGAUGGAGGUUUGUGCGGUGGCUUGUGGGGCGGAGUUGAUGGCUUCUUUCCAGGAGCUUCUGGCUUUUUCAUCGGAGCUGAAGGAGGCUCAAUCUUAUGAGGCGGCUUGUACGAGUCUUCUUUGCUCUCGAAAGGAGGGUGGCCAGGGUUGUGACCAUAAUGUGGUGGUUUCUCUCCCUUGGGAGGUUUACCAAUUGGGGUUGGUGGCUUGUGUUCUGGGAGUGGUUUCUCUCCCUUGGGAGGUUUAGUGGGUGACUUGUGUUCUGGAGGUGGCUUCUCCACCGAAGGCUUGUGCUCCGGUGGUGGCUUUUUGGUUGGAGGGGGCUUGGGGUAAUCAGCAAGAGAUGGGGUGGUGAGAACCACCAGUCCAAGGAACAACACUAGCAAGUAUGUGGGAGACAUUUUUGAGUUUGGGCUGAUCAGAUGAUGCAAAACUAAAGCAUUACGUGACCUUUUAUAGCAAGUAGCUCCCAAUACCUACUUGACACGUGUUACUGUGACCCAUAAAUAUUAUGGGGUCUAUUUGUGCCCUACCGGGUUGAAAACUUGGACAAUUGGGCAAGGACCCGCCUGACUAUGGAGGACUACUGAGGUGUGAUCACAGCUUUAGGAUUUUUCUUCCUCUGCAGCCGUCUUGCCGUUGGCAUGAUUUUCUUAAUCUCAAAUAAAGGCAUAGUUAUAGAGUUGUUUAAUCUCUAAAUGGGAUUUUAUAUAUCUUCAGAUAGCCAUUAAUACAUUUGAUGAAGAAAGAAAGACAAGUGCAUACAACAUGUAUACGACUAGCUUUCAUGGAGUUCAUUUAUGAUCAGUUUUCCUGUACAUGUAAACCAAGAUCAUAUAUGUUUUUGUUCCACAACAAUUUUGGAAUCUUGUUUAUCCGUUUUUAUCAUUAUAAUGUCACAUAGGCUGCCAACUUGGGCGCUAAAUUAAAGAUCCAGUUGGGCAAGUUCGUUUCAGAAUUUCAAUGGUGGAUUCAGGAAUUGUUUUAUAAGAUAUGCAAAAUAGUAGAGGGAUGAAUAGUGUUUCAUUAAGAAAAGAGCCCUGUAAAAAUAUUGUUUAAAGGUGCCAUAGAAACUAUAAUCAAUAAAUAACUUUUUUUCCCCAUGGGUGGUGUUUCUUGUGGGGAUCAGUGACUGGUUUGAGUCAACGCCGUGUCUCUUUAGUCCAGAAAUCAACUAUUUUAUGCAUUGAAUACAUCAACAAAGAAAAUAUGAAAGCCAAAUGACACCUCCCCCGCAAAAACUAAACCCUGGUUGCUAACUUUCUAUGUUUCAGUUCCAUUCACACAAGAAUAUUAGUUCAAGUUUGAGAAAAAUGGCGACUUACCUAGUGAUAACUCGGUCUUGGUUUGCGAUUUGACUUUAACGUCAUGGGUUGAAGCCUCCUACAAUCAUCGUGUAUGCUAGUUCAAAGCUCGUGGAAGAAGUUAUACAGGGAGGGAGAAACCUCCACAGCAAGCUCCAAAAGAGAAUUAUCACAUUGAAAGCUCCAGUUGAACACUGGGUGAAAGCCAUAACAAGAUUGGUUUUCUAUCGCUCUUUUAAGUAAUGGAAGAUUAUUAUCUCUGCUUGUCACUACAACCGUGCAUGCUGCUAGAUCUUUCUAGACACUUCAAACAGUGAAACCAAGUAUGAUUCUUUUUCUCUUGAGUGGGUCCACUUGCAUGCCAAUGAACGAGUUGAAAAGUUGGACAAUUGGCCACAGCGCGCACUUACCUUCUGGAACCGAAGGUCAGUGAAGUGGGGUUCCUUUUGGCCCCUUGUGUUUCUGUUCCAACCUACUCCAGGAACCGAAGUUCAGUGAAGUGGGGCUACUUUUGGCCUCUUGUGUUUCUGUUCCAACCAAACAAAAAUGGGAGGGAAAAAUAGCAUUAUGCUUGUGCUAAAGAUCAACGCAUGAUAGCUGAAUAAGGGAGAAAAAGGCAUUGCUAUCUCAAUUUCAUAAACUUGAUAAGUAGUGACAUUAAUAGUCUUCCUCAUAGAUGGAUACAUGGUUUUAUUUUAUUUAUUUAUUUUUAUUUUUUUGUUUUAUGUCAAUGCUAAUGAAUGAAGUGCAUUAGCUUGUUUUGUGACUAGAACUACAAAUGUCCAAAUUGGAGCUUCUCCAAUAUAUUUCUCAGUGAGUUAUUGAUUAGAACUCUUGGAUUGAGUUCCAAGAUUUGAAUCAGACCCCUCUAGCAGCUUCAGGGGUACGUAGCAACCUAUAGCAUAUUAAUGAAGACUUAGGAUUUAGACUUAGGAAUACAAAUUAAUAUGUACCUCAUGCUCUGACUAGCUUCCCUGCGUAUGCACAAAAUGGAGAUGACUCCCAAAAAAAUAGCAGAAUCGCCUUAGUAUGUUUUUGUGGUUAAGAUGAUUCUCCACUUUAUAUAUCCACAUUGGUUCAUUAUGCAAAUUAAUCAACUAAGCUAUUUUUAUUUUUUCUUAAAUGUGAAAUAGGAGCUCCAAAUUAACCUAACCAUUGGCCUGAUUGAAUUGAUUUCACUUGCAUAAUGUUAUAGUAGAAGUCCGUAAUUUGAAUUUUAUUUUUGCAAAAGGUAACGUAAAUGAAGCAUUGUAAUUAAAUUUAUUUGUAAUUACAAACUAAUUUUAUUUUAUUAAGAAUUAAUUUAAUUACUCAUUUAAAAUAAAAAUCAGUUAUACUUUUACCAAGAUGAUAAUAUUCAUAUUUUUCUAGUUAACAUAUAUAAAAUAGUACACUUUUUCAUAUAAAAAAAUAAUUUAUGAUUUAUUAUAAUGUUACUAUUCACAUUUUACUAAAUUGAUGGUACAUGAUAGUGAGAGAAGGGGGUGUCACACUCAGCUAAAGUUCUUUUCAAAAUAUUGCAUGGUGUUUAAUUUUAUGUGUCGGCGCGCGUGUGAAUGGAACCUGCAAAAGUCCAAAUUGGCGUUUCUCCAUUUUCCACAUAGGAUGGUGACGUUAAUAGACAAAGAUACAAUAUCUGUAGACAUUGCUUAAAAAUCGAUGUGAAGUAUUAGAAAUUACAGGGCACUGUACUGGGGGAGCGGCUGCCCCGCCAAAGGAGGAAGAAUGUAGCAAUUUCUUCUGUUAGCCAGGCCUUAGGAUUUAUGCAUGGGAUGCCUAAUAACAAACAGAGAAAAUAUACUUUUGGGGAAGGUAUCCAACAACAGACACCAUCAUUCAGAUGGUGGGAAGGUAUCCAACAGAUGCCAUCAUUCAGAUGGUAACAUAUAUAUACAUUUAUUAGUGAGUUUUUUUAAUACCUAUAAAAAAAAAUAUACACUUUGAUAUUGUGGCUGAAUCCAUUACAUACUCAACUAACCUUGCUCAUUAGGGAUUUGACUUAACAAGGGCAACGUUGCAGUACAAGCUCAAAACUUUAUGCAGGUGACAUUACAUUUGGUAAAGAAGAGGAAAAUAACGAAAGCCAUCCAUAAAAGCAAAAUUCCACAUGGGAUGAAAUUCACAAGCUUCAUUUACGAUAGAGUCGCAUCCAGGCAAUUAAUUCCACAUUAGACCGCCUGUUGACAUGUGUACCAAUCUUUUUUCAAAAAAUAUUUAUAAAUAAUUGAUACUCACAAAAAUAAUUUAAUAUUUAUAAAGGAUAAAAAAAUAUUUUCAAAUCUAUAACAAUUUAUAAAAUAUUAAUAAAAAAUUAUCUCUUAAACUUAGUAUAGUUUUAUCAGAUUAAACUUUUAUUUUGAACAAAUAAUUUUAAUCUAAGUUUUAAAUUCUAAAAUUAUUUCCUUAAAAUAAAAUUUUAAAAUUCAACACUUCAAUUGAAAUUGUCUUUUUAAAAAAUAUCUUCUUAUUUUAAUCCUUAUAAACUAUAGUUGAUUGAAAAUACUAUUGAAGUUCUCUCUUAAAAAAAAGUCUUAUUUUAAUCUUCAUAAAUUGCCCUUGAUUUGAAAAUAAAUUUUCAGUUAUCAUAUUUUAAAUAAUAUCUAUAUUUAAAAUACUCUAUUUAAAAAAAAAUGAACUAAUUUUAAUUAUAUUAUAUUUUAUUUUUUUAUAUAUUUUUAAUGAUAAACCAAACAUAGAAAAUCAUUUUUCUAAAUAUUUUAAAAUUUCUAAGCAACCAAACAUAAUCUUCAAAAUAAAAGGAAAAUAAGGAGGGACAUUUGAGAAAUGGCGAUUAAAAAAAAGUGUACAAAAGCUCAAUUAAUUUUCUUCUAGUCUUUUAUAUAAAAAAGUAAAGGAAUUGAAAAGUAUUGAUAUGUAAAUUAAUAUUUGGAUUUUAAUAGUAUUUUAUUUGUCUUUCUCUAUCUCAUGUAAAAGAGAAUUUAAGAUAUUUCCUAAAGCAAAGCAUUAGUUAUCUGCAAUCAGUGGUGAUCAUGCCCCAUGUCAAUUUCGGACCCAUAUCUUAAAACUGUAUAAUUUGCAUUCAAACAUUACUGAUUUCUCAGAUGUUUCAUACUCCACAGAAGAGCAUUGUUUGUGAAAGCAUGCAUUUAUGUUGGAUUUUGGAUGAUGUGGGAACUGGGGCAAGGAUCAUAUGGAAGAGUGGUCGAUUUUGUUCUGUACUUUAACAUUUGAAAUAGGAGAAGCUCGGGCAUUUGUGGGGCUUAAUUGAUUUUGAAGCCUGAAAUUGCGUUUCUGUCAUUUUGUAAAAAAUAUGGCAGAUUCCAUGCUCUCAUAUGUUUGGUCUGUGGCCAUGUAUAGAUGCCCCUUAGUGACCAGUUUGUAACUGUCAAUCAUAGUGUUUUGACUCUGGCUCAACAACAUCAGCCAUUGACGGAUUUUCAUACUUGCAAAUCAAAUAGUCUUCUUCCUCCCUUAGGAAUUUCGGUUUAAAUGUUAUUAAGCAUACAUUUGGCUGACAAUUAUUAACCACUUCAUGAUAUGGUUUCUUACCCUUAAUCAAUGGUUUCUAAGUGAAUAUAUGCAGAAGGAAAUCUGAACUGUAGACAGCAGUAUUGAUAACUCUCAAUAUUCUUUAUAUAAGAGAAUAAACAACGUCAUAGUGAUCGUCGCCUACAAGAAAGGUACAUUUCCCAACAAGAUGUAGUUGUGACUGGUACAUGGACGCAAUUAACUCGUACAAAAGAAUAAGACCAGUGCACGGCAGCUCUUAUUUUACAUGCUAAUUAUGCUAACCAAAGUCACUCAGUUGGGAUGGGAGGGAGAUGGAGGUUUGUGCGGUGGCUUGUGGGGCGGAGUUGGUGGCUUCUUUUCAGGAGCUUGUGGCUUUUUCGGAGCUGAAGGAGGCUCAAUCUUAUGAGGCGGCUUGUACGAGUCUUCUUUACUCUCGACAGGAGGGUGGCCAGGGUUGUGACCAUAAUGUGGUGGCUUCUCUCCCUUAGGUGGCUUGCCAACUGGGGUUGGUGGCUUGUGUUCAGGAAGUGGUUUCUCUCCCUUGGGAGGUUUACCAAUUGGGGUUGGUGGCUUGUGUUCUGGGAGUGGUUUCUCUCCCUUGGGAGGUUUAGUGGGUGACUUGUGUUCUGGAGGUGGCUUCUCCACCGGAGGCUUGUGCUCCGGUGGUGGCUUCUCCACCGGAGGCUUGUGCUCCGGUGGUGGCUUCUUGAUUGGAGGGGGCUUGGGGUAAUCAGCAAGAGAUGGGAUGGUGAGAACCACCACUCCAAGGAACAACACUAGCAAGUAUGUGGGAGACAUUUCUGAGUUUGAGCUGAUCAGAUGAUGCAAAACUAGAAGAAUUACGGGACCUUUUAUAGCAAGUAUCUCCCAAUACCCACAUGACACGUGUUACUAUGACCAUAAAUAUUAUAGGGUCCAUUUGUGCCCUACCGGGUUGAAAACUUGGACGCUUGGCCGAGGACACACCUGACUAUGGAGGACUAUUGACGUGUGAUCACAGCUUUUGGAUUUUUCUUCCUGUGCAGCUGUCUAGCGGUUGGCAUUAUUUUCUUAAUCUUAAAUAAAGGCAUAGUUAUAGAGUUGUUUAAUCUCUAAAUGGGAUUUUAUAUAUCUUCAGAUAGCCAUUAAUAUAUUUGAUGAAGAAAGACAAGUGCAUACAACAUGUAUACGGCUUGCUUCAAUCGAGUACAUUUAUGAUCAGUUUUCCUGUGCAAGUAAACCAGUUUUUUGUUCCACAACUAUUUUGGAAUCUUGUUUAUCAGUUUCUAUCAUUAUAAUGUCACAUAGGCUGCAAACUUGGGCACCCAAAGAUCUAGGUGGGCAAAUUUGUUUCAGACUUUCAAUGGUGGAUUCAGUAAUUGUUAAAAGGUGUUUCUUCAUUAAGGAAAGAGUCCGGUAAAAAUAUUGUUAAAAGGUGUCAUAGAAACUAUAAUAAAUAAAUAACUUCUUUUCCCCAUGGGUGGUGUUUCUUCUGGGGAUCAGUGACUGGUUAGGGUCACCCAAAAUGAGUCCAGAUUAAAAUUGGUUCGAGUCAAAGCAGUCUCUUUUGUCCAGAAAUCAACUAUUUUGCGCAUUGAAUGAAUCGAUAAAGAAAAAAUGAAAGCCAAAUCACACCUCCCCUGCAAAACCUAAACCCCGGUUGCUAACUUUCUAUGUUUCAGUCCUAUUCAUAUAGGAAUAUUGGUUCAAGUUUGAGAAAAAUGGCAACUUACCUAGGGUUUACUUGGUUUUGGUUUGCGACUAUUUACGCAACCAACCAUGAGUUUGACUUUAACGUCAUGGGUUGAAGCCUCCUACAAUCAUGUAUGAUAGUUCAAAGCUCGUGGAAGAAAUUAUACAGGAAGGAAGAAACCUCCAAAGCUAGCUCCAAAAGAGAAUUAUCACAUCGAUAGCUCCAGAGAUUCCCAAGGGAACUGAAUCAAAGACAAGUUCCUCACUUUUUCUUCUUUUGAGGCCAAAUAUGAACCAAGGAUCACACGACCUCAUUCAACUUCAUAAGUUUGAUUUCAUGCAGUUGAACACUGGGUGAAGGCCAUGACAAGAAUUGAUUAAAAAAUUCUACCACUCUUUUAAGUAAUGGAAGAUUAUUAUCUCUGAUUGGCACCACAACAGCACAUGCUGCUAGAUCUUUCUAGACACUCCAUGCAAUGAAAGCACAAUGGAUCUUGUAAUGAUAGAAACUAAGCCAUGCUACAGUACUAGAUGAGGGGGUAAAACUAGUAGACAUCUUUCUAGACACUCCAUGCAAUGAAAGCACAAUGGAUCUUGUAAUGAUAGAAACUAAGCCAUGCUACAGUACUAGAUGAGGUGGUAAAACUAGUAGACAUGGCUGGCAGUUGAUUACUACUCAAAAAGUACUCUUUUAUAGCUUGAAACUAACUGUUUUAAACACUUUUGAGUAGUAGUUAAUACCUUUUAACUUAAUUGGCACAUUAAGGAACCUAGCAAGGGUUACUAAUCAACAUUUGGCAAGUUUUGAUGUUUUUGGUAGCUAUUUGAUCAUUGAAACAAGCCAAGAAUGAGGGGGAAUUUUGUGAAGUCCAUGGCAAUGCAAGUUAAAGCUCAAAUACAUGAAGAAUCCAAGCUUUGGAGCACUUCAUAGCCCUUUGCCAAGCCAAUCAAAGAUGCAAGGAAGAAAACCAAAGGAAGAAAUCCAACAAUCAGCAUUUUGGCAUGGCUAUGUGAAAUUUCGCACACCAUGCGAAACCACAAGAGGCAGCCAAAGAAUUUCGCAUGGUAUGCGAAAUCUUCUUGUGCACUGACUCUGUUAGAUUUUUAUCUUCAGAUAUUUUGUGUAAUUUCCUAGUUUCUCCUUGUAACCAACUUAGAUAUUUUCUUUUAUAUCUUUUUUUAUAUUUUUUAGGUAACAUCAUAUAUAAGAGGAGAGACAUAAGGAGGAUAUGGAUGUUUUUCAUAGAACACUUGUAAAUUUUUGGUAGUAAGAAAUAUACAAAGCUUUUUGCUCUGCCUUACCUUCUCAAGGGAUGAGUGGCUAGGUUUUCUUGGAGUGAGGGAAGCUAGGUGAAGGACCUGAAUGCAAAGGUGGGAGUUUUCCUUACUUUAAAUGAAAGUAGUUGUUAAACAUUAAUGGUUUUUAUUUUAAGGUUUAGCUUUAAAUCCCUGAAAAACACCUUGAAUGGCCAAUACUUGGUAAGCUUUUUAGAUUCUAUGGAUGCUUAUUGCUAGAUCCAUGGAUGUCUAUUAGUUAUCAUUUACGAGCCAUUGGAAGGUGAUUCAAGGUGAGGGUCUUUAGUGUUUGAAGCCAUUAAUGGGAAGCAAUUACCAUUUUUUCAUGAAUCCUUUGGAUCAAAUCUUAAUUGCUAAAUAUAAAACCGGUUUCGAGAGAUAACCACCAUCCUUUAUGUUAUUAUCCCCAACGCGAGGAGAAGAUCCGAAAUCUUCCUUUUUAUCUAAGGAACCCGAUCCUAGUGACCUAAAGCUCCAAGAUACCUUUUCUUUGUAGUUAACUUCAUUUAUUGUUUUUGCUUAACUUAAAAUCAAUCUUUGCAACCACAAUUCCAUUUUCUUUAAAAGCUAAUUUUUAUAAGGAAAAACACCAUUUUAUUUCCUUCACUAAGUCAACUGUACGAUGAAAACCCAUCCCUGUGGACGAUCCUAGAGCCACUAUACUAUGUUAGCUAUGCUACCCUAGUGUGAGGUGAUUUAGGUUUUAUAAAUUUUUUUGAUAACACCCAUCUGAGCCAGAAUCAAAUGGCACGACUGAACCAGGGACGAAUCAAAUGACGCCGCUACCAAGGAUGGUGCCAAAGUACAUUGACAUGACUUUUGGUGAACACUUGUGAUCUUCACCACAAGUUUGGUGAUUUUUCUUUUACUAAUUUUUUUUAUUUUAGCUUAUCUUUUAUUUAGUUUUUAGUUAACCUUAAAUUUUUCCUAGAAUUGUAUUUCUUUUGUUUUCUUUGUUUUUGUUUCAGUGAUCUUUAGUUGUGCAUGCCCUAUUGGAUAAGAGAUAUUGAGGGAAUACUUGUGAAGAUUGAAACUCCUCGAGAAACUGAGUUAGAAGUGUGCUUGAACAUCAUGGAUGUUCCACCUGAAGACCAGAAUAGCCAACAUGGUUAAGAGGAUAAUUUCAACACAUACCGAUCCAUGAGGAACCGCAUACAUCCACCUUGUAUGAGUGCACCGUCAGGCAUAAUGCCUCCCACUGAGCAGCUAGUAAUCUGACCUCACAUUGUGCCACUCCUACCUACUUUCCAUGGGAUGGAGAGUGAGAAUCCCUACUCGCAUAUUAAGGAAUUCGAGGAGGUUUGUAAUACAUUCCAAGAAGGAGGAGCUUCAAUUGACUUGAUGAGGCUCAAGCUAUUUCCUUUCACUUUGAAGGAUAAGGCCAAGAUUUGGCUUAAUUCUUUAAGGCCAAGAAGUAUCCAAACUUGGAUUGAUUUGUAAGCCGAGUUUCUUAAGAAGUUCUUCCCUACCCAUAGGACCAAUGGUUUGAAAAGGCAAAAUUUGAACUUCUCAGUUAAAGAGAAUGAGAAAUUCUAUGAGUGUUGGGAGAGCUACAUGGAAGCUAUUAACGUUUGUCCUCACCAUGGCUUUGACACAUGGCUCUUAGUGAGCUAUUUUUACAAUGGUAUGUCUUCUUCAAUGAAGCAACUCCUAGAAACUAUGUGUGGAGGAGACUUCAUGAGUAAGAAUCCGGAGGAAGCCAUGGACUUUUUGAGUUAUGUGGCUGAAGUUUCAAGAGGAUGGGAUGAACCAAAUGCUAGAGAGGUGGGAAGAAUGAAGUCUCAACCUAAUGCUAAGGGUGAGAUGUAUGUUUUGAAUGAAGACAUUGACAUGAAAGCAAAGGUUGCAGCUAUGGCAAGGAGAUUGGAAGAGCUAGAAAUGAAGAACAUACAAAAAGUGCAAGCCAUUUCUGAGACAUCAAUGAAAGCUAUGCCUUGUUCCAUUUGUCAAUCUUAUAAGCACCUAGUGGAGGAGUGUCCUACAAUUCCAGCAGUGAGAGAGAUGUUUGGUGAUCAAGCAAAUGUUAUUGAUCAAUUCAAGCCUAAUAACAAUGCUUCAUAUGGCAACACCUACAAUUCAAAUUGGAGGAACCAUUCAAAUUUCUCUUGGAAACGAAAGCCACCUCAAUACACACAACCUACUCAAGCACCUUAGCAAUCCUCGAAUCUUGAACAAGCUAUUGUGAACCUUAGCAAGGUUGUGGGAGACUUUGUGGGAGAUCAGAAGUCCAUCAAUGCUCAACUGAAUCGGAGAAUUGACAGUGUGGAGAGUACAUUGAACAAAAGGAUGGAUGAGAUGUAAAAUGAUCUGUCUCAAAAGAUAGACAAUGUCCAAUACGUAAUCUCAAGGCUUACCAACCUCAACACAGUGUAAGAGAAAGGAAAGUUUCCUUCUCAACCUCAUCAAAAUCCUAAGGGUAUCCAUGAAGUAGAGGCUCAAGAGGGAGAAUCUUCAAAGGUGAGGGAAGUCAAAGUAGUUAUCACCUUGAAGAGUGGUAAAGAGGUUGAUCAACCCACAUCCAAGCCAAAGCAUAAUGAAGAGAGUGUAGCAGAAAAAGAAAAGAGAGGAAAAUAAAGGAAUUAGAAUAGAGAAAAAUACAAAGAAAGAUGACCAUGAGUCUAGUGUGGAUGAAGAGCCCGAGAGGAUGGUGAUCAAGGAAGAUAUGAUGAAGAAACACAUGCCUCCACCUUUCCCCUAAGCUUUGCAUGACAAAAAAAGAACCAAUAAUACAUCAGAAAAUUUUGAAGUAUUGAGGCAAGUGAAGGUCAAUAUCCCUUUGCUAGACAUGAUCAAACAAGUGUCGACAUAUGAAAAAUUCUUGAAGGACUUGUGCACUGUAAAGAGAGGGUUGAAUGUGAACAAGAAAGCUUUAUUGACCGAGCAAGUGAGUUCCAUCAUACAGUGCAAGUCCUAGUGAAGUACAAAGAUCCGGGUUGCCGUACCAUCUCAGUGAGUAUUGGAAGGACUUGUGUGGAGAAAGCUUUGUUGGACUUGGGAGCAAGUGUGAAUUUGCUAUCCUACUCUGUCUAUAAGCAGUUGGGAUUUGGAGAGUUGAAGCCAAUAUCCAUCACUCUAUCUCUAGCGGAUAGAUCAAUGAAGAUUCCAAGAGGGAUGAUCGAAGAUGUCCUGGUUCAAGUUAACAAAUUCUACUAUCCAGUAGAUUUUGUUGUUCUUGAUAUGGAUCCGGUUGUCAAAUGAACUAAUUAUGUUCCUAUCAUACUUGGAAGACCCUUCCUAGCUACAUCAAAUGCAAUCAUCAAUUGUAGGAAUGGAGUCAUGCAACUCACAUUUGUCAACAUGACAUUAGAGCUCAACAUCUUCCAUUUGUACAAGAAGCAUAUCCAUCAGGAGGAAAAAGAAGGUCUAGAGGAAGUGUGAAUGAUUGACACUUUAGUGGAAGAGCAUUGUGAUCGAGAAUGCAAAAAGAUUUAGUUGAGAAUUUUGGGGAUCUUGAUGAAAGGUUACUUGAACCCUCAGAUUUGCUUGCUACCCUACUCCAUUGGAAGAGAAGAGAAGAAAUUCUACCCUUAUUCAAUGAGGAGGAGACGCAAAGAGCUGCAAAGGAGAAACCCCCAAAACUUAUUCUUAAGCCACUACCCACAGAGUUGAAGUAUGUAUACUUGGAAGAAGACAAGAAGUGCCCUAUUGUUAUAUCUUCAACUCUUACCAUUCAUCAGGAGGAUUGUCUACUUGAAGUCCUUAGAAGAUGUAAGAAGACAAUAAGGUGGCUAAUUUCUUAUUUGAAAGGGAUCAGCCCUUUAGUCUGCACCCAUCAUAUUUACAUGGAGGAUGAAGCUAAGCUAAUUCAUCAACCUCAGAGAAGGUUGAACCCUCACAUGCAAGAGGUGGUUCGAGCUGAAGUUCUGAAGCUACUUCAGACCAGUAUUAUUUACCCCAUAUCAAAUAGCCCAUGGGUGAGUCCUACUCAAGUUGCGCCAAAGAAGUCUGGGAUCAUGGUGGUGCAAAAUGAUAAGGGAGAAGAUGUCUCUACACGCCUCACUACAGGUUGGAGGGUGUGUAUCAAUUACAGGAGGUUGAAUGCAGUGAUAAGAAAGGACCAUUUCUCAUUGCCCUUUAUUGAUCAGGUGCUUGAGAGGGUCUCUGGGCUUUUUUUUUUAUUGUUUCUUGGAUGGCUACUCCGGGUACUUUCAGAUAGAAAUUGAUGUUGAAAACCAAGAUAAGACCAUUUUCACAUGCCCAUUUGGAACCUAUGCAUAAAGGAGAAUGCCUUUCGGCUUAUGCAAUGCACCCGCAACUUUCCAAAGAUGCAUGUUAAGCAUUUUCAGUGAUAUGGUGGAGCGUAUUAUGGAAGUCUUUAUGGAUGAUAUCACCAUUUAUGGAAGUGCAUUUGAUGAAUGCUUGGUCAACUUAGAAGCUGUUCUGAACCGAUACAUUGAGAAAGACUUAGUGCUUAACUGGGAGAAGUGCCAUUUCAUGGUACACCAAGGGAUUGUCCUUGGGCACAUUAUCUCCAAGCAAGGCAUUGAAGUUGACAAAGCAAAGGUUGAACUCAUUGUUAAGUUGCCAUCCUCAACAAAUGUCAAAGGAGUAAGGCAAUUCUUUGGCCAUGUCGGGUUCUAUAGGAGGUUUAUCAAGGAUUUCUCUAAGCUUGCAAGGCCUCUUUGUGAAAUAUUGGUGAAUGAUGUUAAAUUCAUAUGGGAUGAUGGAUUUGAAAGGAGUUUUGAAGAAUUGAAGCUAUUUUUGACAACCGUACCAAUAGUGAGGGCUCCCAACUGGCAACUGCCCUUUGAAGUAAUGUGUGAUGUCAAUGAUUUUGCUAUAGGAUUUUUUCUUGGGCAAAGAGAAAAUGGAAAACCUUAUGUGAUCUACUAUGCGAGGAAGGCAUUGAAUGAGGCACAAAGAAACUACACAACCACCGAGAAAGAAUUGUUAGCUGUAGUUUUUGCCUUGGAUAAGUUUCGCGCUUACUUGGUGGGGUCCUUCAUCAUGGUUUUUACUGAUCACUUUGCUUUGAAGUAUCUGUUGACUAAGCAAGAUGCUAAAGCAAGGCUGAUUAGAUGGAUUCUCUUACUUCAAGAGUUCAAUCUCCAUAUCAAAGAUAAGAAAGGAGUGGAGAAUGUGGUAGCAGACCACAUUUCAAGGCUAGCUAUCGCACAUAAUUCCCAUGCUUUGCCCAUUAAUGACGAUUUUCUAGAGGGGUCUCUCAUGUUGGUGGAAGUUGUCCCUUGGUACGCUCACAUUGCUAACUACCUGGUCACGGGAAAAGUUCCAAGUGAGUGGAAAGCACAAGAUAAGAAGCACUUCUUUGCAAAAAUUCAUGCCUACUAUUGGGAAGAGCCAUUUCUAUUCAAGUAUUGUAUGGAUCAGAUAAUAAGGAAGUGCGUUCCUGAAGAAGAGCAACAGGGGAUCCUUAGUCAUUACCAUGAAAAUGCAUGUGGAGGCCACUUUGCUUAUCAAAAGACAGCCAUGAGGGUGUUGCAAUCGGGUUUCUGUUGGCCAUCACUUUUCAAAGAUGCCCACACCAUGUGCAAGAGUUGUGAUCGAUGCCAGAGGCUUGGGAAGUUGACACGCAGGAACAUGAUGCCUUUGAACCCCACUUUAAUAGUUGAUAUUUUUUAUGUUUGGGGCACUAACUUCAUGGGACCUUUCCCUAUGUCUUUUGGCUACUCUUACAUCUUGGUAGGAGUAGAUUAUGUUUCUAAGUGGGUUGAGGCAGUCCCAUGCAAACACAAUGACCAUAGAGUGGUUCUCAAGUUUCUUAAAGAGAAUAUCUUCUCAAGAUUUGGGGUGCCCAAAGCCAUAAUUAGUGAUGGGGGUACUCAUUUUUGCAACAAGCCUUUUGAAACUCUCCUAGCCAAGUAUGGGGUGAAGCAUAAGGUAGCUACACCUUACCACCCUCAAACUCAUGGACAAGUUGAGUUAGCAAACAGGGAGAUUAAAAACAUAUUGAUGAAGGUGGUGAACACAAACAGAAAAGAUUGGUCAGUCAAGCUUCUUAAUUCACUAUGGGCAUAUAGAACAACUUACAAGACCAUUCUCGGGAUGUCUCCUUAUCGCCUAGUUUAUGGCAAAGCAUGCCAUCUCCCUGUGGAAUUGGAAUACAAAGCUUGGUGGGCAAUCAAGAAGCUCAACAUGGAUUUGAGCAGAGCUGGGUUGAAGAGGUUCUUAGACCUUAAUGAGAUGGAGAAAUUGAGAAAUGAUGCCUACAUCAAUUCAAAAAUUGCAAAAGAAAAAUUGAAGAGGUGGCAUGAUCAGUUGAUUUCCCGCAAGGAUUUUCAAAAUGGACAAAGAGUCUUACUUUAUGACUCUAAACUCCACAUCUUUCCGGGCAAGCUGAAAUCAAGGUGGAUAGGUCAUUUUACCAUUCACCAAGUGCAUUCAAAUGGAGUAGUGGAACUACUCAACUCCAACAAUAUCGAGAACUUCAAAGUGAAUGGCCACCGUCUCAAGCCCUUUGUGGAGUCUUUUUCUCACAACAAGGAGAAAUUCAUCCUCCUUGAUCCACAUCAAGCUUAACAAGACCAAUUUUCUUGAUGGACUUAGUCUUUCUAAAGACUAUCGAGUCCAUAACUUUUUGUUUUAUUUUUUAUUUGAGAUUUUUUCGGUAUUGUUACUUGUUUUGUUUUUUAUUUUUCGUUUUAAUUUUAUUUGGUUUGAUUUAACUUAGGUUUUUGAUGAUCAAUUACAGGGGGGAUUUCAAAUAGAGGAAAAACCAAGAUAAUUCGCACACCCUACGAAAAUUUCGCAAGGCAUGCGAAAUUUAUGGCUUAUUUUGCAUGGGGUGAAAAUUUUCGUACAUCUUACGAACCAAUUUCGAACACUUUGCGAAAAUAAACCAACCCUGCGAAAUCAUUUCGAUUACUCUACGAAAUUUUCGUAGAGCAUGCGAAAAAUUUAGCACACCAAACACCAUUUCGCAUACUAUGCAAAAACCUAAGGGGUCUGCGAAACCAUUUCGCACCUCCAAAUCCAUUUCGCACAUUGUGCGAAAACCAAGAGGCGCUGUGCGAAAAUGAAAAGUCGCCCUGUCAUCCCUUUUUAAACCCCUCGAGCCCUAAAAUCUCCAUUUCGCAAGCACCCCUGUCCUUGCGAAUCCCUCAUUUUCCUCUACUACCUUGCAACCUCGUCCCUUUCCAUUUGAUAUUGUGCCCCGCGCACAUCUCAUUUCAGAGACUCGCACUCCGCGCCCCCUCAAAGCAUGGACUCGAGACCCACCUUCCAUUUCCGACGUGGCACGGACCCAAGGAGCCCUUUCUGCCCCUUCACUAAGACACACACCAAGGCAGAAAGCCUCCUUUGCUCAAGUGCCUAGUGAUUCUCCAUCUUAGGCCUCAGAGGCCUCGGAGGCCCCGUGGAUUCCACCUUCCGAGGGUAGAGCAGCCAUUGGUCCUUCCUCUUCUACUCCUUAGCGUAGAUACGAGACGAGGAGACCACCUACUACACAAGGGGCGACUACUUCGAGCCUUGAGAAUUCAGUACGAUGCCUUCCUGCCAAGAGGGUCAAGACUUCAGGUCCAAGUGAGUCAUCCAGAGCUUCAUAGCCUAAGCCUCCUGUAGAUUCCAAGGUUCCUACUGACAUAUCACCGGAGUCUAUUAUCAGAAGCCCGAUGCUCAUAGCACCGCCCAUUGAGGGCAACUCAGAUUAUAGAGCGAGAUCUUUCCACUUGGAGCUAUAUUUUGAUCAGGAGGCCAUACGACAGCAGCCUGAGCUCCGAGACUCUUAUGGCUUACUGCAGAGGUACCAUCUUGAGGAACUUAUGACUCCUCGUGAGUUUUUUUAUCCCAGAGUAGCACUAAACUUUUACCAGUCCAUGACUACUCGUGGCGUCCCGAGUCCUACCACGAUUCACUUCACCAUUGAUAGACGUCAUGGUAUCCUCAAGGCCAGACAUAUUACAGAGGCUCUACAAAUUCCUUUCGAGCUAGAGGAUCCAUCUGUUUUUCGCUAAUGGUCCCCAGUAUCUCAGAGGGACAUGGUCCGUAUUUUAUCUAGGGGAACAUCUACAGAUUCGAUCUUUCUACGGAAGGAGCUUCGACCUGGGAUGCUCCUCUUAGAUGUGGUGCUAUGCUCCAACCUCUUUCCCUUACAACAUUCGGUACAUAGGUGAUGAGCUAUUUUGGACGCUUUAUUCCGUAUAUCAGAGGGCUUCUACUUUGGCCCGCACCACUUGAUCAUGGUCUCCCUCAUCCACUUUGAGGAGAAGGUUCAUAGGAAGAAGCUUCAGAGGGUGGACACCAUUCCAUUACUAUUCCUGAGGUUACUUUGCCAGGUCUUGGAGUACAUGGGCUUUCCUACUGAGCCUCGGCUCGAGCUUUGCCGCCUUUGUCGAGAGUGAUCCACUCUCGACAAAUGGAAUUAGUUGGCGGGCUAUUCUGCACCUCCAGGAGCCCCUCCCAUGGUAGCACCUCCAAUGUCCCCACAGGCAAAGUAGGGCGAGCUCCCGGCAAAGACUGUACCACCAAUGCCCACACUUGAGGCUAUUUCUGCUGCUCUGCCUAUGACUCCUACUGUUCCACCAGUUGGUCCUUUUACAUCCGAGCCUUCCAUCACCAUCUCGGCUUCGGAGUUUCGCGCCCUUGUGCAUACCUUUCAGACACUCACCACCACACAUACUCCUCUCUUCUAGCAAAUGGUUGAGAUGUGUGCCCAUCAGGACCGGAAGACUACUAUACUCUGCCAAAUUCAGCAGCACCUAAGACUUUUGCCUCAACCUCAACCUAACCAUCCCAUAUCAUCAGAGCCUCUAGCUCCAACUGAGGAUACUAUUCCACCUGAGAACACUACCACAGUAGAGGUCCGGUUUCCACCACCUUAAGAGGCCACCACAGCUACAUCAGAGGAUGUGUCAUCUCCACUUGAGGCUCCCACUACUUGAUCAUAGGACAUAUCUUUAUCUUAUUGUAUUUACAUAUUAUAUUACUAGAGAUUUGUCCUUGUUUUGAUACUUUAUAUUCUGGGAUUGGAUGUAUUGCCUGAUGAUAUCUCAAUUGUACUUUCUCAUAUUAAUAUAUAGACAUCAAUUUUUUUUAGUAUACUUAGCAUUUUUCUAUUUCCUCUACUCAUUACUCUUUUGUUUUUUUUUACUCAUGUGGUUUCUCUUAUACAACUCAGACUCCAUUUCACUCAGGAGGUACCACUUCCUCCCUUUAUUUUCAAUUGCUCUUGAAAUAUUGAGUGCAAUGUUGAUCUUGGUUGGGGGGAGAGUUGAGGAAGGAAGUUUUGUUAAUAAUGCUAGGUUAAUUUGUUAAUUUAGUUACUUUCUGCUUAAUUUUAAAAGUUUUCACUCUACUUUCCAUGGUUAUUAAGGAAAAAUUCUCAAAAUGAAAUGGGAGAAAUCGAAUUCUUGCAUUUUUACUUGAAUCUUAGAAUUUGUAUCAUGCUUAUUAAAGUUGAUGAAUUAUUGAAACUCCUAUUGAAUUCAACCUUAUUUUUUCCACUUUAAUCUUACCACACACGGUGCACAUUAGGUUCCAGUUAUAAGAUAAAAAACUAUCUCACCCCCUAAACUUAGAAAAAUUUACACUUGGUACCUUUGACAUCGUUUUAAUAGUGUUGGGACACCUUAUAAAAGGCCAAUGAGCCUUUAAAAAAAAAAAAAAAAAAAAAAAGAGAAAGAACAAAGUAUUGCACUUGCCUUGAAACCUGAGCAAGAUCCGAGGGGUAUACAGUGAAAGUCUUUAAAACCUGGUGCCCUAAGCCUUGAUUGGUUGGGAGUCACCGACCUCAAUGCUCGUUAUAAGGGUGAAUAGGUGGAGUUUAACAUAUUGUAGGUGCUUGGGUAUUGAAUUUCAAUCUCAAAAGUCCGGGAAAAAAUCUAAGGAGUUAGUGGUCAAAAGAUCCUUAAAGCUUGAUGCCCUAAACCUUGAUUGGUUGAGAGUCAUUGAUGGAUCCCCGCUACAUGGACAUUUUAGAAAACAAUACCUUUAGCAUUGCACGCCUACAAUGAAAAAAAAAUGUGAAAUAAAAGAGGUGCGUUCUUAGCCUAUUGGAGGUUGGUCAGUUUGCUAAAGUUUGAGAAAUCUAGGUUGGGGGGAGAGAAUAGUCCGACAUACUAUAAUAAAAAACUAAUAACCUUAACACUUAGAUUUUUGUGGAAGAGUAAGGAUUGGACCUUUAGGGGUGGAAAUUCUUUUGAUGCUUAAAUUUGCAUAAUGCCUACUCUUUAUAAAUUAUGAUUAGGCAAGAGAUUUGAUGACUCUUGUUCAAAGUUGGGUUUUUCCUCUUUGAUGUUCCAUGAGAGAGUAUAAUCCUCAUCAUGCCACUUGAAAUCUUUUUGGAGUGAUUAACAUGAUUUUGUAAAUUAUUUUACUGUCUAUUUUUCUUUAUCUCUCUUUUAUUGCUAAUGGACUAGCAAUAUGUCAGUUGGGGGGAGUGAUUACUACUCAAAAAGUACUCUUUUAUAGCUUGAAACUAACUGUUUUAAACACUUUUGAGUAGGUGUUAAUACAUUUUAACUCAAUUGGCACAUUAAGGAACCUAACAAGGGUUACUAAUAAGUUUUUGGCAAGUUUUGGUGUUUUUGGUAGCUAUUUGAUCAUUGAAACAAGCCAAGAAUGAGGGAGAAUUUUGUGAAGUCCAUAGCAAUGCAAGUUAAAGCUCAAAUACAUGAAGAAUCCAAGCUUUGAAGCACUUCAUAGCCCUUUGCGAAGCCAAUCAGAGAUGCAAGGAAGAAAACCAGAGGAAAAAAUCCAACAACCAGCAUUUUCGCAUGGCUGUGCGAAAUUUUGCACACCAUGCGAAACCACAAGAAGUAGCCAAAGAAUUUUGCACACCAUGCGAAAUUUCGCAUGGUAUACGAAAUCUUCCUAUGCACCAACUCCGUUAUAUUUUUAUCUUCAGAUAUUUUGUGUAAUUUCCUAGUUUCUCCUUGUAACCAACCUAGAUAUUUUCUUUUAUAUCUUUUUUUUAUAUUUUUUAGGUAACAUCAUAUAUAGGGGGAGAGACAUAAGGAGGAUAUGGAUGUUUUUCAUAAAACACUUUUAAUUUUCUGGUAGUAAGAAAUAUACAAAGUUUUUUGCUCUGCCUUACCUUCUCAUUUUGUUUUCACCUAUCUUUCUAGCCAAACAACCUCUGAGAAUGAUUUCUCAGGGGAUGAGUAGUUAGGUUUUACGUUUCUUGGAGUGAGAGAAGCUAGGUGAAAGACCCAAAUGCUAAGGUGGGAGUUGUCCUUGCUUUAAAUGAAAGUAGUUGUUAAAUAUUAAUGGUUUUUAUUUUAAGGUUUAGCUUUAAAUCCCUUAAAAACACCUUGAAUGGCCAAUACUUGGUAAGCUUUUCGGAUUCUAUGGAUGCUUAUUGCUAGAUCCAUGGAUGUCAUUAGUUAUCAUUUAUGAGCCAUUGGAAGGUGGUUCAAGAUGAGAGUCUUUAGUGUUUGAAGCCAUUAAUGGGAAACAAUUACCAUUUUUUCAUGAAUCCUUUGGAUAAAAUCUUAAUUGCUAAAUAUAAAACUGGUUCGGGAGAUAACCAUCCUUUAUGUUAUUAUGCCCAAUGCAAGGAGAAGAUUUCGAAUCUUCUCAUUUGUCUAAGGAACCCGAUCCUAGUGACCUAAAGCUCCUAGAGACCUUUUCUUUGUAGUUAACUUCAUUUAUUGUUUUUGCUUAACUUAAAAUCAAUCUUUGCAACCACAAUUCCAUUUUCUUUAAAAGCUAAUUUUUAUAAGGAAAAGCACCAUUUUAUUUCCUUCACUAAGUCAACUGUAUGAUGAAAACCCAUCCCUGUGGACGAUCUUAGAGCCACUAUACUAUGUUAUCUAUGCUAUCCUAGUGUGAGGUGAUUUAGGUUUUAUAAAUUUUGUUGAUAACACCCGUCUGAGCCAGAAUCAAAUGGAACCACUGAACCAGGGACAAAUCAACAGCCUAUAUGGGAGGGACACAAGUUUAAUUGAUUUGCAUUUCAGCGUUAUAGAUAAGUAUGUUUUGGAAGAUUUGUUCUGGAAAUACUGCACCAAGUACGAUUCUUUUUCUCUUGAGUGAGUCCAUUUGCAUGCCAAUUAACGAGUUGAAAAGUAGGAGCACCUACCUCGUGCUCAUGGAACCGAAUGUCAGUGAAGUGGGGCUCCUUUUAGCCUCUUGUGUUUCUGUUCCAACCAAGGCGGCGUAGGGAAAAACAACAAUAUGUCUGUGCUAAAUAUCAACGCAUGAUAGAUGUUUUUUUUUUUUUUUUUGGUAUGUCAAGGCUAACGAAUGAAAUGCAUUAGCUUGUUUUGUGACUAUAACUGCAAAUGUCCAAAUUGGAGUAUCUCCAUUUCUCACUUCGGAUGGUUAACUUUAUAAACAAGAUAUAGGAAACAUGUGAACAUCUUGAGGAACAAUUCAAAUUAUUCAUUAGAAGUCCUGGGUUAAGUUCCAAGAUUUAAAUCAGACCCUUCUAGCAGCUUCAAGGGUACUUAGCAACCUAUAACAUAUUAAUGAAGAUUUAGGAUUUAGACUCCGGAAUACAAAUAAAUAUGUAUCUCAUGCUUUGACUAGCUUCCCUACAUAUGCAUAAAAUGGAGAUGACCCAAAAAAAAUAGCAGAAUCUAGCUUCCCUACAUAUGCACAAAAUGGAGAUGACCCAAAAAAUAGCAUAAUCGCCUUAGUUUCUGUGGUUAAGGUGAUUCUCCGCUUAAUAUCCACAUUGACUCAUUAUGCAAAAUCAACUGAGCUAAUUUUAUUUAUUUAUUUAAUGUCAAAUAGGAACUCCUAAUUAACUGAUUACUGUCGAAAAGUGCUAUUUUGUAGACCUAAUUAUAAGGGUUUUAAGCACCUUUGAGUAGUAAUCAUAUUCAUUUAACCUAAUUAAUUCAUUAAGCUCCUUAGUAAUUAGUUCUAACCAUUUUUAGUGGCAAGUUUACAUGUUUUUCAUCAGCUUAUGAACCAAUUCAAGCAUGCCAAUUGAUGGAGGAGCUACUUGGGCGAGUUAAGCAAGGAUUUUGGACGUUUACAGGCUUGAAUUUCAAGUGGAAACACGAGCACAAGCAAUGGGAACACCAUUUCGCAAGGGGAGGCAAUUCACCUUGCCAAAUGACCAAUUUCGCAAGGGGAUUUUCCUCAUGGUGCAAAAUUUGGUCAUUUCGCACCAUGAAGAAACCACCUUGCAAAAUUUCGCAAGGUGGAUUUAGGCACCUUGCGAAAUGCCAAAUUUCACAAGGUGGCUUUUCACCUUGCGAAAUUUGGACCUUUCAUCUUCCCCCCUUGCGAAAUGCCUUUGAAAUCCCCUGUUUUGAGACGCUGUUGAUGAUAUUCCACUGCCGGUUCUCCAAGAUAUUUUGCUUGACUUUUAGCUUUAUAAAUACCUAUUUUACCCUUGUAAUCAACCAAUGAAAAGGUUGCUUUUGUAAUAGCUCUUGUAAUUUAGCUUUUUAUUGUCUUUAAAUAGAGGUGAAGAGCCUCAGACACGAUCAUCUUGUAACCUGUAACUUUAUAAGUUAUAAGAGCACUUUUGUUCAUACGCUUCUUUUCUCUUUUCUUUCUCAUUUUCUUAGUAGCCAAACAUCCUUGGAGGAUGAAAUCCCCAAGGAUGAGAGGCUAAAACCUUUUAGUUUCUUGAAGUAAUGGAUGCCAUGUGAAGCUCCCGUGUCAGGAUGGAGAUUUCCAAGCCAUAAAUGUAAGUAGCUGAGCGUCAUAAAUGUUUUCAUUCAAAGUAAAGCUUUUAAUCCCUCUGACUUGCUUUGAAUGGCCAAUACUUGAUAACCUUUUGGUCUCAAUGGAUUCUUAUUGUUAGAUCCACUGACGUUCAUUAGUUAUCUCCUACGAGCCAUUGUAUUGCAAGUCGAGGAGAUGACCUAUACCAAUAAAAGAGCAUUUAUGAGGUUCAACUACCCUUUUUGUAAGUUUUCAAGGACUAAAACUCAGUUGUUAAACUCAUACCGGUUCGAGAAGUAAGCAUCACCUUAGUUGCUUCCCCAACUCGAGGUGAAAAGUCCCAAAAUCUCCAUUUUUACACAGUGAGUUAAGCAUGGCUAUCCAAAGCUUUAAGAAACUUCUUUUUCCAUCUUUUAACCUAUUUUCAUGUUAGUUUAGUUUACAACACCUUCAUCUUUUUAUGUUUUCAUCUUAACCUAAUUUUUAUUAAGAAAAGUUCACUCCAUCCUCCGAACUUCACCAGUUAAAGUAAAAACCCUUCCCAGUGUUCGAUCCUAGAGCCACUAUGCUAUAGUAGCUUUGCUACUUUAGUGUAAGGACCUUAGGUAUAAAUUUUGUUGAUACCCUUACAUGCCAAGCUACCAAGAGUCGGGUUAUCAUUAACCUAACCAUUGGCCUGUGUAAAUUGAUUUCACAUGCACAAUGUUGUAGUAGAAGUCCAUAUUUUGAAUUUUAUUUUUGUAAAGGUAAGGAAAAUGAAGCAUUGUGUAAUUAUAAAAAUAACUUCAUUGGAAUUCACAAGGUUCACCCAAAAUGGAGCUACAUCUGUAUUCUAUCCUACAGUAGACUAUAUAGAUUGUACAAUAGUAAAUUGCAAAUACAAUUAAUAAGUCUUGUGCUUCCUUACUAAUAAUCCUUUGACAUGAACAUUGCAGCACUAAGGUCCUCUUGGGAAGACACCUUGCACCCAUGAGAGCACUAAGAGGAAGCAAGGCAGAGUCAUGGGUGCAAUGUCAUGACUUGUUGUUGCACCAAGAGAGGCUUGGUGAUGCCAUGGUGUUGCAGUAGCAAGAAUGUUGCCUUGGCAGGGACACGAUCUAGGGAUAGAUGCCAAGAAAGGCUUAGCACUCACAUGAGUUGCACAAAGAUGAAUGUAAUAGAGCAUCAGAGAGACGUCUUGGCAAGUAAAUGAAUGGAUCCAAGAGACAACAACAUGAGGAGUUUCAAAUGGAUAAGGAAUGACUCAAAGACAUUUGAAAGCUACAAGUUGGAUUCUAAUUACGAUUGCAAUUUGAGUUUGAGUAGGAGUUUAGAUUUUGAUUGUAAUUGUAGUAUGAGUUGGACUAGGAUUGCUUAUCCUUAGUCAAUAUAGGAGCGGUUCGUGUCACCCUAUGAAAAGAGUUUGAGUAGGGACUAGGAUUGCUUACUCCUAGUCAAAUAUGGAGUAGGUGGUGCCACACCUAUAAAAAAAAGGGACAACAUGAGAGAGAGAGAGAGAGAGAAAGAGAGAGUGAAUUCACUAAAGAUAUUGUGGGAGUUUUGCUUUGUUACGUCUUGUAUUAUUACUUAGAAUAGGAAUAAAAUACAAGUUGGGGCUAGAGCCCCAUAAUUAAUCUCGUGUGCCUUUGUGGUUAUUCUUUAUUUGUCAUCUCGUGUGGAUUGGAUUAGGUUGACUUAGAGGGCUUCUAAGCACCACCUUUGUGGGUUAUUAUUUAUUUUCCAUCUCUUGUGGAUUAGAUUAGGUUGACUUAGAGGGCUUCUGAGCACCACCUUUGUGGGUUAUUAUUUAUUUUCCAUCUAUUGUGGAUUAGAUUAGGUUGACUUAGAGGGCUUUUAAGCACCACAUUUGUGGGUUAUUCUUUAUUUUCCAUAUCGUGUGGGUUGGAUUAGGUUGACAAGGAGAAAAAUUAUGUGGGAAAUUUGUGUUGGGACACUUACCAUAACCAAGUAAAAUCUACCAAGUCCUUUGUAAUAUCUUCAACAAAUAUUUUAGACUAGUUCUUUCAGUUAGUGUAAAGGAGGAAGAAGUGGUAUUGAUUCUAGAAAUAGGGUGUGUGUAUUUGAACUACAAUCCUUAUGAUCCUUAGGUCUCUAAACCUUCGUGAUGGGCUCCCUGACAUUUCAUAGGUUGUGCUACACAUGCGUUUGAAAUUUAGAGUGCGUUUGACAGUGAUUCCGGGAAGUGUUUUUGGCCUUUCUUACACUUGAAAAUUUUUAUUUUUCAAGUAUUAGAAAUGCUACAAACACUUUUGAAAAUUACUGUCAAACACACUCUUAGGAGCGCACAUAUAUAGUAGAAAACUAGAAAUUGUGGUUUUUUUAGGAUUUACUGUAAUGUCAUUAGGAGGGUAGUAAGUUGAAAUUGAGUAUGAACAAAUAUUUCUUUCUUUGGGAUGUUCUUCUAGUAGGUGCUGAUGAAACUGUUCUUUCUACUGCCAAUGUCACAUAUCAGCCAGAAAUUGAAAAUUUCAGUCAAGGUGUCCUCUGUUUUAGUGGUGAGGAAAGCUAGAAAUUUUAAGGUGAAGUUUUGUUAAAAACCUUAAGUAGCUGGGAUAUCAGGCCUGUUUUGCUUGAAAAAAAAAGUUGCAAGAUAACUCAUAUGCCAAACAGGUUCUGAUAUUGUGAAUCUAUCGGCAGACAUCAGUAAUCUCAUCUUCUGAGAUGGAUGUUGGGGGUGCAUGUGGUGGUGGAGGGGCAAGGUUUCAUUUGGUUUAUUUUGUUGAUGGAUAUUGUCUAGCCACCUGCGCCAAGUUUGAGGGGUGGUGGGUUGUGAUGACCCUACAAUUACUAUUAAUUUCUUCAUCUUUUACCGAUUAAAGUGUCCGAACAGUCGAAGUUACCCUUAUGCAUGUCAACUUGAUCACUUACCUCUUCAAUGGAGUUUAUGCUGGUUCAUUUAGGAACUGAUUUUUAUUGUUAUGUAUUAUAUGCUGAUGUUUAGGUCUCUCCAUCAUCACUAUAUACAAAAAUUCUAGGUUGAUACUAUAGGUUGAGAUUUAUUUUUUAAAUAAAAAAUAAUAAAAAUAAAAAUUAUGGUGAUGUUUAGUUGUUUUAUGGAAAAUUUUAACAAGUAAAAGUUAUUUUUGGGCAAGUUUUCAAACAAAAAGAAAAGUAAAAGUUGUUUUGACAAAAACAUAUAGAAAAAAAAAUCAUAGAAAAUAAAUAAUUUCCCCAUAUUCUAACUUUUUUGAAUUUUUCUCAAUGGGCAAAGGAAUAUCAAAUCAAGUUUGAGUAGGAUUUCUUAAUUUUUAAAAUAACUUACAAUUAAAAAAUUUUGGUGUUUUCAUUUUUGGACAAUUUUUUAUUAAGCAAAUGGACUCUGAGUCAUGCAAGAGAUAUGGUUCAUUAACCGGUCGAACAAUUUUUUUAAAUUAAUUUAAAAGUCAAAUACAUAAUCAAUUUCACAAAAUUUAUAAACAAAAAUAGGUUUAGAGAAGAUCUACACAUAAUUUUACUUUUCUAAUUUUAUUUUAUUUUAUUUUUUGUUGGAAAAUAGUCUUCAAAUCAUGUAAGAUUUAAUAGGUUAAAUUUGUUAACAAUAAAUUUUAAAUUAUAAAAUAUAAUCUGGAACUCAAAAAUCAAUUCAAGUAAUGCUAAAAAAAAAUCAAAUUUGGUAUAGAAUGACUUUGUAAAUUUUUUUACAAAACAAAUGAAUUUUAAAUCAAGUGAGAUUUAAUGCAUUAGAUUUUUAUCAAAUAUAGUAAUUUUAAAAAUAAAUUUGGAACUCAACAAUAGACACAAUAAAUACCAAAAAAUAAUGAACCAAAAUUGGUUUGGAAUAACUCCACAACCUUUUUUUUUUUUUUUUGGUGCACACGAAUUUUCUUACUAGGUAUAUUGCUUUCAAAUUGAGAAAGAUUUACCAUUUAGAUUUUUUUUUAAUGAGUUUAAUGGUAUUUUAAAAUAAUUCAAAAUUUAAAAAAUUGACUAAUUAAUAUUAUAAAUUGAUAAACCAAGACUAUUUCAAAAUGCAUUGGGGGCUAAGGGGGUUGAAAAUAGGGACAAUGGGAUGGGUUUGGGACAUGACACUCAUAUCUCAUUUCCAUUCCAAUUACACAGUUAUCUCCCAUCCUUAUCCCAAACUUGUGUUGGAGCAAGUUGAUUUGUUCCCAUCUUUGUUGACGAAAUGACUAAUAACCUCAUCCCCUCCUUAUCUUAGAUGUACAUUUUGUCAAAUUUGAUCAGGUAUGAUUGAUCCAAGCCCUAACCCUAAUUGGUAAUGAGUGAAUACUACACCUAAUUGCAUUCUUCUUUCAUUGCAAAAUAAUGAGAUUAUAAUAAUCUAGCAAAUAAGAAAAAAUAGUAUGGAAGUUCAAAUUAACACCAUAACUAUCAAUAAUUUUAAGCUUAUAGAUGACUUAAAUGAUUAAAAACUAAUGCAAAAUCCUAAAAAAAAUAAAAAUCAUAUAAAGAAUUCACAAGAGAACAGAAUGAACAAAAACCAAAUAUGAACAUGGGUCAACAUUAGUUAUGGAUUUGGAUUCCUUUCAAGGCCAAUCUUUGAACCAAGACUUCAUCAAAUCAACUACUUCAAAGGCUUUUGUGUUCUUCUUGGGUUGUGCUCUCAAACAAAGACUUCGAGGUGAUGUUCUAGAUGAUUGAAUUACACAUAUUUAGGGUGGAGAGAUUGGAGAAGCUUGAAGAUGCCAACGAUGGGUACAAUUGAGUGGUCAAUAAGAACAAUGUAGCCUAUGACUAGUUUGAUGUCAUGGUACAAGAGUUUUAGGCAUUGAGGUUAAAGCAAGAGCAACAUGGAAUUGAUUUCGGAGUCUUUCAGUUAGUGUAAAGGAGGAAGAAGUGGUGUUGAUUCUAGAAAUAGGGUUUUAAGUGGUGCGUGAUUACUACUCAAAAAGUGCUAUUUGAUAGCCUUUAAUUAAUCCUUUUUAACACUUUUGAGUAGUAGUUUAGGCCUUUUAACUCAAUUGGCAUGUUAAGGAUCCUUUAAAGCAAUUUUGAUCACUUUGUGCAAGUUUUGGUGUUUUUGUUAGUAUUUUGAUCACCAAAGCAAGUCAAGAAUGAGGAGAACUAUGAGGAAUCAUGGGCAAAGCUUAGAAUUCAAUUGCCAAGAGUGAAUCCGGAUUGCAAGGAGAAAAAGCAAAGAGAAUCUGUCAUGAAGCCUAUUCUUGAUGACAGUCGUAGCAGCCACUUUUGGAGCACUUUCUGAAGUCCAAAUGAUGCAAGCUAUAUACCAUUUCAAAGAUCAGGAAGUCAACAAUCCAAUGCUUCAAACGGUGCGCGAUUCGGAGUUGAAACGAAGAAGUUGCAGCCAUUACAAGCCAGUCACUCUAAAGUGUUGCGGAAUCAGCCUUUUGUUGCGAGAAUUUCGCAGCACUUUUGUACAGUAAGGUGUUUCUCCUUCUGACGAUGCACGAACCAUGCCGCGAGAGGGAAGCUAGGAACUUCAAGAUGGAAGCCAACUUUGCAGCCUGGUGAAGAUAGCUUGGUCUUGCGAAAUAAUUUCGCAGCCCUCUUGGGUGUCUGCGAAAUUUCGCAGGCACCACUUUUUUCCUGCGAAAUGGCUCCGGAAGCCUCCCGAAGCUUGCUACCGACAUUGGGAGAUAUUUUCCAUUAGAUUUUUGUUGUCUAAAUUCCAAAAUACUCCUUGUAAACCACCAAUUACAUGAUUCCUUAGUUUUUAAGUUAGUAAAAAGACCAAAUAUCUAUGUAAUAAUUAGUUUUAUAUUAGUUUGCUAUAAAUACCUCUCGGGAGCAUGUUCUCAGAGAGGAGUUCCUUCUGUAACCAUUUUGGUAAGCAAGUAAAGUCUUUUCUUUCUACUGCCUUACCUUCUCACUUUGUAUUUUCAUUUUAUUUCUAAGUUAUGAAUUCUCUGAGGAGCUUUCCCCAGAGAAUGAGUAACUAAACCUCCAAUUCCUUGGAGCUAAGGUUGCCGGGGAAGGUUCCAAGUGCAAGAAUGCAAAGCUCUGUGGUUUUAGCUAGUAAUGAAGAGGAAGUGAAAUCCUUUAGUGAUUUCAAUGUUUUUAGUUAACUUAAAACACCUUGGAGUCACCUGGGCCAACACUUGGUAAGGCAAGUGAUUUCCAACCGUGGAAAUGCACUAGUUUACCCCUUGCGAGCCUCUGGUAGGUGACUUCAAGGUAGGAUUUUCUGGAAUUACCAACACUUGGUAAGCUUUUGGACUCCUAGGAGACAUCCAUUAGUUAUCUCUUGCGAGUUUGUGAAGGGGAAUCCAAGGUUAAAGAUCACCUUGAAUGGUAAGUGCUCGUGAGAGGCAUGAACCAUUGCAAGUUGUAUCAGUGAGAGAAUUAAAGUGAAAUCUAAUUGAAGGAGUCUCUGUACAUCACCGGUUAGAGAAUUGACUAUAAGUUGAAUCUCUAAUGCGAGGAAAUGAACCAUCUGACCGGAGCUAUGUCUUUUGCAUGAGGAACCACCCCAGUGAACCUAAAUCUCCAAGGAAUGCUUUUCUUCCUAAAUUAUUCCAAACUUCUGUUAAGUUAGUUAGUUUAAGUCUAAACCUUUACCAAUCAAACUUUGUGUUUUAUUUCUUAAGCUAACCGUGAAAUGAAACAAAACCAAUUCACUUGGAAUUGGUAUCCUUGAUUGCUUGCAAAUCAUUCCCAGUGAACGAUCCUUAGAGCCACUAUACUAUAGUAGCUUUGUAUUUGCUACCCUAGUGUAUGGUGUUAUAGGUAUAAAUUUUGUUGAUCACUUCCUCAAUCAAGGAACACCAGCUGAACACAAAUCAGCUGAGACACCAAUUGGGCAUGAGUCAAAUGGCGCCGUUGCCGGGGAAUGAGUGUCAAGAUCAUUGUGAUACCAUUUUUGAGCACUUGUGAUUUUCAUCACAAGUUGGUAAAGUUUCUUUCACUUUACUAAUUUUCAUUCUCUCUUUGUUUAUUUACAAUCUAAGUUUAUCUUUUUAAAAUUUAGUCUAGUUUAAUUUUGCUAUUGUAGCCUUGUUUCUCUUGUUGUCCUCUGUUCUUGUUGUCCUCUGUUUUCAUUUUAGUUGCAGCUGAAUACUAGUUGUGUAUGCCAAAGUGGAUACGAGACAUUGGAGGUAGGCUUAUUAAGUGUGAUACACCUCAGAGAGGAGAAUUGGAAGUAAUCUUGAAUAUCAUGGAGGCUGCACCUGAAGAUCAGCAUAGUCACCAAGGUCGUCAAGACAAUCUCAAUGAAUUCAGAUCAAUGAGGGACCGUAUGCAUCCACCUCGUAUGAGUGCACCAUCAUGUAUAGUGCCCCCUACAGAGCAACUAGUGAUCAGACCAUAUCUUGUUCCACUUCUACCAACUUUCCAUGGGAUGGAAAGUGAGAAUCCGUAUGCACACAUCAAGGAAUUUGAAGAUGUUUGUAAUACAUUCCAAGAGGGAGGAGCUUCAAUUGAUUUGAUGAGGCUUAAGUUAUUUCCUUUUAAUUUAAAGGAUAAGGCCAAAAUUUGGCUUAAUUCUUUAAGGCCAAGGAGUAUCCGCUCUUGGACUGAUUUACAAGCUGAAUUCCUCAAGAAAUUUUUUCCUACUCAUAGAACAAAUGGCUUGAAAAGGCAAAUUUCAAACUUCUCAGCUAAAGAGAAUGAGAAAUUCUAUGAGUGUUGGGAAAGAUACAUGGAAGCUAUAAAUGCUUGUCCUCACCAUGGCUUUGAUACUUGGCUACUGGUGAGUUAUUUUUAUGAUGGUAUGUCCUCCUCAAUGAAGCAACUCCUCGAGAAAAUGUGUGGAGAAGAUUUCAUGAGCAAAAAUCCAGAGGAAGCUAUGGAUUUCUUGAGCUAUGUAGCUGAUGUUUCAAGGGGAUGGGAUGAACCAACUAAAGGAGAAGUGGGAAAGAUGAAGUCUCAGUUGAAUGCUUACAAUGCAAAGGCUGGGAUGUAUACUUUAAAAGAGGAUGAUGACAUGAAAGCAAAGUUGGCAGCUAUGACAAGAAGAUUGGAGGAGCUGGAGCUGAAAAGAAUGCAUGAAGUGCAAGCUGUUGCUGAAGCACCAGUGCAAGUGAAGUUGUGUCCCAAUUGUCAAUCGUUUGAACAUUUGGUAGAGGAAUGCCCUGCAAUUUCAGCUGAAAGGGAAAUGUAUAGAGAUCAAGCAAAUGUUGUUGGACAAUUCAGGCCCAAUAACAAUGCUCCUUAUGGAAAUACCUACAAUUCAAGUUGGAGGAAUCAUCCAAAUUUUUCAUGGAAGGCCAGAGCAACUCAAUACCAACAGCCGGAUCCACCAUCUCAACAAUCUUCAAGUAUUGAACAAAUAAUAGCUAAUCUCAGCAAGGUAGUGGGAGAUUUUGUGGGAAAGCAAGAAGCCACCAAUGCUCGAGUGGAUCAAAGAAUGGACAGAGUGGAUCAAAGAAUGGACAGAAUGGAGAGUAUGUUGAACAAAAGAAUGGAUGGAAUGCAAAAUGAUAUGAAUCAAAAAUUUGAUAACAUCCAAUAUUCAAUUUCAAGGCUUACAAAUUUGAAUACACUGCAAGAAAAGGGAAGAUUUCCUUCUCAACCUAACCAAAAUCCCAAAGGUGUCCAUGAAGUGGAAAGCCAUGAGGGAGAAUCAUCACAGGUGAAAGAUGUGAAAGCUUUGAUCACUCUAAGGAGUGGUAAGAAAAUUGAGCAGCCAACACCCAAGCCACAUGUUGAGAAAGAAGAAGAGAUGAAGAAAGGGAAGGAAAUGGAAGAUAAAGGCAGUGAGAUCAGUGAAGAAAAGAAGGACUCUGAUGCAACAAUGAAAGUAAUUCCAGAGAAGGAGCUUCUGAAGGAAGAAAUGCUGAAGAAAUCAACUUUUCCACCUUUUCCUCAAGCAUUACAGGGGAAAAAGGGGGUUAGAAAUGCAGCUGAAAUCCUAGAAGUAUUGAGGCAAGUGAAAGUUAAUAUUCCACUGCUGGAUAUGAUCAAACAAGUUCCAACGUAUGCAAAAUUCCUAAAGGACUUGUGUACUAUCAAAAGAGGGUUGACUGUAAACAAGAAAGCCUUCUUGACUGAGCAAGUAAGUGCAAUCUUACAGUGUAAGUCUCCUUUGAAGUACAAAGACCCUGGAAGUCCUACCAUUUCAGUCAUGAUUGGAGGAAAGGUAGUGGAGAAAGCCUUGCUAGACUUGGGAGCAAGUGUGAAUUUGCUUCCAUAUUCUGUCUACAAGCAACUGGGACUUGGAGAGUUGAAGCCAACAGCAAUCACUUUGUCUCUGGCAGAUAGAUCAGUGAAAAUUCCAAGAGGGGUAAUUGAGGAUGUAUUGGUUCAAGUAGAUAAUUUCUACUAUCCUGUAGAUUUUGUUGUUCUUGAUACAGAUCCUACUGUAAAGGAAGCUAAUUUAGUUCCUAUCAUCCUUGGAAGGCCAUUUCUUGCAACUUCAAAUGCAAUCAUCAACUGUAGAAAUGGGCUUAUGCAACUCACUUUUGGUAACAUGACACUGGAUCUAAAUAUUUUCUAUAUGUCUAAAAAGCAAAUCACUCCAGAAGAAGAAGAGGGUCCAGAAGAGCUAUGUAUUAUUGAUACUUUGGUGGAGGAGCACUGCAAUCAACAUAUGCAAGAUAAGUUGAAUGAAAGUUUUGUGGAUAUUGAGGAAGGUUUUUCUGAAUCUCCUAAUGGGCUUGCUACUCUACAAAGUUGGAGAAAGAUAGAAGGAAUUCUACCUUUGUUCAAUGAAGAAGAGGAGGCAGCUGUUGAAAAAGAAAUUCCAAAACUCAAUCUGAAGCCUUUACCUAUGGAGCUGAAAUAUACAUAUCUUGAAGAAAAUAAUCAAUGUCCUGUCGUAAUAUCUUCAUCUCAAACCAAGUCUCAAGUGAAGGAUGCAAGCUUCAAAUGGGAUCCGGGCAAACUGAAUCAGGAAGGGCAAAAAGUUUUGAUGUAUGACACAAGACUCCAUAUCUUUCCUGGGAAGCUCAAGUCAAGGUGGAUUGGUCCAUUUGUUAUUCACCGAGUAUAUUCCAAUGGAGUGGUGGACUUAUUGAAUUCCAAUGGCAAGGACAGCUUUAGAGUCAAUGGAUAUCGUCUUAAGCCGUUCAUGGAGUCAUUCAAAUCAGAAAAGGAGGCAAUCAACCUCCUUGAACCUCAAAAAGCCUAAGUGAAAUGGGUUUGCUGGACGUGGUUUUACCACAGUCCAAAAAUUUUUGUAAAUUUUGUAAAUUUUCAAGUUGUUUCCAUGCUUUUAAUCUUAGUUUUUGAUUUUAAAUCAUGUUUUUAGGUGUGUUUUAAUCGUUUUAUAUGAUCCCAGGCGGAAGAAAUUUCAAGGGGAUUGAAAAGAAAAAAAUCGGGUCGAAAUUGGAGCCGAAACAGAGCAAAAACAGGGGAAAAACAGAGCUCUGCGAAAUUUCGCAGGGUGAAGGAAACUUCUGCGAAAUUGGCAUUUUGCUGCCAAACCAUUCCGCAGCACUGUAGAAGCCUCUGCGAGUGUAUUUCGCAAUUGCGAAAGUGGAUUUGGCACACGAGUGCCACUUCGCAGCACAGUGACAUCAAUUUCGCAGCUGCGAAACUCACUGCGAAGUUGCUGCGAAAAUGGCAAGUUGCUGCGAAAUUGGCGUUUUGUUGCGAAACGUAAUCUGACCCCUGGGCUUCCGUUUUUCCUAUUUAUACCUGUCAAAAGUGCUGCGAAAAAGGUUUCAAAAAUUAGAGCACCAUUCUCGCAGCCCUUUCAUCUUCUUCGCCAAGCCACGCCGUCCGUUUCUCCGGUCGUCUUCUCCGUUUAGCAGCGCCGGCCAAAGAUCGAUAGCCCAAAAAUGGCACGAACGCGAGGGGCAAAGUCUUCAUCCCCUUCGAACCGCAAAAGGAGUCUGCGAAAGGAGCCAAGUUCAGGCUCUGUUCCAGAACCUGCUCCAAAGCCUUCGCCGUCGAGACCACAACCUUCUCCAGUGAAGCCGGCGCCACCAAAGCCGCCGGCAAGGCGAUAUUUAACCAGGUCAGGUGGUCAGCCAUUGAAGAAGAAAGCCAGAGUUGAGAGCUCUGAACCAAUCGAUUUGACUGAGCAAUCCCCUGAGAAAUCACCAAAUCCUUCACCGGUACAAAUUCCAGUGCCAUCACCGGUUCCCUCGCCAAUUCCCUCACCAGAAGCAACUCCAAUUCCAUCGCCGGUACCAUCUCCGGCACCCCAAGAAAAAGCUCAGGAGCCUCAAGCGCCAAUUCCAGAGCCCCAAAUUGCAGCUGAAGCACCUCUGGAAGAAGUGAUCCGAAGGCCAAUGCUGCCUCAGCCCCCAAUCGAAGGAAACCUGGAUUGCCGAACUCGGGCAUUCCAUUCUGAGCUUUGCUUCGAUUUAACAGCAUUCAGAGUGAGGCCAGAGCUUGCCCAAUCCUUCCAACUGCUGAGGAGAUAUCAUAUGGAGCAUCUGCUAGCUCCAAGGGAUUUUUUCUAUCCCCGGGUAGUCACGGAUUUCUACCAAACCAUGACAACCAAAGAAGUAAGAAAUCCAACUCUGAUUCAUUUCAUAAUUGAUGGAAGGCAUGGUAUUUUGGGAGCAAGACAUAUUGCUGAAGCCCUGCAAAUUCCUUUUGAGCCAACUCAAUUCGACAAUUUUAAAGCUUGGACAAAUCCUACUGAGUUAGAGAUGGUUAGCACACUAACCAGAGGAGCUGCAAAUCGAUCGCAUUUGUUGAGGGGGGAGCUACCUCCAGUUAUGUUUUUGAUUGAUGCCUUUUUGAGGCAUAAUAUCUAUCCCCUGCAGCAUUGGACCCAAAGAAGGGGAAUUCUCCUAGAAGCCUUGUACAAAAUGUCUGAAGGAUUCUUCUUUGGGCCUCAUCAUCUGAUCAUGGCAGCCCUUCUAUACUUUGAGGAGAAGGUUCACAAGAAGAAGCUUCAAAGAGCAGAUUGCAUUCCACUCCUCUUCCCAAGGCUGCUAUGCCAAGUUUUGGAGCAUCUCGGAUACCCCUCUGAGCCUCAGCAGGAAAGAAAGAGAAUAUGCCGUGAGCCUUUUACCCUUGAUAAAUGGAAUAAUAUGACGGCCUACAAAAUUGAUCAGCCUGGGCAGCCUCAGCCAGCAGCAAGGAGAGUCUCCCCAAGACAUAUACCUGAAGGUAUAACACUUGCUACUCCUGCCAUCCCUCGAGCUCCACCAGCUGCACCUGCUCCAUCACAGCCAUCCACAUCAGCUGAGCCGAGGAUGGCCAUCCCUAUAUCCGAAUAUCGAGAGCUGUGCCGUGCAUUGGAGACUCUUACAGCUUCUCAGAGCAAUCUUGCUCAGGAGUUGGCAGCCAUUAAAGCAUGCCAGGAGCAGAUGUUAGCCUCUCAGACUCAACAAGCUGCCAUCCUAAGGCAGCUUCAAGUCCAUUUCGAUCUGCCACAAGCUGUAGAGCCCUCUAUUCCUACUCCACCAGAGCCACACUCUCAGCCUUCAGAGUCUCAUCCUCCAGAACCCGAAGCACCAGCUGAUCCACCUACUGAGGAGGCAGAUCCUUCUGCCUAGCACCAUCACCCCCCUCAUCAGACAUUAUAUAUAUAUUUGCUGUUUAUGUUUUUAUGCAUGUUUGUUUUGUUUUAGUUGAAAAGAAAUCCCAGUAUUUUGGUACUAUAUAUGGGAUUCCUUGUGUUACUUGUCUUUAGUAUUGUAAUCACAUGAACUCAAAGUAAUACAAGUUGACUAUUUCUUGUUAAAAGUUAGCAUUAAAGUUUCCUUAUUUCCUUUUCUCACAUAUUCUAUUCUUUUUGAAACAUGUGGUUUUCCCCAAUCAAUAUUCGAAUUUGAUAUCAGCAUGGAGGUACCACUUCCUCCCUUUUAUUACAGUCACUCAAAUCACAUUGAGGACAAUGCUCAGUUCGGUUGGGGGGUAUGAGGAAGGAAGUAUUCUAAACCUUUUUGGUAUUGCAAUUAUAUUGGUUAAUUAGUUGUAGAUUUUACUUUUUACUAGUGUUACUCUAUUCUCCAUGAAUUUUGAGGAAAAAUUUUCAAAUUAAACCAAGAGAAAUUGAACUGUUGUUUUUCACUUGACUUAGAGUAUGGAUUAUGCUUACUAAAGUGGUUCAAUUGUUGAAACUUCUACUGAAAUUGAAUUGAGUUCUUCCACUUUAAGCUAUCCACACACUGUGCACAUUAGUUUCCGAUUAUAAGAUGAAAAGCUAUUUCCCUCUUGACUUAGUAUAUUUUUGGGACUUGGUAUAUUUGACCUCAUUUGAUAAAAAUUGAAACACCCUGCAAAAGGCCAAUGAGCCUUUGAAAUAAAGAAAGUUGUUUGCUUGCCUUGAAACCCGAGCAAGGUCUGAGGGGUAUAUGGUGAAAAUCUUUAAAGCCUGGUGCCCUAAGCCUUAAUUGGUUGGGAGUCACCGACCUCAAUGCUCGUUACAAGGGUGAAUAGGUAGAGUUAGCAUAUGGUAGAUGCUUGGGUAUUAGAAAUUCAUUCUUAAAAGUCCGGGGAAAAAUCCGAGGAGUUAGUGGUUGAAAGAUCCUUAAAACUUGGUGCCCUAAACCUUAAUUGGUUGGGAGUCAUCGAUGGACCCCCAUUACAUGGACAAGUCAGAAAGAGUACCCCAUAAAGCUACCUUAAAAAAAAAAAAAAAAAAAAAAAAAAAAAAAAAGAUGAAAGUGUGUUCUUUUCUUAUUGAUUUUGGUCAGUUUGCUAAAGUGUUGAAAAGAGAUAGGUUGGGGGGUGAGAUUAGUAGCAUAUUAUUCUCGGAACCUAAGGAACCAAUACACAUAGAUUUUUGUGGAAGAUUGAAGUUUAGUUCUUAGAAAAUGAAAUGAUUUUAAAACUUCAGUUUGCAUAAUGCACUCCCUUGAUUGACAGUGUUUAGCAUAGGUGUUAUGACUCUUGUUGAGAUUUGGGUUUGUAUUUCUUUAAUGAUUCAUGUGAGAAAUAGAUCAUCAUGCCACUUGAGAAUUAUUUUCCUUUUAGCAUGAUGUUGUAAAUUUUAGAUUAGUUUGCUAUUUAUUUUUUAUUUUCUCUCCUAUAUUGCUAAGGGACUAGCAAUAUGUCGGUUGGGGGGAGUGAUUACUACUCAAAAAGUGCUAUUUGAUAGCCUUUAAUUAAUCCUUUUUAACACUUUUGAGUAGUAGUUUAGGCCUUUUAACUCAAUUGGCAUGUUAAGGAUCCUUUAAAGCAAUUUUGAUCACUUUGUGCAAGUUUUGGUGUUUUUGUUAGUAUUUUGAUCACCAAAGCAAGUCAAGAAUGAGGAGAACUAUGAGGAAUCAUGGGCAAAGCUUAGAAUUCAAUUGCCAAGAGUGAAUCCGGAUUGCAAGGAGAAAAAGCAAAGAGAAUCUGUCAUGAAGCCUAUUCUUGAUGACAGUCGUAGCAGCCACUUUUGGAGCACUUUCUGAAGUCCAAAUGAUGCAAGCUAUAUACCAUUUCAAAGCUCAGGAAGUCAACAAUCCAAUGCUUCAAACGGUGCGCGAUUCGGAGUUGAAACGAAGAAGUUGCAGCCAUUACAAGCCAGUCACUCUAAAGUGUUGCGGAAUCAGCCUUUUGUUGCGAGAAUUUCGCAGCACUUUUGUACAGUAAGGUGUUUCUCCUUCUGACGAUGCACGAACCAUGCCGCGAGAGGGAAGCUAGGAACUUCAAGAUGGAAGCCAACUUUGCAGCCUGGUGAAGAUAGCUUGGUCUUGCGAAAUAAUUUCGCAGCCCUCUUGGGUGUCUGCGAAAUUUCGCAGGCACCACUUUUUUCCUGCGAAAUGGCUCCGGAAGCCUCCCGAAGCUUGCUACCGACAUUGGGAGAUAUUUUCCAUUAGAUUUUUGUUGUCUAAAUUCCAAAAUACUCCUUGUAAACCACCAAUUACAUGAUUCCUUAGUUUUUAAGUUAGUAAAAAGACCAAAUAUCUAUGUAAUAAUUAGUUUUAUAUUAGUUUGCUAUAAAUACCUCUCGGGAGCAUGUUCUCAGAGAGGAGUUCCUUCUGUAACCAUUUUGGUAAGCAAGUAAAGUCUUUUCUUUCUACUGCCUUACCUUCUCACUUUGUAUUUUCAUUUUAUUUCUAAGUUAUGAAUUCUCUGAGGAGCUUUCCCCAGAGAAUGAGUAACUAAACCUCCAAUUCCUUGGAGCUAAGGUUGCCGGGGAAGGUUCCAAGUGCAAGAAUGCAAAGCUCUGUGGUUUUAGCUAGUAAUGAAGAGGAAGUGAAAUCCUUUAGUGAUUUCAAUGUUUUUAGUUAACUUAAAACACCUUGGAGUCACCUGGGCCAACACUUGGUAAGGCAAGUGAUUUCCAACCGUGGAAAUGCACUAGUUUACCCCUUGCGAGCCUCUGGUAGGUGACUUCAAGGUAGGAUUUUCUGGAAUUACCAACACUUGGUAAGCUUUUGGACUCCUAGGAGACAUCCAUUAGUUAUCUCUUGCGAGUUUGUGAAGGGGAAUCCAAGGUUAAAGAUCACCUUGAAUGGUAAGUGCUCGUGAGAGGCAUGAACCAUUGCAAGUUGUAUCAGUGAGAGAAUUAAAGUGAAAUCUAAUUGAAGGAGUCUCUGUACAUCACCGGUUAGAGAAUUGACUAUAAGUUGAAUCUCUAAUGCGAGGAAAUGAACCAUCUGACCGGAGCUAUGUCUUUUGCAUGAGGAACCACCCCAGUGAACCUAAAUCUCCAAGGAAUGCUUUUCUUCCUAAAUUAUUCCAAACUUCUGUUAAGUUAGUUAGUUUAAGUCUAAACCUUUACCAAUCAAACUUUGUGUUUUAUUCCUUAAGCUAACCGUGAAAUGAAACAAAACCAAUUCACUUGGAAUUGGUAUCCUUGAUUGCUUGCAAAUCAUUCCCAGUGAACGAUCCUUAGAGCCACUAUACUAUAGUAGCUUUGUAUUUGCUACCCUAGUGUAUGGUGUUAUAGGUAUAAAUUUUGUUGAUCACUUCCUCAAUCAAGGAACACCAGCUGAACACAAAUCAGCUGAGACACCAAUUGGGCAUGAGUCAGUGCGUUAGAGGAUCAAGAAGAAGAAAAAGAAGGAACUGUUGGAAUUAGUAUGAGUGUGAAGAGAAAAGUAUAUAAAUAAGGGGAAGUAAAAGCAAAGUUCAAAAAGCUAUAUUUUUUUAUUGUUGGUGUAUGGUUGCAUGAUUAUCCCUAUAAAUAAUAGGAGUUUUUUGGUAUUCUACUAGUAGUUGAAGCAUAAUUUCAUAAAUUAAUAUUUAGAGCGGGGUGGGGUGAGUUGUGACAAAAUUCAUACCCGUCCCAAACCUUGGUUCAGAUUUUUAAAAUAUUCUCAAACUUAUCAUAUACCCAACUUUUAUAUUUCAUACUUGUCCUAAUAGAGGCACGUUAGGCCGGGUUACUUGAGUAACCUACAUAAUUGUCAUCCCUAGUUGAAAUACACUUUUUGGCAGUGGCCACCAACUGAGCUAGAAGCUUGAUUGAUUGACCUACAAGAUUAGUUCUCAUCAUUUUAAAAAAAGUUCUGGCUUUGGUUGUGAGUGCAAUUGAAUCUAAACUGGCAUUUGCUUAAUGCAUCUACUUCAAUCCUAAACUUCUUACUUCUUAAGCCUCAAUUGUUGUUAGGAUUUUGGAAAACCCAUUUCCUUAAAUUGUAAAUUUAAGAUAAAAUAAAAUAAAAGUGAGACAUUUCUUGAUUGAAUAUUGUUAAAGGUCCCUUGGCAUUAAGACUUGGUUGAAGCCUUGGAAGAUUAGUGGAACUCUCAACAUGUGUUUGAAUCUUGAGGAGAGUGGAUGUAAGCCAAAAUUUUGUCAAACCAUUAUACAAAUUGAGUUUGAAUCCUCAUUUCUUGAUUUCUUAUUUAUUUGCUUUUUCUUAUUAUUACUUGAAUUGUCAUUUGCAUUCAUUAAUGUUAAAAUUGGUUAUAAUUAACCAACACUAAUUCUCUUUCCCCUUCCCUUUCUUGGGUGUAAACCUAGGUUGGAUUAACUAGAUAAAUCUAUUAAGAUGGUAAAAGAAUAAUUAUUCUUAACAUACAUAAGAUCAUCUUCAAUCAAAUGACUCAUUGGCUAAUAUGUUGAAUUUGCUUAUUACUUGCAACUCAAAAUUGUGUUCUAGUUGUGUCAAGUCCCCAGUGUAUGGACAUUAAAUUUGUAGUACGUGAUGAGUAAUUAGAUGGUCCAACUCCAAGAAAGUGAUUGAAAAGUAGUUCAAGAAAGGUGCAAAAGGGAAUUGUUUUGGUAUUUUCGUUUUUAUUCUUGAAGGUGGCAGAGCUAAAAUUUGAGAAAUCAAGCAAAACAUACUGAAAUUACAUUGAAAGAAAGAAGAUGGGAGUUAAUGUCUUGCAGUACAUGAUAAGGACUUCAUGCAUGUAGUGUGACCCAUGUCUUGGACUGAUGCCAACUCACGGUUACACUUAUACCCUUGGUUCUCUCUUUACUACCUUGGCUAACCUAGAUCAGGCUAUGAGAUAGGCUCCUCACCACACCAUUACUUGCCCAUUAAUUAGAGACAUUUUCAAGCAAUGAGGUAACAUGGUGACACCAAGAGGGUCUAUUCCUCGCCCGGAACAAGUCUAGACUUGGUCUCAAAAAAAUGGAGAAAAAUGAGGUGUCGUUAUGUAGAAAUACAACAACCAUGCCUUCCUCAUUACUUAGAUUCAGAAUGUGAAGGUGAAAUUGAGAAACAGAAACUCUUGAAACCAAAAUGAAAAUUGAUACUUUUACGAAGAAUUACAACAACAUUAGAGGAAGACUACAUUCUUCCUCUUUAUUCCUACAUUUCUACACUACUUCUACUCCACUCCAUAUUUCUACAUACAUCUUUAAUCAGUCUUCCCUCCUUUAUAUAGAGCCAUCUUCACACAAAUUUCGCAAGGUAGAAAAGAGGAAUGAAACUUGGAGCAAGGUUCGACUACUGGUUGUAGCUUGUCAAGGCUGGAAGUGAACUUUUCUUGGCUUUCUGGGCAUGGGUAGUAACUUGUGGGUUCCUGUUUGGCAUAAAAAUGGCUAGAACAUGUGGCACUAUCUUGUUGGAUGAUGUGUCAAGCAUGUGGCAGCCAUCUAGUGGCGAUUAUGUCAAUUUUGGGAUGGAGAGUUGGCAUCCAAUUGCAAAGAAAUAUGACGUCUACCAACAUGCAAUGUAAACCUAUGUAGAUCAUAUGAAGAUAGAGAGGAAAAAUAUAGAAAUGGAUAUAUACCUAGAACUAGCUUUUUAUUAAAUGAAACGGAGAGACAACAAUGAAGGAAAAUAAAAUUUUUUGGCUUAUAUCAAAGAGUUCACAUUGUGUUACCCUAGGUUUUCUUAAAACUUACUUUUAUGAUAACAAAAAAGAAAAAACCAUUAUUGUUUAAUCCUUUGUUUUAAACGCAUGUAAGGUGUAAUUAAGUUAGUUCAAUGCAUUAAUUUAAGAAACUUGACCUAUCAAAAGUACAAAAUUAGAUGAAAUCCAUUUCAAUGGUUAAAAUGAUCAAAAUCAAACUUUUUCUAAGUAUUUUUUAAAAGCAUCAAUAGUGAAAGACAAUUUUAUAUUUAGUCGGAGUUUGGACAAAACUGAAAAACACACAAAAUCCAAGCGACCAUCUCUAGCUUGGAUGGUCGCUUGAUCCCACCUAGAGAUGUGCAUGAGUAAAAGGAUUUGAAAAUGGAAAUUGACUAUGUAGUCGAUCAAUUAACUUUGCAACAUCAUAUGCAAUCCUAAUUGCUAGUCAUCUAAUCAAUUAGGUAGUCAAUCAACAGGCCAAAAAUAUGUUUAUAAUGACUAUUUUGUACAAAAACCACCUGUAUAGUUAAAUAUAAUGCAUUUCAUUUAUAAAUCUUCUAAUUCUUGAAUAACGAUCCUAUCAUCCUUUGAAAGUUUUUAUUACACUUUUUUUACUUUUGUUCUAAAACUUACACAUCACCCUUAAUUGUACCAUGAGAACCUAGCUAUUUUUUAUUUUUUUUUUUGUAAUUCAUCAAAGUUAGCUUUUGUAUUCAUUGUUGUAUUAUUUUUAGUAUAACUUAGAAAGCUAGUGUUUUCAAGUGAGUAAAAUUAACUUGUAAAUAUUGUAAAGAUUCAUCGACAUGUAUCUUAAACUAAGUGUACAAGUUAAAACAUUUGCUAGUAGAUUUUCUCAAAAUUUAGAAUAGAGCUUGAGACUAUUGAAAUAGGUGGGGUUGCACCAAACCACAUCACAUCGUUGUUUGCACCUUUUUUCACUCUCUUUUACUUAGUUGCUCUAUAUUUGUUGUCUAGUAAUAUCCUAUAGGCUUGAUGGGUUAGGGAGCAUCCCUUUGUGAAAAAAUUUUAUUCAAUCCUUAGUUGUAUCACGCAUAUAUAAAAUGCCUCAUUGUUUUAAUGGUAUUCAGUCGUGGCAUCACAGAUAUGGGCAUCUAAAUUUUAAAAGUUUGAAACUUUUAUCUAAAGAAAAUAUGGUGCUUUGCCUUUUUGUAAAGCAUGUUGAUGAAAUCCAUGAGAAUUGUGUACUUGGGAAGCAACACCGAGAUGACUUUUUUUUUUUUUUUAUAAUAUUGUUUGUCCAAAUUCCCUACAAAUUAGGCCACCAGAUGUUCAUAAUUCUCCCUUCUUGAAUUUGAAAACUCGGACAAUUGGACAAUGCGACACCUAAGUCCGGUUUCUAAAUGCUAAAGUGAAAGGGUAGGUAUGGACCAUUGAAAUGUGAUCACAACUUUUCUCUGUAGCCAUGUUGUCUCUUUUUUCUUUUGCAUGAUUUUCUUACCUUAACAGAAUCAUAGACUUGUUUAGUCUCUAAAUGGGAUUAAUUUCAUCCAGCUUUAAGCUACUAUAUUAUAUCUAGGUGGAGGACUUUUAAGAGUGCAACCGACAUAGAGCACAUGGAAGUGGGUAUAUGGGACAUGAAAUUUCUUCUUAUAAAGAUUGCAUGAUUUUUAUAUUAGAGUUGUUGAGGCGCUAUGUAUUUAGCUUGUUUUGCAGUUAAAUUAAUUGGAUAAGUAGACAUUGGCGUUUCUAAAUCUACUGUGAAGUGCUUCAUGUACGUGUGAAGUAUUAGAAAUUUCUUUCUUGGCAACUUGUUUUUCUUUGCGGUCUACUGAUAGGUUUGACUAAAAUUAUAUUCCCUGUCAUGCUAAUUAAUUUUCACGUGCAUGCUCAAAAGAAAAGUAUGACCUUAGUGCACCAAAAUCACUUUGAUUAAUUUGUGAUAGGUUUUUGUGCAUCAUGACAUUAGCCUUAUUCAUUUAGAUAAUGUUUAGUUUUUAGAAAGUAUUAAGAAAAGGAAAAUAAAUAUUAAGAAAAAUAUUCUUAUAUUUGAUUGUAUUAUGAAAAAUAUCAUAAAAAAAUCAAAUAUAAUUUAAAUUAAUUAAUAAUUUAUACAUUUUCAAAUUAUUUAAUCUUUAUAUUGAAGAUAUAAUAUAAAUGAAAUGAGUUUUAAGUAUUAUAUAAAAGUGAUUUAUUGAUCUUACAUAUAUAUAUUUCUUUUUUUUUUCCUUCUAUUUUUUCUCUUUAUUUUAUUUUCCUUAUGUUUUCCUCAACAUUUUCCGGAACCAAACAUAGCCUUAGGAAAUCCACAAUUACCUUCAACUGAGUAGAUUCUGUUGUUUUAGCAAUGUUAGGCUGCUAACUUGUGUUGGUACGAACCUAUUAAGCCUAAAGAUGUAAUUAGUUAGGAUAUUCUUUUCCCUCUAGUCUUGUAGCUCCACGUGUACAGUUGGUUAGGACCUCAUUGUAUAUAAUGCUUGCCCUGUUAUUGUAGAAGACAACAAAGAUAAAUAAUAUUAACAUUUUUCCUCUCAUCUCUCUCUGUUUCCCUCUGUUUUCAUCUCCUCUCUCAUCUUGGUAUCAGAGCCUCCAUGGCUUCUUUCAAAGAAACCUCCGAAUCACCUUCUGCUAGCAUUGUUAAUGUGCAAAACCCAUUAUCUCAAUCAAACAACCUUCCUUCACCAGUAGCCACACCCUCUUUUUCUUUCUCGUCUAUGAAUCAACCUCUCACAGUGAAGCUGGAUAAUGGGAACUACCUCAUAUGGAAGAAUUAGCUUCUAAAUGUCAUCAUUGCUAACGGACUCGAUGAUUUCAUUGACGGAUCUCGACCCUGCCCUCCUCGAUUUCUCGAUCUGCAACAACAAACCCUCAAUCCAGAGUACUCAGCUUGGCAGAGAUACAAUCGACUUCUGAUGAGUUGGCUGUACGCAUCCUUGUCCAAAGAUAUAAUGGCUCAGAUUGUUGGGUAUUCAACAGCUAUGGAGAUUUGGAAUGCCCUUAAUCAGAUUUACUCUGCCUCUUCUAUGGCGCGGUUUACUGAGCUUCGCACCAAGCUUCAAACGCUCAAGAAAGAUGGACUCUCAGUUGGUGAAUAUAUUCAAAGGCUCAAAUCCAUUUGCAAUAGUCUUGCAGCAAUAGGAGAACCAGUUUCUGAGAAAGACCAUCUUAUCUAUUUGUUCAAUGGAUUAGAUUGUGAGUAUUAUUCUUUUGUUACCUCCAUUCAAAAUCGAUCUGACCAACCAACUAUUGACAAAAUCCAUAGCCUAUUGCUUAGCUAUGACUUCCGGCUUGAACAACAAAACUCUGUUUCUCUCCAUUCUGCCCAAGUCCAUAUGGCUCAUCUGAACAAGAAACCUUAUAAAUCAACUCCUCAACCUACAUUCAAUCAUAUUCACAUUCAACCUAGAUACUCUUCUCCACCUUUUAAGCCAACCACUAGUCAAUAUCAACCCAACAUUUUGGGCAAACCACAACCACAACCAUGACAGCCUCAACCUCAAUGGAAACCACAUUUUUCAAUCUAAAAUCAAAAGCCUCAGCGCCAAAUUUGUGGUAAAUUUGGACACACUGCUCUUAUUUGCUUCCAUCACACAAAUUUGAACUAUUCACCCCAACCUUCUCCUAAAUCUUUCAAUACUGUUCUCACCACAAAUUCCCAGCUCCCUAAUCCUCCAAAAUUUUCUUACCCUACAAUGGCUCAUCCUGCUGCUACGCAUAACACGGUUCCCGAUACAAAUUGGUACAUGGACUCAGGUGCUACACAUCACUUUACUCUGGACAUCAACGUGCUUGACACUGUGACACCAUUUAGUGGUUCAGAACAGGUGACAGUUGGGAAUGGUAAGCAACUCUGUAUCUCACAUCUUGGUACUGCAAAACUACCAUCUUCGUAUUCUCCUCCUGUUCUACAUCAGGUAUAUCACACUCCAAAAAUUUCAAAUAAUCUUAUUAGUGUUAAAAAAUUGUGUUCUGAUAAUAAAGUUUUUGUUGAAUUUUAUGCCACUCAUUUUCUUGUCAAGGAUCAGGUUUCGAAGAGAGUUCUCCUUUAGGGUCAACUUGAUAAUGGCUUAUACAAAGUUCAGUCGUCAUGCUCUCCUUCUGCUGUUUCCUUUCCUCCUCAAGUUUUCAUAGCCAACAUCAAGUAUCCAAAUCUGUGGCACAAGAGACUAGGCCACCCAGCUUUAUCUGUUGUUAAUCAAAUCUUGGAUUCUUGUAACAUUGCUCGAACACAGAAAAUUUGUUUUAAUUUUUUAAAUUCUUGUCAAUUAGCAAAGAGCCACAGGCUUCCUUUUUCUCUGUCUCCAUCCAUUGCAGAAAAACCUUUUGAGUUAAUUCAUACAGACCUAUGGGGUCUUUCGCUCGUUCGCUCUAUUUCUGGUGCUCUUUAUUUUUUACUUUUCAUUGAUGAUCAUACUCGUUUUACUUGGUUUUAUUUGCUCAAAACAAAAGAUGAAGCAUAUCCUACUUUUCUCAAGUUUCAAGCUCUCAUUGAAAAUCAAUUUAAUACCAAGAUUAAGGCUGUCCAAUCUGAUUGGGGAGGUGAGUUUCGAUCUCUCUCCAUACCGUUUUCAAAUAUGGGCAUUGUCUAUUGUUUAUCGUGUCCAUACACCUCACAACAGAAUGGGCGAGUUGAGCGAAAAAAUCGCCAUGCGAUUGUCCUUUCUUGCUUGCUCUAUGCCCUUAUCUUAUUGGCCUUAUGCCUUUCAAACUGCCACUUACCUUAUUAAUCGUCUCUCUACCCCUGUGCUGCAUCAUCAAUCCUCUUACUUCGCACUCUAUCACAAACUCCCAACUUAUACUCAUCUUAAGGUCUUUGGUUCCUCUUGUUUUCCGUAUUUGCACCCUUAUAAUACCCAUAAACUCCAAUACAGGUCACUAGAGUGUGCUUUUCUUGGUUACAGUUCACACCACAAAGGUUAUCUAUGUCUUGACAUUCAUUCUAGCAGGGUGUAUAUUUCUCGCCAUGUGAUUUUUAAUGAAGAUUCUUUUCCAUUCAAGAAUUUGAAAUCUUCUCUCUCUCAGUCUAUUUCUUCUUCCUCUUCUUUAUAAGUUCCUCUGUUCAUUCUCUUGCCUCCCCUUUCCCCAUCUCCUCUUAUUUCUUCAUCUAUACCUCAUUCUUUUCCCUCUUCUUCUUCUACCUCUAGUACUUGUUCCCCUCUCGUUGCUCCUACCUCUCUUCCUUCCUCUUCACACUCUGUGUCUCCAUCUAUUCCACCUCCUUCUCCACCUUCUCCGAGUGUGGACCUGCUUGCACCUUGUGUGAAUACAAAUUUACAUACUUCUUCUCGCACUCACAAUAUUCAUCCUAUGGUGACUAGAUCUAAGGUUUGUAUCUAUAAACCUAAGUUGUUGUUGAGUGUCUCCAUAGGUUCUCUCACUAAGCCUACUUCCUUUCUUCAAGCUAUUAAAGAUCCUUCAUGGAAGCAAUCCAUGGAAUUCGAGUUUGCUACCCUUCAACACAACAAGACCUGGCAUUUGGUUCCUUCACCUUCCUCAGGCGAAGUAAUCGGUUGUAAAUGGGUCUAUAAGCUAAAGCUUCAGCCUGAUGGCUAAAUUGAGAGAUACAGCCUGCUUAGUAGCUAAGGGUAUCAUCAAAUUGAAGUAUGGACUACUUCGAAACAUUCAGCCUGAUNNNNNNNNNNNNNNNNNNNNNNNNNNNNNNNNNNNNNNNNNNNNNNNNNNNNNNNNNNNNNNNNNNNNNNNNNNNNNNNNNNNNNNNNNNNNNNNNNNNNAGCUUCAGCCUGAUGGCUAAAUUGAGAGAUACAAGGCCUGCUUAGUAGCUAAGGGUUAUCAUCAAAUUGAAGGUAUUGACUACUUCGAAACAUUCAGCCUGAUUGUCAAGCUUUCUACUAUCUGUAUUGUGCUCAGUCUUACUUUUUCCCAGAAUUGGUGUAUUAGACAGCUGGAUGUUCAUAAUGCCUUCUUACAUGGUGACUUAGCUAAAGACGUUUUCAUGGAACAACUGCCUGGAUUUGUUGAUCCUCUCUAUCCUACUCAUGUCUGCAAGUUGGAUAAGUCUCUCUACUGUCUUAAAUAGUCACCUCGGGCUUGGUAUACUAAGCUGAGUACUUCUCGCUACACUUGGGAUUUGUUACUUCUAAGAAUGACUCUUCCUUAUUUAUUUGUCAUUCGUCUCAUGGGUUACUUCUUGUUCUUGUCUAUGUGGAUGAUAUAAUCGUCAUUGGGAGCCACUCUCCUCAGGUUACUCACCUUAUCCAACAGUUGCAUCAUUAGCUUUCUUUAAAGGAUCUUGGUCCUUUACAUUAUUUUCUGGGCUUGGAGGUUCAUCACACCCCUACUGGUAUUCACCUCAGCCAAGCAAAGUAUAUCACUGAUCUCCUUACCCGGGCGGCUAUGUUGGAUGCCAAGCCAUGUCCCACUCCUAUGUCCUCCAACACAUAUCUCUCUUUUCAUGAUGGAGUGGCUCUUGAAAAUGGUUCAGAUUAUCGAAGUUUUGUUGGUGCCCUUUAGUAUUGUACCAUGACACGCCCAGAUAUAGCUUUUGCAAUAAAUAAAGUGUGUCAAUUCAUGCACCAUCCCUCUAAUGUUCACUGGCAGGCUAUAAAACGUAUUCUCCGGUACUUAAAGGGCACAUCUCAUUUUGGUCUCUUCCUACAGCCUUCCUAUGACUUCAACAUCACUUGCUAUACAAAUGCCGACUGGGCUUCCUGUCCUGAUGACAAGUGUAGCACCAGUGGCUACUGCCUCUUUCUUGCCUCUAAUCUGGUUUCUUGGUCAUCUUCCAAACAAAAAGUGGUCUCCCGCUCCAGCGCCGAAUCAGAGUACCGAGGGGUAGCAAAUGGGGCUGCUGAAAUUGCUUGGACUGAAUCUCUUCUUUGUGAACUUUCCAUUACUCCCCCUCCCCUCAUUCUCUGUGACAAUAUCAGUGCCACGUACUUAGCUGCCAAUCCUAUUUUGCAUGCCCGCACCAAACAUGUGGAAAUCGACUAUCACUUUGUCACGGAACGUGUUCUUCAAUGCUCUCUUUUUGUCCAGUUUACACCUUCUGAUGAUCAACUUGCUGAUUGCAUGACCAAGCCUCUCUCCACCCAACGUUUCAUCACUCUACGCUCCAAGCUCACUGUUCUCACUAGACCAAUGAGCUUGAGGGGGGAUGUUAAGCCUAAAGAUGUAAUUAGUUAGGAUAUUCUUUUCCCUCUAGUCUUGUAGCUCCACGUGUACAGUUGGUUAGGACCUCAUUGUAUAUAAUGCCUGCCCUGUUAUUGUAGAAGACAACAGAGAUAAAUAAUAUUAACAUUUUUCCUCUCAUCUCUCUCUCUGUUUCCCUCUGUUUUCAUCUCCUCUCUCAUCUGAACCAAAUGAUCCAUGUUAACCUUGGCUUGGUUUGAUUUGGCUCUAUCUUAGAGAGCUCAAGGAUCACGUCAACUCUGGUUUCUACUAUUCAGGUCCAUUCCCAUAUGAACUGGUUCAAAUUUGAGAAAAUGGUAACAGACCUUUAGUGAUGUUGGUUUGGAGCCAGUUGCCAAACCCGCCCUGAGCUUUACCACUAAUGUCAAGGGAGAAAGCCAUUUGAACAAAAACAAUAGCUUCAAGGGACUGAAUCGUGGAUGAAAUCUGAUCCACAUUUCUUCUCAUUUUGGAAACAAAUGAGAACUUAACUAAGAAGAUUCUACGGCCUCAUAGUGCUUUUCCUGAUCUAAGGUUGGUUCGUUUCCCAAACUGUGAGAUGCACGUGCCAGACUUCAGAACUCUCACGCUCAGGAGUGUAUCCACGUGGUGGACAUAAGAUGGUGGCUUAAGAUCUGGUGUCGGUGGCUUUACUUUACUAGGAGAGUAGUGUGUCUUCAUCUCAUUCACUGCCGGAGGGUGGCGUAAGCAGUGACGCUAAGGUGGGGCACAGUCAAUAUCAUUUGCAUUUGACCAUUAUAGUUUUCUCCCGGCUUUAAAGUAACCUUAUCGUGAUAAAGGAUUACUAGCACUAGUUCAGAUGAUAGUCAUGUUAAAUUCGGACCAUGUUUGUGUCACAUUAUCAGCAACCAUGUGUUUAUGGUUCAUGCUUUCUGCAACUAAAAUUGAUAUAUAACCAGGUGAACUUCAAUCUAAAUUCUGAAAGUACUCAUGUGAUAGAUGGUGCCCGUCUGCAGAGUCCAUCAAUUGAAAAAUGGAGUGAGUGUAUCUAUAAGAGGGAAGGCUUGGAAAAUGUUCAGUUUUCUGGGAAUUCAACAAGGAUCUAAAAUAGAUUGUUUUCUUUGCUGAUUUCAAUGGUUGAAAUUUGAGAAGAUUGUGUCCACAUAACACAACUAUUACUGGUCCUUCUGUUGCAAUUUAUCCUCUAAAGCUCUAGCAUGUCUUCCAAUUCCCACUUCCCUGUUACUCCAGGAAAGCUAUUUCUGUCAUUGUGAAGAAGAAAAGAGAAUGUACAUAUCGAUGCUUUUAAGUGACUGGAGCAUUUAUAUCAGGUGGUCUGCAGCCAUAUAUGCCACUUUGUGAAGAUUGGAACAGUCAAUCACUAGGCUAUAUAUUAGUGUGGCCCAGCCACUUUAAUCAAGGACAAGUCUUCAUACUUAAAGUCAAAUUCUGCCUUUAGUCUCAUUAUAAAUUUCUGUUUAAAUAUUAAGCAAACAUUUGUUUAAUGCGAUUAAGACAGUACUAACUCAAUACCUGUUCUAUUUUUGGAUGCAAAUGCUUGAUGGUUUCAUCAUUGGAUGGGAUAAAGGUGCAUUCAUGAUUAGGAAUACUAGUAGUUAUAUUUUAAUUCUCUUUUUUCUCAAUGAGACUUGUUGGCACAAUUUUGCUGUUGAGAAACCUACCUCUCCAUGGAAAAUAAGUUGUGAUUGAUAGUACUGGAUAUAUUCAAGAAAUCUAAAUAUAGAUAGCACAAAAUAUUAUCGACAUAAAUAGCAUUAACAGCGUACGUAUGUCUCAGUGCUCAUCAGCUAUAAGCAUGGGGCAAACACUUACUAUGAGCAACUUACGUCAAAAUUCCAGAAUAGGACAUAGAAGUGACAGAUAUAGAACAUUGCAUAUGAGUCACAAGAAAGGAAAUUACGGGUGCAUAGCAGCUCUUAUUUUACAUACUACUACUCAUACUGAUCAAAGUCACUCAGUUGGGAUGGGUGGGAGUAGGAGGUUUGUGGGGUGGCUUGUGCGGAGGAGUUGGCAGCUUCUUUCCAGGACCUGGUUGCUUCUCUGCUGGAGUUGAAGGAGGCUUAAUCUUCCGAGGUGGCUUGUAUGAGUCUUCAGCAUUCUCAGCUGGAGGGUGACCAGGGUUGUGACCAUAAUGUGGUGGCUUCUCUCCCUUAGGUGGUUUGCCAACUGGGGUUGGUGGCUUGUAUGAGUCUUCAGCAUUCUCAGCAGGAGGGUGACCAGGGUUGUGACCAUAAUGUGGUGGCUUCUCUCCCUUAGGUGGUUUGCCAACUGGGGUUGGUGGCUUGUGUUCUGGGAGUGGCUUCUCCCCCUUGGGAGGUUUUUCCAAUGGGGUUGGUUUGUGUUCAGGAGGUGGCUUCUCCACUGGAGGCUUGUGUUCAGGAGGUGGCUUCUCCACCGGAGGCUUGUGUUCAGGUGGUGGCUUCUCCACCGGAGGCUUAUGCUCUGGUGGUGGCUUCUCGAAUGGGGGAUGCUUAGGAUAAUCAGCAAGUGAGGGGGCGGUGAGAACCACCAGGCCAAGCAACACCACUAGCAAAUAUGUAGGAGACAUCUUUGGGUUUGGGCUCAGAUGGUGCAAAACUAGGAGAAUUGGCUAGCCUUUUAUAGCGGAUCGUACCCAAUAAUGAAAUGACACGUGUCAUUAUGACCCAUGUGUAAUGGGGUCGAUUUGGGUCCUACAGUGUUGAAAACUUCGACAUCCACUUUUGGCCUUUUGCUUUCUCUACAGCCGCCUUGCUUUUUCCCUCUUUCCUUUUGUUUUCCUCCUGCCCCAUUCUAUCAACUAAACACAAUUAUGUAGUUGUUUAAUUCUUAAAUGAGAUAUUAUCCGUCAAUCGUAUUAUAUUUUAUCAAGAGAGAACGGAGUGCAAUGUGGCUGUAAUUUUAUCGUUUAGUUUUAUCUCUUGGACCACUGCAUUUUUGUUAAGAGGUGCAAUAAUACACGUCUUUAUCUGCCAUUCAAUAUUUACAGUAAAGAGAGGGCACAAAACUCUUCACUUCGCACCAUAAUUAUUUUGUUUUCUGGACACCCCGGGGCCCUUUGGUUGGUUUGGGGGUCAGAAAGUGAACAUCAUAGGGGGUUUUUCCCUUAUGUGCAUUUGUAUCUGAUGGCUUUAACUCGCCUUGUUACUACAAAGAAACUGUCACAGAUAGGAACUUAUUCCAGGCUGAGUAUCUCCUCAUAGACCCUAUAAAAGAAGACAAGUCAUAAUGAACAUCUAACCUUUGUUCAAUUUGAUUCAAUGCCCCCAUUGUGUCCAUCUCACAAAUCUGAAUUAUUAUAUCCAUUGAAUACAUAAAUUAAUGAAGAAAAUAUGAAACCCAAGAUACAUCUCUGCACAACCUCAACCCUGGUUGCUAUGUUUCCCUUCUAUUCACAUGAUUUGAUGCUAAUUGCCAAACUUGCAACAAGCCCUGAGUUUGACACCUAGUAUCGAUGGGCGAAUUUAAAGUCUCCUCCAAACAUAUAUUCCACAGCUUGAAGCUCACAGAAGAUGUUACAGGCAGGGAAAAACCUUCAGAGUUCGCUACCAAAGAUAAUUAUUAAGGAGAUAUCACAAAGAGAAUUCCAAGGGGUCUGAAUCAAAGACAAAUUGGUCGUUCGUGGGGGUUCUUACUUUCUUUUGGGUAUAACUCACUGAGGGCACUGUCUUUGUUAUUUGCAUUUCACAUUUAGAGUUCUGUUCUGGAAACAUAUAAAAGGAGCAUCAUUUUGUUCUUGGGUAACCCAUAGUCGUGAGUGGGUCCAUUUGCAUGCUACUUAGUUGAAAAGUUGGACCAUUUGCUCCGACGCCUACCUCCCGGAUUCCAUGCUCGGAUAAAACAAGAAUAAAAAAAAUAUUUAUAAUUUACAAAUGGGGGAAAGAAAAAAAUGUCAACAACAAACCAGGAAAAAAGAGUAGUAAAAUUCAUGUCACAUGCUAGUGAGAGAAGGGGUUGUUACACUCACUCGAAGUUCUUUCCAAAAUAUCGCAUGGUAUUUUAUUUUAUGUGUCAGCGCAGUUGUGAAUGGAACGUGCAAAAGUCCAAAUUGGCGUUUUUCCUUUUCCCGUGUAGGAUGGCGACCUUUAAUAAAUAUUUAAAACAAAAAACGAAAAAAAGGAGGGAAAAGGGAUCAGAAAAGAUAAAACAAUGUGUACAAGAGCUCAAUUAGUUUGCAAAUUACUGUUUGGAUUUUGAUAGUAUUUUAUUUGUCCAUCUAUAUUUGAUGGAAAAGAGAAUUUAAGAUAUUUCUGAAACAAAAGCAUUAGUGUAAAACUAAAUUAAGGUAUAAUUAAGUUAGUUCAAUGCAUUAAUUUAAGAAACUUGAUCUAUCCAAAGUACAAAAUUAGAUGAAAUCCAUUUCAAUGGUUAAAAUGAUCAAAAUCAAACUUUUUCUAAGUAUUUUUUAAAAGCAUCAAUAUUAAAAGACAAUUUUAUAUUUAGUCGGAGUUUGGACAAAACCAAAAAGCACACAAAAUCCAAGCGACCAUCUCUAGCUUGGAUAGUCACUUGAUCCCACCUAGAGAUGUGCAUGAGUAAAAGGAUUUGAAAAUGGAAAUUGACUAAAUAUUUAGUUGAUCAAUUAAAUUUGCAAUGUCAUAUGCAAUCCUAAUAGCUAGUCAUCUAAUCAAUUAGGUAGUCAAUCAAGUGUUUGUAAUGACUAUUUUGUACAAAAAACCACAUGUAUAGUUAAAUAUAAUGCAUUUCAUUUAUAAAUCUUCUAAUUCUUGAAUAACGAUCCUAUCAUCCUUUGAAAAUUUUUAUUACACCUUUUUUACUUUUGUUCUAAAACUUACAUAUCACCCUUAAUUGUACCAUGAGAACCUAGCUAUUUUUUUUUUUUUUGUAAUUCAUCAAAGUUAGCUUUUGUAUUCAUUGUUGUAUUAUUUUUAGUAUAACUUAGAAAGCUAGUGUUUUCAAGUGAGUAAAAUUAACUUGUAAAUAUUGUAAAGAUUCAUUGAUAUGUAUCUUAAACUAAGUGUACAAAUUAAAACAUUUGCUAGUAGAUUUUCUCAAAAUUUAGAAUAGAGCUUGAGGCUAUUGAAAUAGGUGGGGUUACACCAAACCACAUCACAUCGUUGUUUGCACCUUUUUUCACUCUCUUUUACUUAGUUUCUCUAUAUUUGUUGUCUAGUAAUAUCCUAUAGGCUUGAUGGGUUAGGGAGCAUCCCUUUGUGAAAAAAUUUCAUUCAAUUCUUAGUUGUAUUACGCAUAUAUAAAAUGCCUCAUUGUUUUAAUGGUAUUCAGUCGUGGCAUCACAGAUAUGGGCAUCUAAAUUUUAAAAGUUUGAAACUUUUGUAAAGCAUGUUGAUAAAAUCCAUGAGAGUUGUGUACUUGGGAAGCAACAUCGAGGUGACUUUAUUUUUUUUUCCUUUUAUAAUGCCACACCUAAGUCCGGUUUCUAAAUGCUAAAGUGAAAGGGUAGGUAUGGACCAUUGAAAUGUGAUCACAACUUUUGGCCUUUUCCUUUCUCUGCAGCCAUGUUGUCUCUUUUUUCUUUUGCAUGAUUUUCUUACCAAAACAGAAUCAUAGACUUGUUUAGUCUCUAAGCUACUAUAUUAUAUCUCGGUGGACUUUUAAGAGUGCAACCGACAUAGAGCACAUGCAAGUGGGCAUAUGGGACAUGAAAUUUCUUCUUACAAAGAUUGCAUGAUUUUUAUAUUAGAGUUGUUCACGUGCAAUGUAUUUAGCUUGUUUUGCAGUUAAAUUAAUUGGAUAAGUAAACAUUGGCAUUUCUAAAUCGACUGUGAAGUGCUUCAUGUACGUGUAAAGUAUUAGAAAUUUCUUUCUUGGCAACUUGUUUUUUCCUUGCCAUCUACUGGUAGGUUUGACUAAAAUUAUAUUCCCUGUCAUGCUAAUUAAUUUUCAUGUGCAUGCUCAAAAGAAGAGUAUGACCUUAGUGCACCAAAAUCACUUUGAUUAAUUUGUGAUAGGUUUUUUUGCAUCAUUUAGAUAAUGUUUAGUUCUAAGAAAAAUUUAUAUAAAAAUGGUUUAUUUAUCUUACAUAUAUAUAUAUAUAUAUAUAUUUUUUUUUUUUUCAUUUUUUUUUCUUCUAUUUUAUUUAUUUAUUUUAUUUUCCUUAUGUUUUCCUCACAUUUUCCGGAACUAAACAUAGUCUUACGAAAUCAACAAUUGCCUUCAACUGAGUAGAUUCUGUUGUUUUAGCAAUGUUAGGCUGCUAACUUGUGGUGGUACGAACCAAAUGACCCAUGUUAAUCUUGGCUUGGUUUGAUUUGGCUCUAUCUCAGAGAGCUAAAGGAUCACGUCAACUCUGGUUUCUACUAUUCAGGUCCAUUCCCAGAUGAACUGGUUCAAAUUUGAGAAAAUGGUAACAGACCUUUAGUGAUGUUGGUUUGGAGCCAGUUGCCAAACCCGCCCUGAGCUUUACCACUAAUGUCAAGGGAGAAAGCCAUUUGAACAAAAACAAUAGCUUCAAGAGACUGAAUCGUGGAUGAAAUCUGAUCCACAUUUCUUCUCAUUUUGGGAAAAAAUGAGAACUUAACUACAAAGAUUCUACUGCCUCAUUCAUAGUGCUUUUCCUGAUCCAAGGUUGGUUCGUUUCCCAAAUUGUGAGGUGCACGUGCCACUCUCACGCUCAGGAGUGUAUCCACGUGGUGGACAUCAGAUGGUGGCUUAAUAUCUGGUGUCGGUGGCUUUACUUUACUAGGAGAGUAGUGUGUCUUCAUCUCAUUCACUGCCGGAGGGUGGCGUAAGCAGUGACGCUAAGGUGGGGCACAGUCAAUAUCAUUUGCAUUUGACCAUUAUAGUUUUCUCCCGGCUUGAAAGUAACCUUAUCGUGAUAAAGGAUUACUAGCACUAGUUCAGAUGACCGUCAUGUUAAUUCGGACCAUGUUUGUGUCACAUUAUCAGCAACCAUGUGUUUAUGGUUCAUGCUAUCUGCAACUAAACUUGAUAUAUAACCAGGUGAACUUCAAUCAAAAUUCUGGAAGUACUCUUGUGAUAGAUGGUGCCUGUCUGCAGAGUCCAUCAAUUGAAAAAUGGAGUGAGUGUAUCUAUAAGAGGGAAGGCUUGGCAAAUGUUCAGUUUUCUGGGAAUUCAACAAGGAUCUAAAAUAGAUUGUUUUCUUUGCCGACUUCAAUGGUUGAAAUUUGAGAAGAUUGUGUCCACAUAUCACAACUAUUACUGGUCCUUCUGUUGCAAUUUAUCCUGUAAGGCUCUAACAUGUCUUCCAAUUCCCACUUCCCUGUUACUCCAGGAAAGCUAUUUCUGUCAUUGUGAAGAAGAAAAGAGAAUGUACAUAUCGAUGCUUUUAAGUGACUGGAGCAUUCAUAUCAGGUGGUCUGCAGCCAUAUAUGCCACUUUGUGAAGGUUGGAACAGUCAAUCACUAGGCUAUAUAUUGGUGUGGCCCAGCCACUUCAAUCAAGGACAAGUCUUCAUACUUAAAGUCAAAUUCUGCCUUUAGUCUCAUUAUAAAUUGCUGUUUAAAUAUUAAGCAAACUUUUGUUUAAUGCGAUUAAGACAGUACUAACUCAAUACUUGUUCUAUUUUUGGAUGCAAAUGCUUGAUGGUUUCAUCAUUGGAUGGGAUAAAGGUGCAUUCAUGAUUAUGAAUACUUGUAGUUAUAUUUUCAUUCUCUUUUUUCUCAAUGAGACUUGUUGGCACAAUGUUGCUGUUCAGAAACCUACCUCUCCAUGGAAAAUAAGUUGCGAUUGAUAGUACUGGAUAUGUUCAAGAAAGCUAAAUAUAGAUAGCACAAAAUAUUAUCGAUAUAAAUAGCAUUAACAGCGUACGUAUGUCUCAAUGCUCAUCAGCUAUAAGCAUGGGACAAACACUUACUAUGAGCAACUUACGUCAAAAUUCCAGAAUAGGACAUAGAAGUGACAGAUCUAUAUAUAUAGAACACUGCAUAUGAGUCACAAGAAAGGAAAUUACGGGUGCAUAGCAGCUCUUAUUUUACAUACUACUACUCAUACUGAUCAAAGUCACUCAGUUGGGAUGGGUGGGAGUAGGAGGUUUGUGGGGUGGCUUGUGCGGAGGAGUUGGCAGCUUCUUUCCAGGACCUGGUUGCUUCUCUGCUGGAGUUGAAGGAGGCUUAAUCUUCCGAGGUGGCUUGUAUGAGUCUUCAGCAUUCUCAGCUGGAGGGUGACCAGGGUUGUGACCAUAAUGUGGUGGCUUCUCUCCCUUAGGUGGUUUGCCAACUGGGGUUGGUGGCUUGUAUGAGUCUUCAGCAUUCUCAGCAGGAGGGUGACCAGGGUUGUGACCAUAAUGUGGUGGCUUCUCUCCCUUAGGUGGUUUGCCAACUGGGGUUGGUGGCUUGUGUUCUGGGAGUGGCUUCUCCCCCUUGGGAGGUUUUUCCAAUGGGGUUGGUUUGUGUUCAGGAGGUGGCUUCUCCACUGGAGGCUUGUGUUCAGGAGGUGGCUUCUCCACCGGUGGCUUGUGUUCAGGAGGUGGCUUCUCCACCGGAGGCUUAUGCUCUGGUGGUGGCUUCUCCACCGGAGGCUUAUGCUCUGGUGGUGGCUUCUUGAAUGGGGGAUGCUGAGGGUAAUCAGCAAGUGAGGGGGCGGUGAGAACCACCAGGCCAAGCAACACCACUAGCAAAUAUGUAGGAGACAUCUUUGGGUUUGGGCUCAGAUGGUGCAAAACUAGGAGAAUUGGCUAGCCUUUUAUAGCGGAUCGUACUCAAUAAUGAAAUGACACGUGUCAUUAUGACCCAUGUGUAAUGGGGUCGAUUUGGGUCCUACAGUGUUGAAAACUUCGACAUCCAGUUUUGGCCUUUUGCUUUCUCUACAGCCGCCUUGCUUUUUCCCUCUUUCCUUUUGUUUUCCUCCUGCCCCAUUCUAUCAACUAAACACAAUUAUGUAGUUGUUUAAUUCUUAAAUGAGAUAUUAUCGGUCAAUCGUAUUAUAUUUUAUCAAGAGAGAACGGAGUGCAAUGCAGCUGUAAUUUUAUCGUUUACUUUUAUCUCUUGGACCACUGCAUUUUUGUUAAGAGGUGCAAUAAUACACGUCUUUAUCUGCCAUUCAAUGUUUACAGUAAAGAGAGGGCACAAAACUCUUCACUGCUCUGCAUGUGUCCCAAAAAUGCGAUUGGACAAAUUAUGAUUUGCAUGCUAAAAAGAGGCAAAUGAGGUUAAUUCGCACCAUAAUUAUUUGGUUUUCUGGACACCAUAAAAAGAUGUUAUACAGGCAGGGAAAAACCUUCAGAGUUAGCUACCAAAGAUAAUUAUCAAGCAGAUAUCACCAAGAGAAUUCCAUAGAGUCUGAAUCAAAGACAGAUUGCUCGCUCGUGGGGGUUCUUACUUUCUUUUGGGUAUAACUCACUGAGGUCACUGUCUUUUUUAUUUGCAUUUCACAGUUAGAGUUCUGCUCUGGAAGGUUUGUUCUGGAAACAUAUAAAAGGAGCAUCAUUUUGUUCUUGGGUAACCCAUAGUCGUGAGUGGGUCCAUUUGCAUGCUACUUAGUUGAAAAGUUGGACAAUUUGCUCCGACGCCUACCUCCUGGAUUCCAUGCUCGGUAAAACAAGAAUAAAAAAAAAUAUAUAAUUUACAAAUGGGGGAAAGAAAAAAUGUCGGAAAAAAUAGUAAAAUUCAUGUCACAUGCUAGUGAGAGAAGGGGUUGUUACACUCACUCGAAGUUCUUUUCAAAAUAUCGAAUGGUAUUUUACUUUAUGUGUCAGCGCAGUUGUGAAUGGAACGUGCAAAAGUCCAAAUUGGCGUUUUUAUUUUUCCCAUGUAGGAUGGUGACCUUUAAUAAAUAUUUAAAACAAAAGACGAAAAAAAAAAGGAGGGAAAAGGGAUCACAAAAGAUAAAAUAAUGUUUACAAAAGCUCAAUUAGUUUGCAAAUUACUGUUUGGAUUUUGAUAGUAUUUUAUUUGUCGUUCUAUAUUUGAUGUAAAAGAGAAUUUAAGAUAUUUCCGAAGCAAAAGCAUUAGUUUGCUCUGUGAUGUCCCACAUCGAAUAGGGGAGAAAGUUUCUGGCGCUAUAUAUGUAGAGGCUCCUCUUAACCAAGUAGAUGCGUUUUAAAACCAUGAGGGCCCCCUUAGGUCCAAAGCGGACAAUAUCUACAUGAUUGGGUGUAAGUCAUUACAAAUGGUAUCAGAGCCGAUCCCCGACCCCGGUGUGGGGGUUUGUUUGGCCCUGUAAGGGGUGUUUGUCUGUUUGACCCCACAAUCCCAUGGGACACAACGAGGACGUUGUGUCUGCAUGGGGGGGCGUUUGUGAUGUCCCACAUCGGAUAGGGGAGAAAGUUCCUAGUGCUAUAUAUGUAGAUGUUUCUCUUAACCAAGUAGAUGCAUUUUAAAAUUGUGAGGGCCUCUUUGGGCCCAAAGCGGACAAUAUCUACAUGGUUGAGUGUAAGUCAUUACAUGCUCCAUGUCAAUUUCAGCAUUUCUCAUAUGUUUCACACAUACACAGAAGAGCAUCGUUUUUUAAAGCAUGCAUUUAUGUUGGAUUAAUUUGGAUUUUGUGGGAACUGGGGCAAGGAUCACAUGGAAGAGAGGUUGACUUUUUUCAGUACUUCAAUGGUUGAAAUAUGUGAAGGCUUGAUUGAUACUAAAGCUUGAAAUUGCGACUCUGUCAUUUGUAAAAAAAUAUGACAGCUUCCAUGCUCUCGUUUGGUUGCAUUGUCCGGUCGAGAGGUGCAAAAAGCAUUCUCUCUCUUCUAAUAGUCUUUUCGUUUAAAUCAAGGGAUUUGCCUUCCCGGUCGAGGUCCAAUAGAGGGUAACGGUCACCUACUAAACAUUAAAUGCUCCAACAACUAGUGAACUGAUCGACCCCAGCUCGACUAGUUGAGGUUACUUUUUGGUUUUCUUGUCUCCCGAGGUUAGAAACCUAUAAAUAGAGAGCUUCACUUCAUUUAUGAGUAAGAGAACACCUAAAUUUAUUUGUUUACCUACUUGUUUUUGCCAUAAAAGCUCUCAUUUCUUUUCUUGGUGUAUUAAAUCUCCAUUUGCAUAUCCUUUAGUGCACCUUUGUGAUUCAUUCUAGCCUUGAGUUGUAUUUAAGCCUUUGUUGAGCUAGGUUGAGAGUUUCAUACUUGUUUAUUGAGUGUUAAAGCCUUCAAGUGAGUUAAAACUUGAAGAGAUUGUGUAAGAGCCCAUUGGAGUCGGAAUCCAAGUGUAAAGGUGAUUAAAAGCUUGGUUGAAGCUUCAAGUUAGUGGAACUCUCACUCGGUUAUGAGCUUGAGAAGAGUGGACAUAGACAAGGCAGUGUCGAACCACUAUAAAAUCUGAGUUUGAUUUCUCUAACCUUAUCUCUUUAUAUUUGCUUCUCUUGUGCUUAAAUUUUUUGUGUUUAAAAAGAAUUUUUAAAAACUCAAUUCACCCCCUUCUUGGGAGUUUUUCUCUUUUAAGAUCAGCUUUUAUUUUCUCAAUUGGUAUCAGAACUAUGCCUCUUGUUUAAGACUUAAUCGUCUAAGAGGAAAUGGCUAAUCCAUCAAGUUCAUCUCACAUUGAAAGUUUUGCAACCAAUAGACUUCUUUUUUUUUUUUUGCGGGAACUGAUUAUCCCUAUUGGAAAACUAAAAUGACUUGGUUUUUACAAUCAAUUGAUUUAGAUGUAUGAGAUGCCAUUGAAGAUGACCUAACUUUUCCUUCAAAACUAGUUGAUGGAGUCAUGGUUCCAAAACCUAAGCAAGAAUGGGAUGAGCGUGAUUGAAGAAAUUUUCAAUUAAAUGCUAAAGUCGUUUAUACUUUGCAAUGCUCUAUGGACAGAAAUGAAUAUAAUAGAAUAUGUCAAUGCAAAUCGGUUAAAGAAAUUUGGAGAUUGCUUGAAAUAACUCAUAAAGGAACAAAUCAAGUUAAAGAGUCAAAAAUCAAUUUACUUGUUCAUAGAUAUGAAUUGUUUUUUAUGAAAGAUAAUGAAACUAUUGUUAAGAUGAUCACUAGGUUCACCAACAUUGUUAAUGGUCUUAAAGCCUUGGGAAAGACCUACAAGGAAUCCGAAAACGUGAUGAAGAUCUUGAGGUCACUUCCAUCAAAGUGGCAUACCAAGGUCACCGCAAUUUAAGAAGCAAAAGACUUGAUCAAGCUACCUUUGGAGGAGUUCAUAGGGUCAUUGAUGACAUAUGAAAUCAAUUUGGCAAAGAAGUAACAAAAAGGUGAAGACAAAAAGAAGAAGAACAUAACUCUCAAAGCUACAACUAAGGAAGAAGAAGUUGAAGAAGAAAAACAAAUUGAAGAAGAUGAAGAUUUAGCCCUCAUCACAAGAAAGUUCAACAAAUUCAUGAGGGGUGAAAGGUUUAGAAGAAGAAGGUUCACUUCUAGAAGAGACUUUUCUAAAAAGGAAUCUUCAUCUAAUGGUGACAAAAAGAGAUGGGAAGAGAAAAGAGACUUGGUGUGUUUCAAGUGCAAGAAACCGGGACACAUUAAAUAUGAUUGUCCUCUCUACAAAAGUGAAGUCAAGAGGAAAAAGAAUAAGGCAAUGAUGGCCACUUAGAGUGAAAGUGAAGAUGAAUCAUCCGAAGAAGAAAAUGAGAAAGAAGUGGCAAACAUGUGUUUCAUGGCAAUAGAUGAACUUGAUGAGGUAAAAUCUAACCUUAGUGAUUAAGAUAUACAUGAUGCAUUUGAAGAAUUGUAUGAGGAUUUUUAAAAACUUAGUUUGAAAAAUAUUUCUCUUAAAAAGAAAGUUCAACAACUUGACAAAGAACUUAGAGAAGUAAAAGAAAAAUUUUCAAAUGUUAAAGUUUCUAAAACUCAUCUUGAAAAAGAAAAUGAGAUUCUAAGAAAGAAAAAUGAAUAGUUGAACUCCUCUCUUUCAAUCUUUUCUUCUAGACAAAAAUCUUUUGAAAUGAUUCUAACUAGCUAAAAAUGUGUUUUUGACAAACAAGGGUUAAGAUUUAAAUCUUCAAAAAAUCAAAAGUAUUUUAAAAACUAUUUUGUAAAGGAAUCCACAAGUGCAAGUCCUUCCACUACUUGCAACUUUUGUGGAAGAGAAUGGCACAUUAGUAGUACGCCCUUUAAGAAAUGGUUCUCAAAAGAAUUUAAAUGCAAAAACUAAAAAAGAUUUGGAUUGAGAAAUCCAAGGUCACUAACCCUCAAGGACCCAAAAAGAUAUAGGUACCUAAAUCAACUUGAGUUUUAUGUUGUAAGGUUCAAAGAAUGAUAAGUGGUUCUUAGAUAAUGGUUGCUCAAGACACAUGACCGGAGAUGAAUCCAAGUUUGCUUUUCUUAAAAAGAAAAAUGGAGGAUAUGUUACCUUUGGAGACAAUGCAAAAGAAAGGAUGAUUGGUCAAGGCAACAUUGGUAAUGGCACAUCCUCUCUCAUUGAAAGUGUUUUAUUAGUAGAUGGUUUCAAACAUAACCUUUUAAGCAUUAGUCAAUUUUGCGACAAAGGUUUUUAAGUGAUUUUUUAAGCAUCUCAUUGCAUCAUCAAGGAUAUUCAAAAUGAUAAAACCAUUUUCAUGGGCCAUAGAUGUGAUAAUGUUUAUGCUAUAAAUAUUUCAAAAUAUGAUGGCCAUGAUAGAUGUUUUUCAAGCAUGCAUGAUCAAAGUUGGUUGUGCCAUAGGAGAUUGAGACAUGCUAACAUAGACCUCAUUUCCCAACUCAACAAAGAUGAACUUGUUAGAGGCCUUCCCAAAAUAAUUUUUUAAAAAGAUAAAGUUUGUGAAGCUUGUCAAGUGGGAAAGUAAAUCAAAAACUCUUUUAAAAACAAAAACUUCAUUUCCACAUCUAGGCCACUUGAGUUGUUGCAUAUGGAUUUAUUUGGUCCCUCUAGGACACCAAGUCUUAGAGGAAAUUCUUAUGCAUAUGCUAUUGUGGACGACUUCUCUAGAUACACAUGAGUCUUGUUUUUUAGUCAAAAGAAUAAAGUUUUUUAUGAGUUUUCAAAGUUUUGCAAUAAGAUUCAAAAUGAAAAAGGUUUUUCAAUUACUUAUAUAAGAAGUGAUCAUGGGAGAGAAUUCGAAAAUAUUGAUUUUGAAGAGUAUUGCAAUGAGCAUGGAAUUGACCACAAUUUUUUGGCUCUUAGAACUCCUCAACAAAAUGGGGUAGUUGAAAGGAAAAAUAGAACUCUUCAAAAAAUGACAAGAACCAUACUAAAUGAAAACAACUUACCAAAAUAUUUUUAGGCCAAAACGGUUAACACUUCUUGUUAUGUUUUAAAUAGAGUAUUAUUGAGGCUCAUACUUAAGAAAACUCCCUAUGAGCUUUGGAAAAACAAAAAACCCAACAUUAGUUAUUCCAAAGUCUUUGGAUGCAAUAUUUUAUAAUAAACACCAAAGACAAUCUUGGAAAAUUUGAUGCAAAAUUGGAUGUUGGAAUUUUCCUUGGUUACUCAACUUCAAGUAAAGCUUUUCGAGUUUUAACAAAAGAACCAUGGUUGUAGAGGAGUCCAUCCAUGUUAUUUUUUAUGAAUCUCCAAGAAAGAGAGAGGAUUGAUGAUGAUUUAGGUUUGAAGACCUCUAUAGGAAGAUUGCAAAUCGAAGAUAGAAGACAACAAGAAGAAAAUGGAGAGAAUCCAAAGAAAGAAGGAUCACCAUUGGCACUACCCCCUCAUCAACAAGCGCAAGGUGAAUCAAGUCAAGAGCUUCCUAAAGAAUGGAAGUUUGUCAUCAAUCACCCACAAGAUCAAAUUAUAGGCAAUCCAUCUAGUGGGGUAAGAACUAGAUCCUCUCUUAGAAAUAUUUGCAAUAAUCUAGCUUUUAUCUCUCAAAUUGAGCCUAAAAAUAUAAAUGAUGUUUUAGAUGAUGAAAAUUGGAUAAUUGCAAUGCAAGAAGAGUUAAAUCCAUUUGAAAGAAGUGGAGUAUGGGAAUUAGUACCAAGACCUUCAAAUCAAAGUGUUAUUGGAACUAGAUGGAUCUUUAGAAAUAAAAUGGAUGAAAAUAGCAUAAUUGUUAGAAAUAAAGCAAGAUUGGUAGCCCAAGGUUUUAAUCAAGAAGAAAUGAUAGAUUAUGAAGAAACCUUUGCCCCCGUAGCUAGGUUGGAAGCCAUUAGGAUGCUACUUGCCUUUGCAUGUUUUAAAGACUUUGUUUUAUAUCAAAUGGAUGUGAAAAGUGCUUUUUUAAAUGGUUUUAUAAAUGAAGAAGUAUAUGUUGAACAACCACCCGGUUUUCAAAGUUUCAACUUUCCUAACCAUGUUUUUAAACUUAAAAAGACACUUUAUGGUUUGAAACAAGCACCUAGAUCAUGGUAUGAAAAAUUGAGUAAAUUUCUUUUGAAAAAAAUGUUUUAAAAUGGGAAAAAUUGACACAACUCUUUUUAUAAAAACCAAAGAAAAUGAUAUGCUCUUAGUUCAAAUAUAUAUUGAUGAUAUCAUUUUUGGUGCUACUAAUGUCUCUCUUUAUGAAGAAUUUUCUAAGUGCAUGCAUAGUGAGUUUGAAAUGAGCAUGAUAGGAGAACUCAACUUCUUCCUUGGACUUCAAAUCAAGCAACUAAAGGAAUGAACCUUCAUCAAUCAAGCAAAGUAUAUAAGAGAUCUUCUCAAAAGGUUCAACAUGGAAGAAGCCAAAACAAUGAAGACUCUAAUGAGCUCAUCCAUUAAGCUUGAUAAGGAUGAGAAAGGUAAAUCCAUUGACUCUAUUAUGUAUAGAGGCAUGAUAGGUUCUUUGCUCUAUUUGACCACUAGUAGACCUUACAUUAUGUAUAGUGUGUGUUUGUGUACUAGAUUUCAAUCUUGUCUUAAAAAAUCUCACUUAAGUGUCGUGAAAAGAAUCCUCAAAUAUUUGAAAGGGACAAUGGACAUAGGCUUAUGGUAUCCUAAGAGUGAUAACUUUGAAUUAAUUGGUUUUUUGGAUGCUGAUUUUGUCAGUUGUAGGGUUGAAAAAUAAAACACUAGUGGCACUUUUCAUUUCUUAAGACACUUACUUGUCUCAUGGCAUAAUAAGAAGCAAAAUUUGGUAGCUUUGUCAACAGCAGAAGCUAAAUACAUAGCAACUGGUUUAUGUUGUGCACAAAUCCUUUGGAUGAAAUAAACACUUAGUGAUUUUGAUUUAUCUUUUGAGCAUAUUCCUAUUAAAUGUGAUAAUAGUAGUGCCAUAAGUAUAUCAAAAAAUCUCGUGCAACACUCUAGGACUAAGCAUAUAGAGAUUAGACAUAAUUUUCUUAGAUAUCAUACACAAAAGGAUGAUAUAACACUUGAAUUUGUAAGCAUAAAAGACCAACUUGCCGAUAUCUUUACAAAACCUCUAAGAACAUUUUGUUGAUAUUAGAGGACAAUUAGGAGUGAUUUCUUUAUGAUCUAAUGUGAUGAAUUCUUGAUGAAUAUACUUUUUGAUUGCAUGAAUUUCAUGUCAUAUAUGCAUCAUAUAGAAAUAUACUUAGAUAAUGGUCAAAUUUCGACCAAAAAUCAAAAUUCCCAUGGCAUUAGGCAUAAAAAUUUUGGAAUUUCAACUGAAAAUGGUAGGAGGAGGAUCACAAAAUGAGAAAGUAUGCAAAAAUUGAAAAAUCAAAACGUUGACCAAGCGGUCAAUCGGACUAGACCGAUCGACUAGUUUGUCGAGAUUUAGGAUUUUUAAGAGACUCCAACGCUUCAAUUUUUGCACCGUUCUCCUCUAUUUCUUCACGGUUUCUCUGAUUUUGUCUUUUAGAGACUAAUUUGAGUGCGUUUUGGAUCAAUUGAAGCAUUUUGGAUUGGAUUUUAGGAAGAUUGAAAGUUAAGGUUUCGGAUUUGGGUCGCCUUCUCUUCCUCUCGCGUGUCACAAUCAGCUUUAGCAUUGUUCUCUUUCCAUUUUCACACACCUAGGGUUUCAGUUGUGAGCAUCUCUCUCUCUUUACCAACCACUACUCCCUUGCUUCUUCCAUAUGGCUCCUAGGCGAGAGUCCGCUACUUCUAGGGCACAAGGCAAGCACCCAACUGAGUCGUCUCAGUCAAAGGCACGUCGAAAAGUGAGAUUUGACAUUGCCUUGUUCAGUUCCAUGGAGGACUACCAACUAUACAAGCAACACUUUGCUUAGAGACGAGUAGUUCCCAAGAGAAAUAUUAAUUUUCCUCAACUUCAGCAUUUCGAAUUUAAGGGUCUAUUUACUAGGAUGGUUGGUUGUCUAUUGUCACAAUUUCGGAGCCGGUUUUCCUGACCUUAGUGCGAGUUUUUUACUCGAGGGCGACUUAUGGCAUGGGUGGCAUGAUCAUUUCUACUGUUGGAGGAGUUGAGAUCUGUCUGGACCCAGAGAGCAUCUGCCAUAUUUUCGAUAUUGCUCUGGUUGGACUCAAAGUAUACAAGUCCAAAAUGUGGCCCAUUGUGCCAGGAUUUGAGCUUAGAGAGGUCAUUCAGAGGAUUUGUGAACUUCCAGACGCCCAGGAGAUGGGCAAACCAUUGCCACACAGUUUGACGGUCAUCAACAGGGUGCUACACCAUAUAUUGUGCUCUAUCUUUCUACCACGAAGUGGACAUUGAGAUGAGGUCUCUUAUUAUGAGGCAUUCCUUAUUGACUCCAUUCUAACGGAGAGACGAAUUCAUCUACUAUGUCAUCAUUCACUAAGCCUCCUCACAGUGACAUACCACCUCAUCAGGCACCUCUUGCUCCUGACCAUGCUCCAUUGAUGGAUUUAUUUACUCAUAUUAGCUCUCUAGGCACUCGCAUGAAGGAGUUUGUUGUAGUUAGUGAUACAUGGUUCUACUCCAUAGAGGAUCGCAUGGAUCAGUAUCAGACUGGCUUCACGUCACAGUUUGAGUAUCUCCAAUAGAGGAUUGAGCAUAUUGAGGAUCACUUGAGCAUGAGAAGAUGAUGGCUUUUCUAUGCUCUGUGUUUCCACCUCCACCUCGUCAACCUUGAUUUCUUAGAGACCCAUUGUUUUCAUUUUGUAAUGUUGCCAAAAGGGGGAGAUAUUUAGGAUCUAGGACUCUAUAGGAGACUUACAUGCAUAUCAUUUUCAUAUCAUUGUUUGGAUCGUACAUAUUGGAUAGUGAUACUUUUUACUUAUAUAUGAUAUGCCUAUAUGUUUCAUGUCUUACAUUGUUUCUUAUUGCAAAUUAUCUCUAACAUGUCUUGAUUAUCUUUUUUUUAACUUCAUAAAUUUUGAUUGUUAACCCAUGAUUGGUUUGAGGGGAAGAUUCUUCUUCUCCUAGAUAACCAAGGUUUGUCAUCAUAAAAAAAUUGGAGAUUGUUAGCCCAAGGGUUCUCCUAAUCAUGUUUUGAUGAUAACAAACCAUGCUUAAGUUACUAAUUGGUUUGAAUUAUAAAGAAUUUCAAGUGUUAAUUUGAAAAUUCAUCAAAGAACCUAAUGGAUGCAAGAUCAAGAUUUUUGGAAGACCUUUAAUCAUAAGAAACAUAUGUAAGAUGAAUGCAUGGGUGCACUUAAGAUUUGCAUAUCAUUUCAUGCAUAUUUGGAAAACACGGUUUAUGCUUUAAAGUUACAUUUCCAUCAAAAUUUGAGAUCCAUCAAAUGAACCUUAGGAAAAAUGUUUUAAAAUUGGCAUAUAAUUUUACCUAAAGACCUUGCCUAAGUGUUAGAAGCAAAAGGACAAAAAAAAUAUAGGUUUUCUGGUCAAAAAUGGUGAACCAGUCAAGGCAUUGUCUAAAUCAGCUCAAUCGGCCAAGGUACCGGUCGAUCGGUUUCCCUUUCCCUGUCGAGAUCUAGUCAAGAGGUACAAAAAUCACAAUCUCUGUCUCUUUCUCUCUUUGUCUAUCUUCCAGUAGUCUUUCCUUCCCGGUCGAGGGAUUUGCCUUCCCGAUUGAGGUCCGAUUGAGAGUAAUAGUCACUUGCCAAAUAUUAAAUGCUCCAACAGUUAGUGAACUGGUCGACCCCCACCUUGCCCAGUUGAGGUUACUUUUUGGUUUUCUUGGCUCCCGAUGUUAGAAACCUAUAAAUAGAGAGUUCCACUUCAUUUAUGAGCAAGAGAACACUUGCAUUUAUUUGUUUACCUACUUGUUCUUGCCUUAAAAGCUCUCAUUUCUUUUCUUGGUGCAUUAAAUCUCCAUUUUGAUAUCCUUUAGUGCACCUUUGUGAUUCAUCUUAGCCUUGAGUUGUAUUUGAGCCCUUUUUUUAGCUAGGUUGAGAGUUUCAUACUUGUUAAUUGAGUGUUAAAGCCUUCAAGUGAGUUGAAACUUGUAGAGAUUAUGUGAGAGUCGAUUGGAGCCGAAAUCCAAGUGUAAAGGUGAUUAGAAGCUUGGUUGAAGCUUCAAGUUAGUGGAAUCCUCACUCAAUUAGGAGCUUGAGGAGAGUGGACGUAGCCAAGGAAGUGUCGAACCACUAUAAAAUUUGAGUUUGAUUUCUCUAACAUUGUCUCUUUAUAUUUGUUUAUCUUGUGCUUAAAUUUAUUGUGUUUAAAAAGAAUUUUUAAAUACCCAAUUCACCCCCCUCUUGGGUGUUUUUCUCUUUUAAAAUUAGCCUUUAUUUUCUCACAAACUAUUGUAGUAUAGUGGUUUUUAGGUGUCAUCCAUUAGGAUGAAUUGUUCUCGGUAAUUAAGGCGUGAAUGAGAGGAGAAUUAAUGAUUGUGAUUAAGUAAAAUUGAUUUGAAAAUUCAUGGUGAAAAAUCAAUUUAACAAUGGUUUCUAAUUGAGAAAAACAAUGAAAUGUGAAAUAAAAUAAAAUUAAUAGGAAAUGAAAUUCUCGAAGUUAGAAUUUUCUAAAAAACAAAUUCCAUGGUGAAUGGAUGUUGAGAUCUAAUUUUCAUCAAGUUAGAUUGAAAACCGAAAUUUUCAUAUAAACUGAUUUUUUAUUUAGUUUUAGGUCUAGAUUUAAUUUCCCUUAAAAUUAGGUUAUUUAAUCCAAGAAAUCAAUUCAAAUCAUAUAUUCAAUUCAUCUUAAAUUAUCUUCCAAUUAUUCACACAAUGCAACUAUUCAAUCUCAUCAAAUCUAGCUUUUAAGAAUUUAAUGAAUCUACCUAGUUUGCAUUGUAAUAGUCAUCCAUGACAAUUUGAAGAGAAAAAUAAUUCAAUUAAUCAAUCACUUGGAUCAAAUUACCUUUGCAAUUAAAGUUCAUUUCUCUAAUUCACCACAGAUUUUGUCUCUAGAUCCUCCUUUCUCAAAGAAAAAUGAGAUUUAGCCACACAUGAUUGGAGAUUUGGUCUCAUAAGGCAUGUUUAGCUAGUGAUAAAAUGAGAGAAAAUAAAGAAAAAUAGAGAAUUCGAUUAAGAAAGAAAAUCUAAAAAAUUCUACAAUUAGAAAUGUCCAAAAAGCUUUUUCAUGAGAAAAUCAAGUUUCUAUUUAUAGGCCAAGGUCAAGUGGACACUUGACAUCAUCUAAGAGGUCUUCCGGAAGCUUCUUCAUCAAGAAAUCUGGAGUUUAAUAAUAAAAUGGUCAUUUCACAAGAGCUCAAACAAUUUCGCAUGAUUAUGUGAAAUAAAAAAUGCAACAACAGCAAUUUACAUCUUCUUGGAGCAUUUCGCAUGACUGUGUGAAAUUUUCACAUGAUCAUGUGGAAUCGACUUGACAACUCUCAUUUAGCCUACAACAUAAUUCCACCUUUUGGUCCAUUUUUCAUAGUCAUGCGAAAUGGAAAUAUUUGAUUUUUAAGUUUUCUUUUGUCAUUUCUUUCAUUUCCUUCUCUUGAUUCCACUUCAACUACCUCCGAAUCCUGGUCCAAACCAAUUGCAUUACUUCUUUCAUUAUGCAUUUGGAUCAUCAUCAACAUUAUUUGUUCUCUUCAAUUUGAUUCAUCUCUUUUGUCACCAAUUUAUCAAAAUCAUACCUUGAAAUGACUCCAAAACUUCAUAAAACUUGUUAGUAACUCUUGCAAGGGCAACAACAUAUUAAUUAAGUGUUUUAGGCAUAGUUACUACUCAAAAGAUGCGAAACUCAUGAUAAUUAUUAUAUAAAAUAUGCUCUUUUUGAGUAGUAAUCAACUUUCUUGCAUAAGCAGACCUUUUAGGGUGGAGUACUAAAGACCAAUAUGCUUGUCCUUGUUGUAAUAAAGAAACUUGCUCUUAUUGAUUGCACCAUGGGAGAAAAUUUUGCUACAUGAGUUAUCAUCAAUUUCUUCCCACCAAUCAUAGAUUUAGACGUGACAAGAGGCCUCUUAAUGGCAAGGAGGAACUGACACUCACACUUAUACAAUUAUCGGGCAUUGAUGUGUUGCAACAAUUAGAAUAACUUACACCAAUUAUGUUGGGGAAGUCACAAAAGGCAAACAUGAAAACUAAAAGGAAAAAAGAAAAAUGUUACAUAUCACCACAACUGGAAAGAAAAAAGUAUUUACUUUCAUUUGCCAUAUUGGAAAGCACUUAUUUUACAUCAUAAUAAUUUAGACAUAAUGCAUAUUGAGAAAAAUGUGUGACAAUAUAAUUGAGACAUUGUUCAGUAUUGACGAAGAAACAAGGACAACCUAAAUAGUCAUCUCGAUUUACAAGCUCUAACUAUUAGAAAUGAGAUUCACCCAAUAGAAAGCAGGACCAAAUUUAUUUUGCUUGCAACAUGCUACUCACUCACCCCAAAUGAGAUUAAGGAAUUUUGCAAGUUUUUGAAAUCAAUAAAGGUCCCCAAUGGCUAUUCUUUCAAUAUCUCUCGUUAUGUGCAACUCAAUGAAAGGAAGAUAUAUGAGCUCAAAUUGUAUGAUUGUCAUGUCCUAAUGCAACAACUUCUCUCACUUGUAGUUCGUGGAGUUCUACAUAAGAAUGUUUGUGGAGUUAUCAUAGAAUUGCGUAAUUUUUUCAAGCAAUUGUGCUCAAAGGUGUUAGAAACAAAUCACUUACACCAACUUGAGAACAAUAUUAUUGUCAUACUAUGUAAAAUGGAGCAAAUAUUUCUUCCAUCAUUCUUUGAUAUUAUGGUGCAUUUACUUGUGCAUCUAGUAAGGCAAAGGUUGCAAGACUUGUGCAAUAUUGUUGGAUGUACCUAAUUGAACGAUAUUGUUAUAAUUUCAUAUGAAUCAUUUAAUUUUAUUUUAUAUUAUGUUCAGUUCAUUAACAUGUACAUUGGUCUACAUAUGGAUGAUGAUAGGUACCUAAGCACUUUAAAGUCAUAUGUGCGUAAUAGAACUUUUCUAGAAGGUUCUAUUGUAGAAAGGUACCUUGCAAAAGAAUGUACAACAUUUUAUUCUAGGUACUUGAAUGAUGUGGAAAUAAAGUAUAAUCACAAUGAUAGAAACUUUGUUGGUUUCAACACUAGAGGAGAUGAAAGGGGUUAUCUUUAAACAUAUUGGACAUGCAUUGGGAAAGCCCAUAUUUCAUUAACUUAGUUCAAAAGAGUGGUCACAAGCACAUUUAUAUGUGUUGACAAAUUGCGAAGAUGUCAUACCAUUCAUUGAGUAAAAAAUUUAUUUGAAUUUUAAUUAAAGCUCUAGUUUAUAUCCUUAAUCAAUGUUUUUUAAAUUCACAAGGAGCACAAGCAAACCAUCAAGGCUAGACCACAUAUACGUGUUUGAGACGUAGAUUUAAUUCAUAACAAGGAAUUUAUCAAGUGGUUUGAAAGACAUGUAAGUAUAUUCCUUAUUAUAAGGGAUUUAUUUCACAUUAUGUUUAUAUUGAAUCCAAACCUAUUAUUGAAUUGUAGGUUGAACAAUUACAUAAUGAAGGUCAUAUAUCUGAACACCUUCUCACAUUAUCAUGUGUUCCAAAUUCAUUAGUUACAUGCUUCAAAUGAUAUAUUGUCAAUGGAUUUAGAUCCCACAUUAAAGAACGUGAUAAAAAAGUUUUUAAAAAAAGACUCAGAAUAAUGGAAUUGUUGUAGUUGCAAAAACGUCAAGCUUUACAAGUGCAUGUGAUAUGAGUCCAAUUAUUAGUGAUGCUCUCUACUAUGGUGUUCUAACUAAAGUUGUUGAGUUACAUUAUCUUGGUGAAAAUAAGGUUGUUUUAUUCGAGUUUGAUUGGUGGGAUGUUACAAAUAUUGGAAAAUUGAUAAAAGAUGAUGAGUACAAUUACACAUUUGUUAACUUUGCAUGAAUUCUAACCACGAACGAACGAUUUGUACUUGCAUCUCCAGCAAAGUAAGUGUUCUAUGUGAAGAAUGCGAAUGAAUCAGAUUGGCAUACUAUCAUGGAGAUGCAACCUCAAGACCUCUAUAAGAUGAACGGGAUAGGAUCCAAUGGUGAUUUUGAACCAUUUCAACAAAGUGAACUACAUGAUCACUAAUAUAUCUCAGAUUUAGUUGAUGAAGAUAUAAUCAAGUGGAACAAAAGUGAUGUUUUAGGACUAAUCAUCCUAAAAAAUAUUGUAGUUUCUUAAAAAAAAAAUGAAAAUGAAGAAGAUAAUUGAACCUUUGUCAUACUUUAAAAAGCAACUAUGCAUUGUUCAUUUUGUAUGUUUUGGUUUUCUUCAUUUAAUUUCCUGAUUUUUGUGAUUCAAUGUCAUAUUAUUGAUCUUGAAAUAUUUUUCUAAUUUUUCAUUCUACGAUGGUUUCAACAAGGAUGACAUCAAGUCAAAAAAGGAAAUGUGGUCCCACACACAAUAUUGCAUUACAGGGAUUAAGGUCAGGGAAGAAGGUAAAAGUUGCAUUUAAUGAGUACAAUCAAUUGGUUAAACAGAAAAAUGGAAAACACUUAUCGAGCUACAUAGGGACACUUGUAUCUAACCAACACAAUGUACCUCUCCAAGCUAGUGAUUGGAAAAAUGUUCCAAAUGAUGCAAAAGAGAAAGUAUGGCCUUUGUUUUGGUAUGUUGUAUUUCUCACUAUAUGAUGUCAUUUCACUGUUAUUCUAUUUUGUGACUAACGUUUGAAUCAUAUGUAAGAAAAAUUUGAAGUAGAUAAAGACUGAAAAGAUUACAUGUUGGGUAUAGCCUCAAAUAAAUAUAGAAGCUAUAAAAAUAUGAUGAAUGCAAAAUACUAUGACCCUUGGCAUAAGGAUGCAUGAGGAGAGGUUAAUACAUAAAUCACCAUUUGUCUCUGAUGUUGAUUGGAAGUGGCUUGUCUCUGAUGCAUAAACCAAAUCCCCCACUGAAUGUUUGAUAUUUGAUAGCAGGAAAAACACACCCGCAGCUAUACACCUCCAUCAUUCAGAUAAUUAUAGUGGGGGAGAUGAUUCAUGGUUGCCCUUAUACCCUUUAUUUGCACCAUCUAUUGAGAUUCUUUAUCAUGGCCAGGUUUUACUGCAGCAAUAAGAUAUGGUGGCAACAAUUUUAUCUAUAGGUGCGGUUCCAGACCGCCUCCAUAGGUGCGGUUCCUGACUGCCUCCAUAGGUGCCUCUUCUUGUAAUGUUUGUUCUGGGAAUUACACUUGAAAGCCUUAUCGUGAUAAGGGAUUACAAACACUAGUUCAGAGGACAGCCAUGUUAAACUUCCACUAUGUUUGUGUCACAUUAUCAGCAGCCUAGUGUUUAUUGGUCAUGCUAUCUGCAACUAAUAUAACCCGGUGAACUUCAAUCUAAAUUCUGAAAGUACUCAUGUGACAGAUGGUGCCUUUCAGCAGAUAUCAUCAAUUUAAAAGUAGUGUGUGUGCCUAUAGGUGGGAAGGCCUUGGCAAAUGUUCAGUAUUCCGGUAAUUCAAGAAGGAUAUAUCUAAAAUAGAUUUUCUUCUUGCCCAUUUCAAUAGUUAAAAUUUGAGAAGAUUGUGUCCACAUCACACAAAUAUUAUUGGUCCUUCUGUUGCAAUUUACCUCUGAACAUGUCUUCCAAUUCCCACGGUCCUGUUACUCCAGGAAAACUAUUUCGGUCAUAUUGAAAAAAAAAAUAUUAAAGAAGGUACACAUGCUUUUAAGUGGACUGGGGCAUUCAUAUCAGGUGGUCUGUAUCCACAUAUGCCACUUCGUGAAAGGUGGAACAGCCUAAUCACUAGGCUAUUUAGUGUGGCCCAGCCACGUUAAUCAAGCACAAGUCUUCAUACUUAAAGUCAAAUGGUGUCUUUAGUCUCAUUACACAUCGCUAUUUGAAGAUUAACUCAUCACUAGUGUAAUGCGAUUAAGACAGUCCUAACUCAAUAUUUGUUCUAGUUUUGGAUGCAAAUGCUUGCUGGUUUCAUCAUUGGAUGGGAUAAAGGUGCAAUCAGGACUAUGAAUACGUGCAGUAAUACUUCAUUCUCUUUUUUCUCAAUGAGACUUCUUGGCACAAUUUUGCUGCUCAGCAACCUACCUUUCCAUGGAAAAUCAGUUGUGACUGAUAGUAAUGGAUAUAUUCUAGAAAGCUAAACAUAGAUAGCAUUCAAUAUUAUCGAUAUAACAUUAACAGCGUAUGUCUCAAUGCUCAUCAGCUACAAGCAAUGGACAAACACUUUGAGUAACUCACAGCAGUCAAAAUUCCUAAACAGGACAGACGUGACAGAUCUAUAUAUAGAACACUGCAUAUGAGUCACAGGAAAAGAUAAUACGGGUACAUAGAAGCUCUUAUUUUACAUAUUACUCAUACUGAUCAAAGUCGCUCAGUUGGGAUGGAUGGGAGAAGGAGGUUUGAGGGGUGGCUUGUGCGGGGAAGUUGGCAGCUUCUUUCCGGGAGCUGGUUGCUUCUUUGCUGGAGUUGAAGGAGGCUUAAUCUUCCGAGGUGGCUUGUAUGAGUCUUCAGCAUUCUCAGCAGGAGGGUGACCAGGGUUGUGACCAUAAUGUGGUGGCUUCUCUCCCUUAGGUGGUUUGCCAACUGGGGUUGGUGGCUUGUUUUCUGGGAGUGGCUUCUCUCCCUUGGGUGGUUUGCCAACUGGGGUUGGUGGCUUGUGUUCUGGGAGUGGCUUCUCCCCCUUGGGAGGUUUUUCGAAUGGGGUGGGUUUGUGUCCUGGUGGUGGCUUCUCUCCCUUGGGAGGUUUACCAAUUGGGGUCGGUGGCUUGUGUUCUGGGAGGGGCUUCUCUCCCUGGGGAGGUUUAGUGGGUGGCUUGUGUUCUGGAGGUGGCUUCUCCACCGGAGGCUUAUGCUCUGGUGGUGGCUUCUCGAAGGGGGGAUGCUCAGGGUAAUCACCAAGUGAGGGGGUGGUGAGAACCACCAUGCCAAGCAACAACACUAGCAAGUAUGUAGUAGACAUCUUUGGGUUUGGACUCAGACAGUGCAAAACUACGAGAAAUCGCUAGCCCUUUAUAGCGGCUCGGACCUAAUACUGACAUAAUAUAAAAUAAAUAUUAUAUUUUAUCAAGAGAGAACAGAGUGUAAUUUUAUCAUUAAUACCGAUCGAGGCCAAAGAAAGAAGACCCAUAAUCCAUUUCCCACAAGCAUACACAAUGCAGCUGUAAUUUUAUCAUUUACUUUUAUCCCUUGGACCACUGCAUUUUUGUUGAGAGACACAAUAACACAUUUUUAUCUGUCAUUCAACAUUUACAGUAAAGAGAGGGCACAAAACGCAAUUAGAUAAAUUAUGUUUUGCCUGCUAAAAAGAGGCAAAUAACUUUAUUUGCAACAUAAUUAUUUUGGUUUCUAGUGACCCCGGGGCCUUUCGGUUGGUUUGGGAUCGGAAAAUGAACAUCAUAGGGGGGGUUGUGCCCUUAUGGGCAUAUAUAUCUGAUAGCUUCAACUGGCCUUGUUCCUAGAAAGAAAUUGCCAAAGAUAUAAACUUAUUCCAGGCUGAAAGUAGAUGAGAGUCAUAAUGAACAUCAACCUUUGUUCAGUUUGAUUCAAUGCCCCCAUAGUGUUCAUUUCACAGAUCUGAAUGAUUAUAUCCGUUGAAUACAUAAAUUAAUGAAGACAAAUAUGAAACCCAAGAUACAUCUCUGCAUAACAACCCCAACCCUGGUUGCUAUGUUUCCCUUCUUCUAUUCACAUGAGGAUACUGGUUAUAAUUGUCAAACUUGCAACAAGCCCUUUGACACCUAACGUCAAUGGACGAAUUAAAAGUCUCCUUCAAACGUCUAUUUCACAGCAUGAAGCUUAUAAAGGAUGCUGACAACCUUCAGAGUUAGCGACAAAAGAUAAUUAUCAAGGAGAGAUAGUUCCAUGAGAAUUCCAAGGAGUCUGAAUCAAAGACAAAUUGCUCACUCAAGGGUUCUUAUUUUCUUUUAGGUACAAAUCUCUUGAGUGUUGUUAAAGAAACACGUCACUGUCAUUUUGAUUUGCAUUUAACAUUUCACUUUUGUUCUGGAAGGUUUGUUCCGGAAACAUAUCAAAUGAGCAUCAUUUUCUUCUUCGGUGACACAUGGUCGCGAGUACGUGGGUCCAUUUUCAUGCCACUUAGUUGAAAAGUUGGAAAGAAAAAACAUGCCAACAAGAAGAUAGUGAGAGAAGGGGCACUUCAAGCCUUUAACAUGAACAAACAGUAAAUAAAAGAUGUUUCUCCACUCAUAAAAGUGUGUUAGAUAGCAAUAUAACGAAUCACAUCCAAAAUCUUUACUAGGCUCAAACAUAAAGAAGACUCAUUUUUAAGAAAAGAUAAAAAUGGCAUUGUCUGAUAGUAUCCAAUACACGAGAUGGCACUUAAUUUGUACAAGAUCUGUCAAUGCUGACGCACAUUUUCUGAUUAAAAAAAAACUGAUCAGUCAAAAGCAAUGAAGAGAAGUGAUGACAAUGAAUGAUGCUUCCAAUAUUUUCACCCCUUAUAGUGUUCUUCAUGAUUCAGAUAUAUAAUUGGAAAUAGAACAACCCUAUGCCAUACAUUCGUCUAAGUAUGGUGUCUAAUUUUUUGUGUCAGCGGUUGCGAAUGGAGCGUGCAAAAGUCCAAAUUGGCGUCUCUCCAUUUCCACAUAGGAAGGUGACCUUUAUUGACAAAUACCCAAUAUUUGUAGACAUUCCUUAAAUAUCAUAACUUCUUGUUGAUUUGAAAAUCAUUUUUCAACUACCAUGUUUUAAUAAAUAUUUUUUAAAAUGUAUUUUUAUCAAAGUCCACCAUGAUGGAUAAUAUUCACCAUGCAAUAAUUAAUAAAGUACAAACUAAGCGAAAUGAAAAGCAUUUUCUUUGCUUUGAGUUGAUUUUGGUUGCAUUGAGUUGAUUUUGGUUUCAUGGUUUUUUCAACUCUUAUUUUGAUUGGAAGAUGUCAAGAAAAGAAAACAUAAAGAAAAAUUAAAAGGGAAAAAAGAAGAAAAAUAAAAAAAAAUAGAUUUAAAAGUUAAUAAAUUAUUUUUUAUAUUUAUUUUAAUUCAUUUCACUUAUUUUUCUUUUACUAUAUAAAAUUUAAAUAAUUUAAAUUUUAUAAUUAAUUUAAUUACAUUUCAUUUUCUUCUAUAUUUAAAUAUUGGAAAAAUAUUUUACUUAAUAUUUUUUUCUUUAAUUUCUUUGGCAUUUUGGGAACCAAACUUAGCCUUUAAAAUAAAAAACAAAAAAAAAAUGAAAAUAAGGAGGGAAAAGUGAGAAAAGAUAAAAACAAUAUGUAAAGGAUUUGAAAAGUAUUAGUUUGUAAUUACUAUUUGGAUUUCAAUAGUAUUUUAUUUGUCUUUCUAUAUUUCAUGUAAGAGAGAAUUUAAGAUAUUCCCCAAGGCAAAGCAUUAGUUACCUGCAAUCAGUGGUGAUAAGGCUCCAAGCCAAUUUUGGGCCCCAUAUCUUAAGACAGUACAAUUUCCAUUUCAACAUUUCUGAUUUCUCAGAUGUUUCACAUACCACAGAAGAACAUUGUUUGUGAAAAUAUGCAUUUAUGUUGGAUUUUGUAUGCUGUGGGGACUGGGGCAAGGAUCAUAUGGAAGAGUGGUUGACUUUUUCUGUACUUUAACGGUUGAAAUAGGAUAAGCACGGGCAUUUGUGAGGCUUAAUUGAUUUUGAAGCCUGAAAUUGCGUUUCUGUCAUUUUGUCAAAAAAAUGGCAGAUUCCAUACUCAUAUGUUUGGCCUGUGGCCAUGUACAGAUGCCAUUUAGUGACCAGUUUGUAACUGUCAAUCGUUGCGUUUUGACUCUGCCUCAACAACAUCUGCCAUUGACGGGUUUUCAUACUUGCAAAUCAAAUAGUCUUUCGUCCCAUCAGGAAUUUCGGUUUAAAUAUUAUUAAGCAUACGUUUGGCUGACAAUCAUUAUCCAGUUCAUGAUUUGGUUUCUUACCCUUAAUCAAUGGUUUCUAAGUGAAUAUAUGUAGAAGGAAAUCCGAAGUGUAGACAGUAGUAUCGAUAACUCUCAAUAUUCUCUAUAUAAUAGAAUAAACAGCGUCAUAGUGAUCGUCGCCUACAAGCAAGGUACAAAUACCAAAACGAGUGACUCACAUAGACAUCUCCCAACAAGAUGUAGUAGUGACUGACACAUGGACACAAUUAACUCGUAGAAAAGGAUAAGACCAUUGCACAGCAGCUCUUAUUUUACAUACUACUUAUGCUAACCAAAGUCAAUUAGUUGGGAUGGGUGGGAGAUGGAGGUUUGUGCGGUGGCUUGUGGGGCGGAGUUGAUGGCUUCUUUCCAGGAGCUUCUGGCUUUUUCAUCGGAGCUGAAGGAGGCUCAAUCUUAUGAGGCGGCUUGUAUGAGUCUUCUUUACUCUCGACAGGAGGGUGGCCAGGGUUGUGAUCAUAAUGUGGUGGCUUCUCUCCCUUAGGUGGCUUGCCAACUGGGGUUGGUGGCUUGUGUUCAGGAAGUGGUUUCUCUCCCAUGGGAGGUUUAGCAAUUGGGGUUGGUGGCUUGUGUUCUGGGAGUGGCUUCUCUCCCUUGGGAGGUUUAGUAGGUGACUUGUGUUCUGGAGGUGGCUUCUCCACCGGAGGCUUGUGCUCCGGUGGUGGCUUCUUGGUUGGAGGGGGCUUGGGGUAAUCAGCAAGAGAUGGGGUGGUGAGAACCACCAGUCCAAGGAACAACACUAGCAAGUAUGUGGGAGACAUUUUUGAGUUUGGGCUGAUCAGAUGAUGCAAAACUAAAGCAUUACGUGACCUUUUAUAGCAUGUAGCUCCCAAUACCCACUAAGUAUUGUGGGGUCCAUUUGUGCCCUACGGGGUUGAAAACUUAGACAAUUGGGCAAGGACCCACCUGACUAUGGAGGACUAGUGAGGUGUGAUCAUAGCUUUAGGAUUUUUCUUCCUCUGCAGCCGUCGUGCCGUUGGCAUGAUUUUCUUAAUCUUAAAUAAAGGCAUAGUUAUAGAGUUGUUUAAUCUCUAAAUGGGAUUUUAUAUAUAUCUUCAGAUAGCCAUUAAUAUAUUUGAUGAAGAAAGAAAGACAAGUGCAUACAACAUGUAUACGACUAGCUUUCAUGGAGUUCAUUUAUGAUCAGUUUUCCUGUACAUGUAAACCAGGAUCAUAUAUAUGUUUCUGUUCCACAACUAUUUUGGAAUCUUGUUUAUCAGUUUUUAUCAUUAUAAUGUCACAUAGGCUGCCAACUUGGGCGCUAAAAGAACCAGUUGGGCUAGUUCGUUUCAGAAUUUCAAUGUGGAUUCAGGAAUUGUUUUGUAAGAUAUGCGAAAUAGUAGAGGGAUGAAUAGUGUUUCAUUAAUAAAAGUGUCCUGUAAAUUAGAAGGUGUCAUAGAAACUAUAAUCAAUAAAUAACUUUUUUUCCCCACGGGUGGUGUUUCUUGUGGGGAUCAGUGACUGGUUUAGGUUCACCCAAAAUGAGUUCAGACUAAAAUUGGUUUGAGUCAAUGCCGUGUCUCUUUUUUCCAGAAAUCAACUAUUUUAUGCAUUGAAUAAAUCAUACAAAGAAAAUAUGAACGCCCGCAAAACCUAAACCCUGGUUGCUAACUUUCUAUGUUUCAGUUCUAUUCACGCAAGAAUAUUAGUUUAAGUUUGGGAAAAAUGGCAACUUACCUAGUGAUUACUUGGUUUUGGUUUGCGACUAUUUACGCAACCAACCAUGAGUUUGACUUUAACGUCAUGGGUUGAAGCCUCCUACAGGAAGGGAGAAAGCUCCACAGCUAGCUCCAAAAGAGAAUUAUCACAUUGAUAGCUCCAGAGAUUCCCAAGGGGACUGAAUCAAAGACAAGUUCCUCACUUUUUCUUCUUUUGAGGCCAAAUAUGAACCAAGGAUCACACAACCUCAUUCAACUUCAUAAGUUUGAUUUCAUGCAGUUGAACACUGGGUGAAGGCCAUGACAAGAAUUGAUUCAAAAAUUCUAUCACUCUUUUAAGUAAUGGAAGAUUAUUAUCUCUGAUUGGCAUCACAACAGCACAUGCUCCUAGAUCUUUCUAGACACUCCAUGCAAUGAAAGCACAAUGGAUCUUGUAACGAUAGAAACUAAGCCAUGCUACAGUACUAGAUGAUGAGGUAAAACUAGUAGACACGGGUGGCAGCCUAUAUGGGAGGGACACAAGUCUAAUUGAUUUGCAUUUCAGCAUUAUAGAUAGGUAUGUUUUGGAAGAUUUGUUCUGGAAAUACCGCACCAAGUAGGAUUCUUUUUCUCUUUAGUGGGUCCACUUGCAUGCCAAUUAACGAGUUGAAAAGUAUGAGCACCUACCUCGUGCUCGUGGAACCGAAGGUCAGUGAAGUGGGGCUCCUUUUGGCCUCGUGUAAACUUGAUUCAGAAGUGAAGUUAAUAGUCUUCCAUUCAGAUGGAUACAUGGGAAUUUUUCUCUUUUAUUUAUUUAUUUAUUUUUUUUUUGUGUGUGUAUGUCAAAGGAUAAUGAAUGAAGCGCGUUAGCUUGUUUUCUGACUGGAACCGCAGAUGUCCAAAUUGGAGUUCCUUCAUUUCUUACUUAGGAUUGUUACAUGUAUAAACAAGGUAUAAGAAAUAUGCCAACGUGUCUUGAGGAGUUAUUGAUUAGAAAUAACAAGUCACCCGACUGUAGAGUUCCAAGAUUUGAAUCUUCAGACCCUAUAGCAGCCUCUGGGGUACGUGGCAUCCUAUAGCAUAUUAAUGAAGGCUUUUUCGAUUUAGACUUCACAAUACCAAUUAAUAUGUAUGCACAAAAUGGAGAUGACCCCAAAAAAAACAGAAUCGCCAUAGUUUAUGAGGUUAAGGUGAUUCUCCACUUAAUAUCUACAUUAGCUAAUUAUGUAAAUCAAAUGAACUUCUAUUUUUCCUUUUUUUUUUUGGUUUAUGUCAAAUAGUAGCCCAUAAUUAACCCAACCAUUAGCCUGUUUGAAUUGAUUUCACAUGCACAAUGUUGUAGUAGUUCAUAUUUUGAAUUUUAUUUUUACAAAGGUAGUUAAGGAAAAUGAAGUAUAAUAAUUAUAAAAGCAGACUAUAUACACUACAAUAAUUGUUAGAAUGGUAUCUCAAAUUCUAAUUUAAAAUAUUAUUUUUUGUAAAAGAAAUAUUAUAUAGAAUAUUUCCUAAUUUUAUAAAUGAUUAUAAUUAGAUCUUUAUAAAAUAAGGAAAGUUGGUAAGAAUAUCUUUAUAAAUAUUUUAGGUCAUGAGAGAAAGAAAUGGGAUAAAAAUGUGAUGAAGAGGUGAAAUAAGAGAGUUGAUUAGGAUAUAGAUGUGAAGAAGAAAGGGAUUCAAUAUAUAUAUAUCUUUCAAUUACCACAUUAAAACCCUGUGAACCUUUUAUAUGGUUUACUUUAUUUUUAUAUUCCUCCUUUAAUAUAUUUACAUUAAUGCUUCCAUUGGCACAACAAUAACGAAUUACAAAUACAAGCAACAAGUCCCAUGUUUUAUUACCAAAAGCAGGUAAAAUCCACCUAAUAUAUUACAAUAUAUUCAUCCAAUAUUUUAGACCAAUUCUUCACCAUAAAUAUCAUAAUGUGGCUUUUGUUCUUUCUUAAAUUUAAAUUGAAUUGUCUUAUAUCAAUUUGUUUGUGAUUUUUUCAUUAACUUCACUUUCAUUUGGUUAUCUUUGGUUUUUGAAAAGUAUUAAGGAAUUAAUUAACAAAAUAAUGUUAAGAAAAAUAAUUUUCUCUCUUUUGAUUUUGAUUUUGUAGUAGAAAAAUAUAAUUAAAAUUAUUUAAAAAGUAUGUAAUUUUAAAUUAUUUAAUAUUUAGAUAAAAAAAAUAAGUCUAAUGAGUUUAAAAUAACAUAUAAAAAUAAUUUAUUUAUUUUAAAUUUAUUUUUUAUUUUCCAUUAUGUUCUCUUUCUCUUUUACUUUUUCAUAUUUUUUCUUACGAAGAAUCAAACACAACCUCAUAUUAUAUGUCAAGUGUUUGUCUAUAUUUGAGCAAUGUUAGAUACGGCCAUGGAUUCAUCAAACUAAACUGAUUUUAAUAGAUACUUCACAAAUUGAUUUAUACACUAAAUCAUUGGAUAGCAAUGAUGCAUUGGAAUUAAACGUAGGAUGAAGCUCGAAGAACACUGUUUGUGUAACAACAUAUUUAUGAAAUUAUGCAAAGGAUGAGCUUCGGGGUAGUAGUACAAGGUCAUUAAUGGAGAGCCGUGUUAAACCUUGAUUGUGAUUGGAUUCCGUUAUCAGCAACAGCAACCUUGUUUGUAACCUUGAAAGUCAUUCUGUCCACAUCGAAACUCCAAUUUGACGUUUGUAAUUACCAUUCCUGGAGUGUUCCUUGAUUGAAAUUUAAAUAAUAAUUGCGGCCCACAAGGAAUAUUUUCGAUUCUGUGGGAAUUUGACAAGGUUUGUUAGAGAAGACUGGUGACAUGUUGACUUCAAUGGUUCAAAUAGGAGACGUAUGUGGAUUUGGGGGGUUUAAUUGAAACUGAGUCCCUAUGGCUUUUUAAUAUUUGCAUUGAGCAGUCUCCAUGUGACUUCCUAAUUCCCACCAACCCUCCUGUCCAUGCUGUGAAACUAAAUUGUAAUUUAUCAGCCUUUGUCAAUGGUUUCUAAAUUAAAGAUAUAGACCAUGCAUGUACUUUAAUAAAAGCAAAUCUAAAGUGUAGAUAGCAGCAAUGGUGACACCCAAUAUUCUCCAUAAAAUAGAAUUAGAAUAAGCAGUGUUACAUUGUUCAUGAUCACCUACAAGCAUACAAGAACUUCCAUGAAUAACUCAUAGCAAUUGCCAACAGGGCGUCGUAGAGACUCAUACAUAGAACACUAUCCACCCAGAGGAAAGGACAAGACCAGUGCGCUGCAGCUCUUAUUUUUCACAUGUAUACCACCACUCGUAAUAACCAAAUUCACUCAGUUGGGAUAGGUGGGAGAUGGUGGUUUGUGGGGUGGCUUGUGGGGAGGAGUUGGAGGAGGCUUUAUUUUCUGAGGCGGCUUGUAUGAGUGUGCAGGAGGAUGCCCGGGAGUGUGACCAUAAUGUGGUGGCUUCUCUCCCGUAGGUGGUUUGCCAAAUGGGCUUGGUGGCUUCUCUCCCUUAGGAGGUUUACCAAUUGGGGUUGGUGGCUUGUGUUCUGGGAGUGGUUUCUCUCCCUUGGUAGGUUUGCCAAUUGGGGUUGGCGGCUUAUGUUCUGGGAGUGGCUUCUCUCCCUUGGGAGGUUUGCUAAUUGGGGUUGGCGGCUUAUGUUCUGGGGGCGGCUUCUCUCCCUUGGGAGGUUUGCCAAUUGGAGUUGGCGGCUUAUGUUCUGGGAGUGGCUUUUCUCCCUUGGGAGGCUUGCCAAUUGGGGUUGGCGGCUUAUGUUCUGGGGGUGGCUUCUCUCCUUUAGGAGGUUUGCCAAUUGGAGUCGGCGGCUUAUGUUCUGGAAGUGGCUUUUUUCCCUUGGGAGGUUUGCCAAUUGGGGUUGGCGGCUUAUGUUCUGGGGGUGGCUUCUCUCCCUUGGGAGGUUUGCCAAUUGGAGUCGGCGGCUUAUGUUCUGGGAGUGGCUUCUCUCCCUUGGGAGGUUUUGUUGGUGGCUUGUGUUCUGGAGAUGGCUUCUCCCCUGGAGGCUUGUGCUCCGGAGGUGGCUUCUGAAAUGGCGGGGGCUUGGGGUAAUGAGCAAGAGAUGGAGUACUGGUGAGAACCACCAUUCCAAGCAACAAUACUAGCAAGCAUGUGGGAGACAUCUUUGAGUAGUUGUAGCUAAGAUGGCGCAACACUGUAGGCAUUGGGUGGCCUUUUAUAAAGGGCUGGACCCAACAGCCAUAUGACACGUGUCAUGAUGACAAAUGAAGUUGAGGGGAUCCAGAUGGGUCCUACUGAGUCGAAAACUUGCACUAAUUGAUCUGGUGAGAUGACUAUUUCUGUCCUUUUGCCCUUCUCGGCCACCCUGUGCUGUUUUCCUUUUGCACGAUUUUCGUUGCCAAACAAGCAAAUAAUAUUUCGCCAAGAAAGAGGAGAGUGAAUGUGGAAUGCAUCAAGUCCCAUCAAGGAUGGCAGAGAAGAAAUAGAAGAUUGCCCAACUGUGAUAAACAUAGCAUACACGUAGCACCAGGAACUUCAUUUACUUCCAUCUAAUGGAACAUAACAAUCUUCUAAAGUUUUUGCAUGAUUUUGUUAUAUGUCUCUUAGCCUAAAGUUGGAAAUGCGCAACAAAUUUUGUCACUUCUCUAUUUCCCACUGAUGAUGUUAAUUAGCCUUCAUAGAUAUCAUCCUUUCUACAAAGUGCUUCAUUUGUGUGUUAUUGUAAAGUGUAAGAAAAGUAAUUGAACAUGUUCUUUUUCCUUUCAUAGAUGACUUUUGAUGUGCAUUUUAAAAGCAGCGCUGUGAGUCGGUGACCUUGAUUCACACGGAAACUAAGGCUCCUAUAGGACCCACUUUUAGCUGGUUAGGGGUGAAGAAAAUAUCAACUUUUCAGAGUGAUUUAAGUCAAGGCCAAGCCUCACUGUGUCAUUACUCGUGUGAAUUUUAUAUGCACAUACAUACAUAAAUAAAGUAUGAGACCCAAAUAACACCUUCCCUUUACAAACUUAACCCCAGCCGCUCUCUUUCAAUUCUUUUCACACAAGGGUAUUGACUCUAUAAAGGUCAAGAAAAUCAUAAUUUCCUAGGGUUUACAAGGUAAUUGGCUUAAUGCUAAUGUGAAAACAUAAAAGAUAAUAGUAUAUUGUAAGCUAACGAAUAUUCUAUAGUUAUAAUUAUUUGUGAUGUGCAUAAAUAAAUCUUCAUAUAUAUAAUGGAACAAUGAAUAAAGAACCAAUGAAAAAAUACUAUAUAUCAUUGCUUGGCAUUUAAACCGUAUAUGCUGCUCUUUCUAGCUACUCCAUCCACUGAAAGACAACAAGGUAAUCCAUGUUAUAAUGAUAGAAGAUACUGUCUCUAGGCUUUUUGUGAUGAAAAAUAUAAGAUAUGGGUAGGGUUGACCCUUGUAUGUUUGUCCUAUAAACACUUCAAAGUAACAUAUUUUUCUUCUUUAGCAACUCAUAAUGAUGGGGUUCAUUUGCAUGUCACUGAGUUGAAAAGUUGGACAAUUGCCCAUGUCGCCUUCCUCCUAGAUUCCGUAGUUCACGGGAAGGUAACUCAAGUUUGACAUAUUUUGAAUUCUUUUCACUCGGACGUCUUCAUAACCUGACAAAACAAAAAUGAAAAACAGAGGAUUGGUAUAUUAUUCAUGGUAAGCCUCAAAUUAUAGUAGUAUGAGAAAGGAGAAAAAGAUUUUGGGAACUCCAAUCUGGAUAAUUCUCGUUUCUUCUCUUGAAUAAAAAUUUCACUUACCUAACUUCGUUUGGAGAAAUGGCAUAUUUUAAUUUUGUACGUCAUUGCUAAUAAAUGGAGCAAUUUAGCAUGUUUUGUGACUGAAACUGCAAAUGUCCAAUUGGCAUUUCUUCAUUUCCCACUUAGGAUCUGAUCUUGUAGACCAUAUAACGAUAUGUAUCUGUGCAAGCAUUGAAAACUAAUGUGAACUAUGAGGAGUUACAAGCCACUGGACUGUAGAGCGAGUGCCAAGAUUUAAAUCUUCAGGCUCUAUCUGGGUAAGGGGAGGAUAGCGACCUAACCUUUUACCAAAGGCUUAGAAUUUAGACUUUUGGAAAAAAAUUUCUCAUGUUUUGGCUGGAUUUCUUGUGCUUGGCGCAAAAAGGAGAUGGCCUCAAGAAAUAGCAGACUCACUUUUGUUUUCAGCCCUUAAUAAUUCUCCACUGCUUUCCAUAACUACAUGGGUUAUACAUGCAGUCUGCUGCAAUAUUCCAGUUAUAUUUAUUAUUUCAAAGAGGGUGAAUGACUUCACAUGCAAUAUGUUGCAGUAACAACCCAAAUUUUGGCACACCAUCUUAAGAAUAGAAAAGUAUAAUAAAAGAAAUCAAUCAGAGAAUCACUUUGCAUGCAGUUCAUAGAGUUCGCCCAAAAUGGAGCCACAUGUACGGACAACCCCACAAUAGACAAUCUUCUCUAUACAGUAAUAAAAUACAGAAAUGGUUAAUGAAGCUCUGUAUUUCCUUAUCAUAUAUGACCGGUUGAAAACUCAGCAAGUCUUCCUCAAUCACAGACAGUUGGAGUUGCUUCAUCAAAAUCAUGCCUUCAUUACUGGCUUCAUUUUGGUUUCAAUGUCUGUUCUACCCUUAAAUUGGGUCUCUGCUUACUACCGGGAUAUCCUUUAGCGUCCUGCAAUUCUACUAGAUUAAAGAGAAUGACUUAAUUCUGCAUUCUGCCGUCCCUAGUCCAAGUGGUACUAGAAUUGAUGUUUCCUUUAGUGUCCUUUCUUCAUACUUUCAGGUUCUUCCCUUGUUUCAAUAAUGCUGUUUUCCUUCAUGUUUAACCUCUGUUGAACCACUUAAAACAACACAAUUUGCACACCAAUGUUUCUUUACAGAAAAGACUGUUUGCAAAAAUGCACAUGUUAUAAGGUUAAUGGAAGAAUUAAUUUGGGGAUAAGGGACUAGGAUUGGGCCAAUGAAGUUUGGUGUUAAAUUUUGAUUAUGAUUGCUUUUCAUUAUCAGGUACCUUAUAUUUGCUGAUGCUAUCUGGAACUAAAUUCAAAUCAGACAUUAUCCGAUUACUAACAGGACAUAUCAUGUCCCUCUGCAGAGUUUCUAAACUAACAUGUAUCGAAAUGUGGCCCCAAAAGGAAGGCUAGGAAGAUGGAGGAUUUUGUAGGAAUCGACCAGAAUCAGAUGGAAGAGAGAUAGUCCUGUUGACUUUAAUGGUUGUGAUAGGAACAUGCAUCAUUAUAUGAGAAGUUGCAUGAAUUUAUGUAUCCUGUUAUCGUUCCUUGACGAUUUCCCAAUGCAAUUUCACUGUCCACAAGACUAACCUCUCCAUGCAGUCAAAUGAAUUGUAAUUUCUCUAUUGGUACCAGUAGUACAUUUCAUACCAAACAUAUAGUAAAUAUAAAAUAUAAAUAGAUCAAGGAAAUCUGAAUUGUAGAUAGCACUGCAAGUAACACUCAAUAUUCUCUAUAUAUAAUAAAAUAAACAGUGUCACAAUACUCAUCACCCAGUGGCAAGGGAGAAAAACCUACAAUGAGUACUCAAAUCACCAUUCUCAAACAGAAACAUAGCAGUGACUGAUACAUAGAACCUAUAUGCUCACAGGGAAAGAAUAAGAUGACCAGUGCACAGCGGGCAGCAGCUCUUAUUUUACGUACAACUCAAAUCCCAAACUAACCAAAGUCGCUCAGUUGGGAUGGGUGGGAGAUGGUGGUUUGUGGGAUGGCUUCUGGGUAGGAGCUGGUGGCUUCUGUCCCUUUGGUGGUUUGCCUAAUGAGCUUGGUGGCUUGUGCUCCGGGAGUUGUUUCUCUCCCUCGAGUAGGUUUCGAGUCUUGUCAGAUGGCUUGUGUUCUGGUGGUGGCUUCUCUCCCUGGGGUGGUUUGCCGAAUGGGCUUGGUGGCUUGUGUUCGGGGAGUGGCUUCUCUCCCUGGAGAAGGUUACGAGUUUUGUCAUAUGGCUUUUGUUCUGGUGGUGGCUUCUCUCCCUGGGGUGGUUUGCCGAAUGGGCUUGGUGGCUUGUGUUCGGGGAGUGGCUUCUCUCCCUGGAGAAGGUUACGAGUUUUGUCAGAUGGCUUGUGUUCUGGUGGUGGCUUCUCUCCCUGGGGUGGUUUGCCGAAUGGGCUUGGUGGCUUGUGUUCGGGGAGUGGCUUCUCUCCCUGGAGAAGGUUACGAGUUUUGUCAGAUGGCUUUUGUUCUGGUGGCGGCUUCUCUCCCUGGGGUGGUUUGCCAAAUGGGCUUGGUGGCUUGUGUUCGGGAACUGGCUUCUCUCCCUUGGGAGGUUCAGUUGGUGGCUGCUGUUCCGUAGGUGGUUUCUUCACCGGCGGCUUGUGCUCCGGAAGCGGCUUCUCUACCUGGAGAAGCUUACGAGUUUUGUCCGAUGGCUUGUGUUGUGGUGGUGGCUUCUCUCCCUGGGGUGGUUUGCCAAAUGGAGUUGGUGGCUUGUGUUCGGGGAGUGGCUUCUCUCCAUUGGGAGGUUUAGUUGGUGAUUGGUGUUCCGUAGGUGGUUUCUGAAGUGGGGGAUGCUUGGGGUAGUCAGCAAGAGACGAGGUAGUGAGAACCACCAGUCCCAGCAGCAACACUAGCAAGCAUGUGGAAGACAUCUUUGAGUUCAGGCUGAGAUCUGUGCAAGGAUAACAGAAUUAGGUGGCCUUUUAUAGAGGCCUGGACCCAACACCCAUAUGACACGUGUCAUGCACUCAUGGUGACACAUAAUUCUAUGGGACCAUUUGGGUCCUACAGAAGUUGCAAAGUUGGACUACUGAGGUGUGAUCACAACUUUUGUCCUUAUUGCUUUCUCUGCGGCCAUUGCACGAUUUCCUUUAGCAUCAUUUUCUUGGCUAAAUAAGCGUAUUAUAUUUGUGGCAGACCGUCCACGUGUCAUAAACAGAUAUAUUAUAAUAAUGUAGUAUGCUUUUCUCCAAUGGAACAUGACACUCUUCUAAGUCUUGUUUUAAAUAUUGUGCAGGAUUACUUUAUACGUUGCAGUUCCAAGUCAAAAUUGGUGGGCAAACGUUGGCCUUUUUUCAUUUCACCUAAGAUUAAUGCUCACCUGGGAUAGGCACUACAUGACUUAUCUGCUCUUUUACUGUAAAGUUGCUUUGUGUAUGAGAUACACCUCCCCUGCACACCCUCAACAUUCGUUGCUCUGUUUUCCUUGUGUCCAGACGAGGAUAUUAAUUGGAGGCUGACAAAACGACUGCUAGCCCAGGAUUUACAAGGUCCUGGUUUGAGGCUUCGGUGAAAGUAUUUUUGAAAAGACACACAUAGAGAUAGUGCGUUUGGUGCAAUGCAGCACUGUGAGCCAUUCUGACGCGUUCUUAAUUUCAAAACUAAUGAAUGCUUCAAAAUUUUAAGAAGUGACAUUUCCAAAUAUUUGAGUUCGUUUAAUUGAACAUUGGAUAACUAGUGAUCAUAGAUUAUUAUCUGUGCUUGGCACUAUAAGAGGGUAUAUGCUUCUUUUUCUGGCCCCUCCUUCAAGGGAGGAGGGACAAUGUGAUCUGUAACGUUAGAAGCUAUUCCAUGUCAUCUUUGGGCUCAGUUCAAAACUAAAAGAUAAUGGGGGGGGGGGGGGGGGGCAUAUCAUUUUAUAUUUCUUCUAGAAGGUUUGUUCUGGAAAUAUUUCACAGGAGCAUAUCUUUUUCUUCUAUUACGUCAUCCGCAGCCUCCAAUAGGUCGGUUAACAAGCCACCGAGUUGAAAAGUUGGAAAAAUGGGAACACAGCCCGCCUCUUGUAUUCAGUAGUUAAAUAAAAGGUCACUAGAAGUGAGAUCCCUUUUGGCGUCUUGAUUUUCAAUCCAGCACCUCUGUGACCUGACAAACCAAAAAAACUAAAAAAUAAAAAACAGUACGUGGGUUGGUGUUAAGCAUCAAGACAUGUUAAUGAAAGAAGGUAGAGAAUAGGAUAUUGAAAUCCCAAUCCUGAUAACAUGAUUUUCUUUGCUAACAACCAUAUUAUAUUUUAUCAAGAAAGAGUAAUGCAUGUGGCGUCCAUCAAGACCCAUUAGAGUUCCGCUAAAGCUAUAGUUCUGUCAACGUUAUCAUUUACGUUUCCUCUAGAUAAUGGCAUUUUCCUCUAAAGCUCUUGCACCAUUAGGCUUCAAGUCAAAAUUUCACAUGUGAACUUUGGAAAUUUUCUCCAUUUGCCCCUAAGGAUACAGUUAGAAUUGACUUAAAAUCCUGAUUGAUAUGUACUAUUAACCAAAGAAUAUUGUAUAUAAUAAUUGAAAUAUUGUUGAUUCAUCGUGGAAAUACAUUUUGUAAGGAAAGUUGUUGAGAAUUUAGUAUGCUAUAUGGAGAAAAAAGUCAUGACUUAAGGUUGUGUAUGUAUAUUCUAUAUCAAAUAUUAGGUAGGAAUGUGGGAAAGAGCAGAGUGUAAUGAUAAGAAACAAAGAAAUAUAAGAUAUUCUUGAAAGUGGAAAAUAUAAAAUGGCUAACGAGUCAAAUUUAUGAUGCGUAAGGGGGAUCAUGUCACAUAAGAAAACCAUGGCAUACUAAAGACGUACGUGUGGUAUGGAGUAAUAAUUUUGUUAAAAUAAGUUUCUUGUUGGAGUACAUUAGGUGACUAUUCAUAACGUAUCAAAUUAAAGAGUCAAGUGCAUCAAUGAAGGCAUAUGUAGAAAAUUUGUUUGUGACAUGUACCAUAAAGAUAAGAUUGACUUGAUAGAAUUUAGUCUAAGUAGGAGUUGUUAAAGGUGUCUUAAAUUUCUAAUUGAUGUAUAUUUUUUUCUAAAAAAAUAUUAUAUAGAUAUUUUAAUAAAUGAUUAAUUCUUUGUAAAAAUACUUACAUAAUAAAAAACAUCAUUAAAAAUAUCUUUAUAAAUAUUUUAAGUUACAAGAAGGAAAAAAACCACUGUGAGAUAAUGAUGAACAUGCAACACUGUACCAAGUAAAUAAAAAUGUGAUAAAAAAAAAAGAGAAACACUCGAUAAAGGAAGGCUCGUAUAUAAAGAGUAAUAUUUUUAAUCAUAUGAUAGAAUGAUUUUCUCUCAUUCAUGAAUAUAGGCAAGAUUGGGGAACCAUUAUAAAAUUUUGUACACCUCGUGUAAAUUGAUGUUUGUCUUCAUAUUUUACACCAACAAAUGACAUUGAAGUUGUCAUUGAUAAAAGGGAAAAGGCAUGCCUCCACACCAUGUGCUUGAUUCGAAUGGUUCAAGUUUGAAGAAUUUUCUCCGGAAGAUCUAAAACAUUUUCGCCUUUAAAUUUCAUUUGAUUAUUAAUAUCCGAAAAAAUAGUUAAAUACUCUUUCUAUUUUUGAGUUGUUGAAUUUUUUGAAAGUUUUUAUAUUUGUUAUCAAGAAUUUCUAUUUUAUUAAGGGUGAAUAUUUAUAAAUAAGAUAUUAUAUAAUAUUUGGAUAAGAGAGAAUGGUGGAAUAUAAUAAAGUUUUAAUCCUUCCCAAUUUUGAACCUUUUUUUUUUUUUUUGAUAUAAUCGCCUUUCUCUUGCAAUCCUAUUAUCAGGUACCUUAUAUUUGCUGAUGCUAUCUGGAACUAAAUUCCAAUCAGGCAUUGUCCAAUUACUAAUAGGACAGAUCAUAUCUCUCUGUUUCUAAACUAACAUGUAUCGUAAUGUGACCUCAUAAGGAAGGCUAGGAAGAUGGAGGAUUUUGUGGGAAGCGACCAGAAUCAGAUGGAAGAGAGAUAGCCCUGUUGACCUAAUGGCUGUAAUAGGAGAAGCGUGUGGUUUUAUGGGACUUAACUGAUACUAAACCUGUAUGAUGCUUGGAGUGGUGUUUCUUUCAUUUUGUUAAGAAAAUAUGGCAGCAUACAUGCUUUCAACUGAGUGCAUCAGAGCAUCCAUAACAGAUGGUCUGCAACCCUAGGUGCAUGCCACUUUCUGACUGAUAAUGAAAUUGUCAGGUACCUGGCCUUGACUAAGCUCAACAGCAUCACAUAAAGAGAAGCUUUCAUACUUAGAUUACUGUUUAAAGUUUUUGCUUAUUUGAUUUCUUAAUGCCAUUAUGACAUUAUUGAUUCAAUUCUGCUUCCGAUUUUCGAAGUUCUGGGCAUCUACUGAUUGCAUCAUUAUAUGAGAAGUUGCAUGAGUUUAUGUAUCCUGUUAUUGUUCCUUUGCGAUUUCACUGCUCACGGGACUAACCUCUCCAUUCAGUCGAAAUGAAUUGUAAUUUCUUUACUGGUAGCAGUAGUACUUUUCAUAGCAAAGAUAAUAGAAAAUAUGAAAUAUAAAUAGAAGGAAAUCUGGAUUGUAGAUAGCACCAUAAGUAACACUCAAUAUUCACUACAUAAUAAAUAGACAGUGUUACAUAGGUAGAGAAACCUACAAUGAGUACUCAUCACCAUUCUCAAACAGAAACAUAGCAGCGACUUAUACAUAGAACCUAUAGGCUCGCAGGGAAAGAGUAACAUGAUAAGUUCACAGCGGGUAGCAGCUCUUAUUUUACGUAUUACUCAAAAUCUCAAACUAACCAAAGUCACUCAGUUGGGAUGGGUAGGAGAUGGUGGUUUGUGGGGUGGCUUCUGGGUAGGAGCUGGUGGCUUCUUUGUUGGAGUUGAAGGAGGCAUAUUCUUCUGAGGUGGCUUGUAUGACUCUUCGGCACUCUCUGCAGGAGGGUGCCCAGGGUUGUGACCAGAAGGAGGUGGCUUCUGUCCCUUUGGUGGUUUGCCUAAUGGGCUUGGUGGCUUGUGCUCCGGGAGUUGUUUCUCUCCCUCGAGUAGGUUUCGAGUUUUGUCAGAUGGCUUGUGUUCUGGUGGUGGCUUCUCUCCCUGGGGUGGUUUGCCGAAUGGGCUUGGUGGCUUGUGUUCGGGGAGUGGCUUCUCUCCCUGGAGAAGGUUACGAGUUUUGUCAGAUGGCUUUUGUUCUGGUGGCGGCUUCUCUCCCUGGGGUGGUUUGCCAAAUGGGCUUGGUGGCUUGUGUUCGGGAACUGGCUUCUCUCCCUUGGGAGGUUCAUUUGGUGGCUGGUGUUCCGUAGGUGGUUCCUUCACCGGCGGCUUGUGCUCCGGAAGCGGCUUCUCUACCUGGAGAAGCUUACGAGUUUUGUCAGAUGGCUUGUGUUGUGGUGGUGGCUUCUCUCCCGGGGGUGGUUUGCCAAAUGGACUUGGUGGCUUGUGUUCGGGGAGUGGCUUCUCUCCAUGGGGAGGUUUAGUUGGUGGUUGGUGUUGCGUAGGUGGUUUCUGAAGUGGGGGAUGCUUGGGGUAGUCAGCAAUAGACGAGGUAGUGAGAACCACCAGUCCCAACAGCAACACUAGCAAGGAUGUUGAAGACAUCUUUGAGUUCAGGCUGAGAUCUGUGCAAGGAUAAAAGAUUUAGGUGGCCUUUUAUAGAGGGCUGGACCCAACACCCAUAUGACACGUGUCAUGCACUCAUGGUGACACAUAAUUCUAUGGGACCAUUUGGGUCCUACAGAAGUUGCAAAGUUGGACUAUUGAGGUGUGAUCACAACUUUUGUCCUACUUGCUUUCUCUGCGGCCAUUGCACGAUUUCCUUUAGCAUCAUUUUCUUGUCUAAAUAAGCGUAUUAUAUUUGUGGCAGACCGUCCACGUGUCAUAAACAGAUAUAUUAUAAUAAUGUAGUAUGCUUUUCUUCAACGGAACUUGACACUCUUCUAAGUCUUGUUUUAAAUACUGUGCAGGAUUACGUCAUAAGUUGCUUGUUCCAAGUCAAAAUUGGUGGGCAAACGUUGGCCUUUUUUCAUUUUCCCUAAUAUUAAUGCUCACCUGGGAUAGGCACUACAUGAUUUAUCUGCUCUUUUACUGUGAAGUUGCUUUGUGCAUGAGUUACACCUCCCCUGCACACCCUCAACAUUUGUUGCUCUGUUUUUCUUGUGUCCAGACGAGGAUAUUAAUUGGAGGCUGACAAAACGACUGCUAGCCAAGGAUUUACAAGGUCCUGGUUUGAGGCUUUCACGAAAGUAUUUUUGAAAAGAUACACAUAGAGAUUGCGCGUUCGGUGCAAUGCAACAAUGUGAGCCAUUCUGAAGUCUUAAAUUUCAGAUUAAUGAAUGCUACAAAAUUCUAAGAAGGGCCGUUUCCAAAUAUUUGAGUUCAUUCAUCCGAACAUCGGGUAUAUGCUUCUUUCUCUAGCCCCUCCUUGAAGGGAGGAGGGACAAUGUGAUCUGUAUCGUUAGAAGCUAUUCCAUGUCGUCAUCUUUGGGCUCAGUUCAAUACUAAAAGAUAUGGGCGGGGCCCUUAUCAUUUUAUAUUUCUUCUAGAAGGUUUAUUCUGGAAAUCUUUCACAGAAACAUAUCUUUUUCUUCUCUACGUGAUCCGUGGUUUGAAAGUUGGAAAAAUGGGUCCGUUAACAAGCCACCGAGUUGAAAAGUUGGAAAAAUGGCAACACCGCCAACCUCUUGUAUUCGAUAGUUAAAUAAAAGGUCACUGGAAGUGAGAUCCCUUUUGGCCUCUUGAUUUUCAUUCCAGCAUCUCUAUGGCCUGAUAAAUUAAAAAACUAAAAAAAAAGACAGUACGUGGGUUGGUGUUAAGCAUCAAGAGUCAAGACAUGAUAAUGGAGAGAAAGGAUAUUCAAAUUCCAGUUCUGACAACAUGAUUUUCUUUGCUGAACUACCAUAUUAUAUUUGAUCAAGAAAGAGUAGUGCAUGUGGCCAGGAUCAAGACAUACAUUAAUUUCCACAUGAUGAAGACAGUUUCUGAGAGUUUCUUCUAAAGCUCUUGCGCGAGUAGGCUUCAAGUCAAAAUCUCCCAUGUAAACACUGGUUUUUCUUUCAUUGCCACUAAGGAUGCAGUUAAUAUUGACUUAAGAUCCUACGUGAUAUAUUUUUUUAAAAGAGCUAUAUUGUAGAUAAUAUUUGAAAUAAUGUUGAUUCGUUGUGGAAAUAUAUUUGUAAGGAAAGUUGUUGACAAUUUAAUAUAGUAUAAGAAGAAAAAAGUUAUCAACUAGCUAGAGAUGAGUAUGUAAAGUGAGGCUCACGAUUCAACGCGUAAAUAUAAGAUAUUUUAAGGCUCAAUAGUUAUGAUAUCUAUUUUAUUUUUUGUAUCUCAUAUAUUCAAAGAUAUAGUAAAAUGAUUUUACAUAUAUAUAUAUAUAUAUAUAUGAACAUAACUAUUUGUGCCAAUUGAUUUUUAUCUUUAUUUUGUAUAUUAGUAAUUAUAUUAAAGUUUUUACUAAUAUAAUAACUAAUAUAAAAGCUUUUUCUAAAAGAGUCAACAGAGCAAAACACUUAUUAUAAAAAAUAAUUUUGAUUGAAGGUGGAGUCAAUUAUUCUUUAUUUAACAUGUAAUGCAUACGGCGUGUACUUCAUAACUAAAGUAUAUAAGUGUAACAUCUCUUAUAUAUUCUCAUUCAAUCUCGAAAGUGGAAAUUUUAAAAAGAUUAAACGGUUCAAAUUUGUCGUGCAUAAAGGGGAUCAUGUCACAUAAGCAAACCAUGGCAUACCAAAGACAUAGGUAUGGACUAAGAAUUUUUUUCAAAUAAGUUUCUUAUUAGGGUACAUUAAUAGGUGACUUUUUAUGACAUAUCAAAGGAGUCAAGUGCACCAAUAAAAACAUAUAUAGAAAAUUCAUGCAUGACAUGUAUCACUAAGAGAAGAUUGACUUGAUAGAGUUUAAUCCAAAUAGGAGAUUGUUAAAAGGUGUCUCAAAUUCUUGAUUGAUAUAUAUUUUUUUUAUUAAAAAGGUUAUUAUAUAGAUAUUUCAAUAGACUAUUAAUUCUUUGUAAAAAUAGUUAUAUAAUGAGGAUGGUGAUUAAAAAUAUCUCUAUCAAUAUUUUGGAUUAUAAAAAGAAAAAAAAUGAGAUAAUGAUAAACAUAUAAAACUUGUACAAGUAGAUAAAGAUGUGAUGAAAGACACUUGAUGAAUGAAGGCUUUGUAUUUCAAGAUAUAAAUAUAUGGAGCAAAACUCUUAAUUAUAUGAUCAAAUGAUUCUCUCAUAUUCAUGAAUAUAAGCAGGAUUGGGGAACCAUGAUAGAAUCUUAUAUGCCUCUCCAUGUAGAGUGAUCGAUGUUUAUCUUCAUAUUUUACACCAGUGAAUGACAUUGAAACUCUUAUUGAUAAAAGGGAAAAGGCAUGGCCUCCACCCCAAGAAAAACAAGUAACCUCGGUUUAAAUCACUAGUCUACACCCCGAAGAGAGAACUAGCCAAACCUACUAAAAGAGAAACUUAACAAUUUAGAAAGAAACCGUCCAUGAUAAAGGGCCCCUAAAGGUCCAAUUCAGUGAGGUCGUGAACAAAAACACUUUCAUGUCAAAACAGAGAUAGGUACCACCAAAAUGUAAAGGGAAAGAUGUAAACCACGUCGAACUUUGGUAAUCAAUGGUAAAGAUAGCAUGAUAGCUAAAAGCACUAAAGCUGUGCUUGGUAUGCAAAAAUGAAAAGUGGAAAUCAGCGUCUUAUUCUUUUUCACCUUUAUUCACAUAUUAGGAUAACUAAUAUCUAAUGUUUUUUAUGUCUCAAAUUCUAUUCCAUGUUAUGGUAAACUUUCAUCUUGUUUAGAUCACUUUUGUCUGGUUUGGGCUCAAGACGAUAAGCCUAUAGAGACUUCAUAUUGGGUUGAAUCGAUGCCCUUGAUCUGAUCUGUUCGUUAGAAAAAUCUGAAUUAUUAUAAGCAUUUAGAUAAAAAAUAAAUAAAUGUGAAACACAAACUACUCCCUGCACAACCUUGACCCUAGUUACUCAGUUUCACUGCUCACAGGACUAACCUCUCCAUUCAGUCGAAAUGAAUUGUAACAAGAAGAUUUUUGACAGGAGGACGGUAGUUUAAAAUAAUAAUUUCUAAAGUACUUUUGUGAAAAAAAAUAAUUCCAAACGUGGAUUUUAUCAAGUAAAAAGAAAAAAAAAAGUUAUUUUCUUUUAAAAUCUGUUCUUCUAAAGAUGAUAUAUAUACCAAAAAAAAAAAUUGUUUUCUGAAGGUAAAAUUUUUAAAAUUCAUUUUUAAAAAAAUUUACACACUAAAAUUAUCUUUUCAAGAGAAGAUUUUUUUAAUUUUAAAUAAUUAUUAAUUUAUAAUUAAUUUGUUAUUAAUUAUUUAUUAAUUUUUUUAUUUGAAAAAUGCAUUUAUAAAAAACAAAUUUGUUAUUAAUUUAUUAAAUAAUUUUUACAAAAUAAAUAAUUUUUUUUUAUUUUAAUUUUAAAAUUAAUUUUAUUAUAUAAAUUUUAAAAUUAAAAAUAUUAAUAUUUAAUUUAAAAUUUAACUAUAAAAGGAAUAAAAUAUAGAAAAAUAAAUUAAUUUAUUAUUCAAUAAAUUAAUUUUCAAUAAAAUUUUCAGCAUUAAGAGAUAAAUUUUUAAGUAUUAAUCAAUUUAAAAAGAAAUAAUGAUCAUUUGUAUAUUAAGAUAUUUUAUUUAGUAAUUAUGAAUGAUAAACAACUAAAGUAAUUUGAAAAAAUAAUAAAAUAUUUAAAAAAUAAUAAUUUAAUACACGUAAAAUUAGAAAUGAUUAACUAUUUUUUAUUAAGAAAAAAUUGAGGAAAUAUUUUGUUAUUUAAAAUUUUUUAUUUGUUUUCAAUUUUUAAUGUUAUAGGUUUCAAGAAAAUUGAUCAAAUAAAAAUUAAGAAGUCAUUUUUUCAAAAACUAUAUAUCUAAAUAAAAGCCUUGAAAUUCAAAUACACAAUAUCAUAAAUAUAAACACCAAGUCAAUCCUUAAUUAUCAAAUGUUUUUAAUAUUAAAGAAUCAAAAUCACCUACUAUCAUGAUAAUAAGAAAACCAAUAAUAUUGUUCAUAUAAAUACUAAAAAGCUAACAAAUAUCCCAAACAAUUAAUAAAGUAUCAAACAUGAUAAAAAGUCAAUUAUUAUCAUGAAUGCAAAAAAUCAAUAAUUUUGUUUAUAUGAACCAUCAACAAAGAAAAAAAAAAUCAAUAUCUAAAUAUUAAACAUAAUUUAUAUUUUUAUAAAUAUUAUUGUUGAUAAAUAUCUUAACAAUUAUAAUUUUAGUAAAUAAAAUUAAUUAAUUUUAGUUUAAGAAUUAUUUUUUUAUACUUUCGUAUUCUUAUCAAAAAUCCCCAUUUUGCAUGUCUCCUUUGGCAUGACUUUCUUACCUAAACAAGCAUAUAUAUAUAUAUAUAUAUAUAAAAUAUUUGGUUAAGAAAGAGUACUAAAGUUUAUAUGGCACACAUCAAGAUAGAAACAGAAGUGGAAGAUAAUCCAAAUGUAUGAACAGAUAUAUUAUAUCCAUGUAGUGGUAGUGACUUCAUUAUUUACUUUUAUCUAAUGGAGCAUGACACACUUCUUCUGAAUAUUUUGCACGAUUAUGUUAUGUGUCAGCUUGUUCUAAGUCAAAACUAGUGAUAAAAAUCGGUUUUUUUUGCAUUUCCUUCAUGAAGAUGGCACCUGGAUGGGGCACUACAUGAGUGGCAUAGCACGAAGUGAUUUAUCUGCUCCCUUUACUAUAAAGUGCUUUGUGUAUAAGUUACACCUCCCCUGCACUGCCUCAACAUUUGUUGUUCUGUCUUCCGUCUGUCCAAACGAGGACAAACGUAUGUUGUAGGUUGACAAAACCACAGCUAGCCUAGGAUUUGCAAGGAUCUAGUUUGAUUCGUAUGCAAAAGGAUUGGUGAAAAGAUUCACAAAGAUAAUGCUUUUUGCAAUGCAAUCUUGUUCUAAUUCAACAGUGUGGACCAUUUUCAUGUAAUGCUUCAACUAGAUGUCAGUUUCAUGAAUUUUUGUUCAUCUAAUUGAUCACUGGAUAGGCCAUAACCCGAAGAAAUUCAAAAUUCCCUUCAGUACUGUAGCUAAGGAAAGAUCCCUAUCUACCACUGGGAUUUUAAGAGGGUAAAAAUGUAGGUGGGUGCCUAUAUCAUUUGCACUUCACUAUAGGCCUCUUUGGGAAGAUUUCUUCUGAAGACAUUUCAAAGAAACAUAUUUUUCUCUUCUCUCCGUAAACGGCAGCUGCAAGUCAGUCCAUUCACAGGCCACCGAGUUGAAAAGGCUGGAAAAUUGGCCAAAGCACCCGCCUCCUGGAUUCCAUGGGUAAGGAAAAGGUCACUGGAGGUGUGAUCCCUGUUGGCCUCUUGAUUUCCAUUCCGCCAUCUAUAUGACCUGAUAACCCAAAAACACAGAAGGAAAACGUCACCUGGGUUCAUAGUAAGCAUCAAGUCAUGAUAGAGACCAGACAACAUGACCAACAAAGAGUAGCGAAUGGGGCCAACAUCAAGCCCCAUUACGGUUAGAAGAUGGAAGAAGUAGAAGACAAUCCAAUUCUGAUAGAUUCGGGCAAAUGUAGUGCUGUUCAAACUUAAUCAUUUACUAUUUCUUCAUGAAUCACGGCAUUUUUCUUCUGAAAAUUUUCCAAGAUUAGGCCUCUGAAGAAAAAUUUCAUAUGUAAAUUGGUAUAUUAAGGAAAAGGCGUUACAAAGGUGAAAAAAAACCAAUCAAAUCUUAUAUAUGACAUCUCAAAAAUAUGAACUUGCUAUAAAUAUUUAAAAUCAAAAUCUUGCACAUCACCUCGUAGUACGAACUUGCUAUAAAACUUGAAAAUCAAGAAGAAAGGGGCAGUAUUGGACGAGACUACUUAGCACAUAUUAUUAUGAUGUUUUUUCAUUUUCUUAAUGUUGUUUUUAUGUCUUAAAUUCUAUUAUUCUAUGUUACGGUAAACAUUCAUCUUGUUUGUGUGGAAUAGGAUCACUUUUCUCUGGGUUGAGUCGAUGCCCUUAGUUAAUUUGUUCAUUUGAAUAAACUAAAUUAUUAUAAGUAUUUAGAUAAGAAAAACGUGAUACAUAAAUUACGCCUCUCGGCACAACUUCAACACUGGUUACUCUGUUUCAGUUUCCUCACACAAGAUUAUUGGUUCUAGGGUUUAUUUGGUUUUGGUUUGAUUCUAAUUGCUAAACUUUCUCAAGGAAGAUGUUAUAUAGGGAGUGAGAAACCUUCACUCUUGGCUACCUCCAAGAGAAGAGCAAGUGGUCUGAAUCAAAGAUAUACUGCUCACUUUUUCUUCUUCUAAGGACAGCUAUGACCUUGCUUUAAGGUUCGAAUAGCCUAAUGCAACCUCCCAUUUCUCAAGUCAGCUGAUGAUGUAAGUCACCUUGGCUUUCCACAUUCAUACGGUGAGGACGUUUGUGGGUGUAAUUCUCUUAACAGUUUUCAUUUUAUAUGGAAAAAUUCAUAAUUAAGGGUAAUUACUGAUUCCAUUUGACAGUGACCAAGUUUAAAAUAUUAAUUCAUAUAUUAAAUGCACAUUAAAAAAUCAUGGAAUAAAUAUAUUUACUAAUAUAUAGUUCUUUUGCCAUGUUCUGUCACAGAAGCAUCGAACUUUCCCUAGAAAUUUUUGCAUGGUAUUCUACUUAUGAUUUUGAAAACUCUAGGCACCUGAGGCCACUAAUUGCAUGGUUGGAUGAGGAGCUGCAUGAGAUUAUGUAUCGUGUUGUUCCUUAACUACAAAUAUCAGUUUUAAGUAGCAUCUCCAUGUGACAUUUUCCUGAUGCAAUUUCGCUGUCCACCAACAAAUUUCACCAUGCAGCAAGAUGAAUUGUAAUUUCUUUAUUGUUAUCAACAGCUUUAAUUAAUCUUGAUAUAUAUAUAUAACUUAGUAGAAGUAUAUUAAUCUAGAUUGUAGUUGCACUAAGAUAAUAGGCAAUAUUAUAACAGUGCCACAAUGCUCAUCGCCAAAUAGAAAGGUAGAAAAACUACAAUGAGUAACUCACAACAUUCUCAAACAGGACAUAGCGGCGACUGAUACAUAGAACACUAUUGGCACUCAGGAAAUGAUAAGAUCAGUGCCCAGCAGGCAGCACGUCUUAUUUUACAUACUACUUAAAACUAACCAAAGUCAUUCAGUUGGGAUGGGUGGGAGAUGGUGGUUUGUGCGGUGGCUUUUGGGUAGUUGGUGGCUUCUUUCCUGGAACUGAUGGUUUUUUUGUUGGAGUUGAAGGAGGCUUAAUCGUCUGAGGUGGCUUGUAUGAGUCUUCAGCACUCUCUGCGGGAGGGUGCCCAGGGUUGUGACCAUAAUGGGGUGGCUUCUCUCCCUUAGUUGGUUUGCCAAGUGGGCUGGCUGGCUUGUGCUCCGGGAGCGGCUUCUCUCCCUUAGGUGGUUUGCCAAAUGGGCUUGCUGGCUUGUGCUCUGGGAGCGGCUUCUCUCCCUCAAGAAGUUUACGGGUUUUGUCAGAUGGCUUGUGUUCUGGUGGUGGCUUCUCUCCUUGGGGUGGUUUGCCAAAUGGACUUGGUGGCUUGUGUUCGGGGAGUGGCUCCUCUCCCUUGGGAGGUUUAGUUGGUGGCUGGUGUUCCAUAGGUGGUUUCUCAACCGGGGGCUUGUUCUCCGUUGGUGGUUUAUGAACUGGGGGAUGCUUGGGGUAGUCAGCAAGAGACGGGGUGGUGAGAACCACCAGUCCCAGCAGCAACACUAGCAAGUAUGUGGAAGAGUACAUCUUUGAGUUCAGGCUGAGAUUUGUGCGAGACUUGAAGAAUUAGGUGGCCUUUUAUAGCUGGCUGCACCCAACACUCACAUGACACGUAUCAUGGUGACACAUGUGCUAUGGGUCCAUUUGGGUCCUACAGAAGCUGAAAACUUUUGACUAUUGAGGUGUGGUCACAACUUUUGUCCCUAUUGCUUUCUCCGCAACCGUUUUACAUGUUUCCUUUGGCAUAAUUUUCUAAGCUAAACAAGCAUAUAUCAUAUUUGGUUAAGAAAGAGUAAAGUGUAUAUGGCACACAUCAAGGAAGAGAAACAGAAAAAGUGGGAGACAAUCAAUUGUGAUAAACAGAUAUAUUAUAUUCAUGUAGUACUAGUGACUUUAUCAUUUACUUUUAUCCAAUAGAUCAUCACUCUUUCUUCUAAAUAUUUUGGAGGAUAAUGGUACAUGUUGCUUGUUUCCAAGUCAAAAUUGGUGGCAAAAAUCGGCAUGAUACGAAAGGAUUGGUGAAAAGAUUCACAUAGAUGGUGCUUUGUGCAAUGCAGUCUUGCUCUAAUUCAACAGAGUGGACCAUGGUGAUGUAUUUUAAAUUUUAAAUUUUAAAUUAAUGCAUGCUUCAAAGUUUUAACUAGAUGUCACUUCCAUGGAUUUUUGUUCAUUUAAUUGAGCACAGGAUAGGCUAUCAAACUUGAAGUAAUAUAAAAAUCCCUUCAUUACUGUAACUAAUGAAAGAUCAUUAUCUGCGCUUGGUAUUUUGCCAAGGUAUUUGCUGCUCUUUCUAGCCCUGUCUUACAGUUAAGGACAAUGUGAUCUAGUUAACCUUAGAAGCUAUUCCAUGUCAGAUACAAGAGAUCAAGCACAUUAUCUUUGGGCUCAGUUCAAAACUAUAAUAUAUGGGUGGGGUGGAGGCCCAUAUCAUUUGCAUAUCACCACUAUUGGUUUAGUUUGGAAGGUUUCUUCUGGAAGAUUGCUGCUUUCUGGAAUCAUUUCAAAGAAAUAUAUCUUUUUGUUCUCUUGGUGACGAGCAGCGGCAAUCAAGUCUGUUGACAAACAACCGAGUUGAAAAGUUUGAAAAUUGGUCACAGCCCACGUCCAUGGUUAAGGAAAAGGUCACUGGAAGUGAUCCCUUCUGGGCCUCUUGAUUUCCAUUCUGACAUCUAUAUGACCUGAUAAAUAGAAAGAAAAAAAAACAGAAGAAAAGCGGCACCCGGGUUCAUAGUAAGCAUCAAGACAGGAUACUGAAAGAAGGGAGAAAGGAGAUUGCAAGUCCAAUCCUGAUAAAAUGAUCAACAAAGAGUAUCAAAAUGGGGCCAACAUAAAGACCCAUUGAGGUUAGCAGAUGGCAUGGCAUUUUUCUCCUUAAGUUUUCCAUGAUUAGACUUGAAGUCAAAAUUUCACAUGUAAAUUUGUAUUUCUACAUUUCCCACUGACGACACCCAACUUCAACUUGAGUUAGAAUAACAUUGUGUGAACUUAUCUGGCCCUCAAAAUUUACUGUGAAGUGCUUUCUGCGUGUGAAGAUUCAGAAAAGCACCAAGGGAACAUGUAUGGUCUGCCUUUUUCUGAUGUUAUGUUUGUCUCUAAUUCUGUUCCAUGUCAUGGUAAAUGUUCACAUUGCUUGUAUGGAACACACCAGGAUCACUUUUUCGGGUUUAUUUUGAGGCUUCAUAUUGGGUUCAUAUUGGGUUCAAUGCUUUUAAUGUGUUCAUUAGACAAAUCUGAAUUAUCAUAUGCAUUUAGAUAAGAACAAUAAUGUGAAACCCUAGUUACACCUCCCCUGCAUAACCCCAACCCUGCUUACUCUAUUUCAGUUUACUCACACAAGUUUUACCGGUUCUUAUAAGUCAAGAAAAGGCAACUGAUGUUGGAUUGACUCUCUUCCAUGUAUAAAAAGCAACUUUUAUAUAUACAUAAAAUAACUUCUUCCCCUCACCAAUGUGGGAUAUCAUGGAUUUAUUCUGGAAACACAUCAAAGGAACAUCUUUUCUCUUGGGUGACCCUAAGUGGUGAGUCAGACCAUUUGCAUGCCAUUGAGUUGCACAGUUGGAUAAAUGCACCUACCUCCUGGGCUCCAGAGUUAAAAGGGUGGAUCCCUGGAUCGCAACCCUCUUGGCAUCUUGGUUUCCAUUCCAACAUCCACAUGACUUGACAAAACAAAAAACAGAAUAAAAUCAUCACUAUUUUCAUGCUAAGCACCAAUACAUGAUGGAAAUCAUUGCUUAAAGAUUUGGGGUCAUUUAGGUUUUGACUGCCUCCUAACACCUCACCUAAUCACAAGUUUUUAUGCUUACAAAUCAAAUAUCGUUCUUCAUUAUAUUAAAAUCAUUUUAAGAUUUCAGAUCCAUCUGCUAAUUAUGAUUAUGAUAACAUUAAUUCACCUGUGCUUCUCAUUUUCGACACACAAGGCAUCUAGGUUUGCAGGAUUUCCUUAUUAGAUGAGAUAAAUGAGUACGCAUGGUUAUGUAUGCAGCAUUCAUUAACCAUGGUAUGUGACAUUUAGAAUUAAGAUAGCAAGCAAACUUUCCCUGCAGCUUGAGUAAAUUGUGAUUUCUUAGCCUCUAUGAGUGGUUCCCAAAUCAAAUUAACAUAGUGAAAUAUACGUAGUCCAGUGAAAGGAAAUGUAAAUUAUAAACUAACAGCACUACACUACUGGUAACACUCGAUACUCUCUAUAUAAUGCAAUGAAAUAUACGUUAUACGUUGCUUGUUCCAAGUCAAAAUUUGUGGCCAAACGUUGGCCUUUUUUCAUUUUCCCUAAGAUUAAUGCUCACCUGGGAUAGGCACUACAUGAUUUAUCUGCUCUUUUACUGUAAAGUUGCUUUGUGUAUGAGUUACACCUCCCCUGCACACCCUCAACAUUUGUUGCUCUGUUUUCCUUGUGUCCAGACGAGGAUAUUAAGUGGGGGCUGACAAAACGACUGCUAGCCAAGGAUUUACAAGGUCCUGGUUUGACGCUUCCGCGAAAGUAUUUUUGAAAAUAUACACAUAGAGAUUGCGCGUUCGGUGCAAUGCAACAAUGUGAGCCAUUCUGAAGUUUUUAAUUUCAGAUUAAUGAAUGCUACAAAAUUCUAAGAAGGGCCGUUUCCAAAUAUUUGAGUUCAUUUAUCCGAACAUCGGAUAAGUAAUGAUCAUAGAUUAUUAUUAUUAUCUGACGUUCUUAUAAUGGUUGGCAUUAUAAGAGGGUAUAUGCUUCUUUCUCUAGCCCCUCCUUCAAGGGAGGGACAAUGUGAUCUGUAUCGUUAGAAGCUAUUCCAUGUCGUCAUCUUUUGGCUUAAGUCAAUACUAAAAUAUAUGGGCGGGGCCCCUGUCAUUUUAUAUUUCUUCUAGAAGGUUUGUUCUGGAAAUCUUUCACCGAAACAUAUCUUUUUCUUCUCUACGUGAUCCGUGGUUGGAAAGUUAGAAAAAUGGGUCCGUUCACAAGCCACCGAGUUGAAAAGUUGGAAAAAUGGCAACACCGCCAACCUCUUGUAUUCGAUAGUUAAAUAAAAGGUCACUGGAAGUGAGAUCCCUUUUGGCCUCUUGAUUUUCAUCCCAGCAUCUCUAUGUCCUGAUAAACUAAAAAACUAAAAAAAAAACAGUACGUGGGUUGGUGUUAAGCAUCAAGAGUCAAGACAUGAUAAUGGAGAGAAAGGAUAUUCAAAUUCCAGUUCUGACAACAUGAUUUUCUUUCCUGAACAACCAUGUUAUAUUUGAUCAAGAAAGAGUAGUGCAUGUGGCCAGGAUCAAGACAUACAUUAAUUUCCACAUGAUGAAGACAGUUUCUGAGAGUUUCUUCUAAAGCUCUUGCGCUAGUAGGCUUCAAGUCAAAAUUUCCCAUGUAAACACUGGAUUUUCUUUAAUUGCCACUAAGGAUACAGUUAAAAUUGACUUAAAAUCCUACGUGAUAUAUAUCUUUAACAAAAGUAUAUUGUAUAUAAUAUUUGAAAUAAUGUUGAUUCGUUGUGGAAAUAUGUUUGUAAGGAAAGUUGUUGACAAUUUAAUAUAGUAUAAGAAGAAAAAAGUUAUCAACUAGAGAUGAGUAUGUAAAGUGAGGCUCACGAUUCAACGCGUAAAUAUAAGAUAUUUUAAGGCUCAAUAGUUAUGAUAUCUAUUUUAUUUUUUGUAUCCCAUAUAUUCAAAGAUACAGUAAAAUGAUUUUAUAUAUAUGAACAUAGCCGAUAGUAUCAUGUUAAAACCUUAUAUGACUCUUUGUGCCAAUUGAUUUUUAUCUUUAUUUUGUGUAUUAGUAAUUAGUAUUAAAGUUUUUACUAACAUAAUAAUUGAUAUAAAAGCUUUUUCCAAAAGAGUCAAACAGAGCAAAACACUUAUUAUAAAAAGAAUUUUGAUUGAAGGUGGAGUCAAUUAUUCUUUAUUCAACAUGUGAUGCAUACAGCGGGUACUUCAUAACUAAAGUAUAUAAGUGCAACAUCUCUUAUACAUUCUCAUUCAAUCUCGAAAGUGGAAAAUUUUAAAAGAUUAAAUGGUUCAAAUUUUCCGUGCAUAAAGGGGAUCAUGUCACAUAACCAAACCAUGGCAUACCAAAGCCAUGAUAUGGACUAAGAAUUUUGUUAAAAUAAGUUUCUUAUUAGGGCACAUUAUGUGACUAUUUAUGACAUAUCAAAGGAGUCAAGUGCAUCAAUAAAGACAUAGAAAAUUCAUGCAUCACAUGUACCACUAAGAGAAAAUUGACUUGAUAGAGUUUAGUCCAAAUAGGAGAUUGUUAAAAGGUGCAUCAAAUUCUUGAUUGAUAUAUAUUUUUUUUAUUAGAAAGGUUAUUAUAUAGAUAUUUCAAUAGACUAUUAAUCCUUUGUAAAAAUAGUUAUAUAAUGAGGAUGGUGAUUAAAAAUAUCUCUAUCAAUAUUUUGGAUUAUAAAAAGAAAAAAAAUAUGAGAAAAUGAUAAACAUAUAAAACUUGUACAAGUAGAUAGAGAUGUGAUGAAAGACACUUGAUGAAUGGAGGCCUUGUAUUUCAAGAUGUAAAUAUAUGGAGCAAAACUCUUAAUUAUAUGAUCAAAUGAUUCUCUCAUAUUCAUGAACAUAAGCAGGAUUGGGGAACCAUGAUAGAAUCUUAUAUGCCUCUCCAUGUAGAUUGAUCGAUGUUUAUCUUCAUAUUUUACACCAAUGAAUGACAUUGAAACUCUGAUUGAUAAAAGGGAAAAAGCAUGGCCUCCACCACAAGAAAAACAAGUAACCUCGGUCUAAAUCACUAGUCUACACCCCGAAGAGAGAACUAGCCAAACCUACUAAAAGAGAAACUUACCAAUUUAGAAAGAAAUCUUCCAUGAUAAAGGGCCCCUAAAAGUCCAAUUCAGUCAGGUUGUGAACAAAAACACCUUCAUGUCAAAACAGGAAUAGGUACCACCAAAAUGUAAAGGGAAAGAUGUAAACCAAGUCGAACUUUGGUAAACAAUGGUAAAGAUAGCAUGAUAGCUAAAAGCACUAAAGCUGUGCUUGGUAUGCAAAAAUGAAAAGUGGAAAUCAGCGUCUUAUUCUUUUUCUCCUUUAUUCACAUAUUAGGAUAACUAAUAUCUAAUGUUUUUUUUAUGUCUCAAAUUCUAUUCCAUGUUAUGGUAAACUUUCAUCUUGUUUAAGUGGAAGAGUAGGAUCACUUUUGUCUGGUUUGGGCUCAAGACGAUAAGCCUAUAGAGACUUCAUAUUGGGUUGAAUUGAUGCCCUUGAUCCGAUCAGUUCGUUAGAAAAAUCUGAAUUAUUAUAAGCAUUUAGAUAAAAUAAAUAAAUAAAUGUGAAACAGAGACUAUUCUCUGCACAACCUUGACCCUAGUUACUCAGUUUCACUGCUCACGGGACUAACCUCUCCAUUCAGUCGAAAUGAAUUGUAAUUUCUUUACUGGUAGCAGUAGUACUUUUCAUAGCAAAGAUAAUAGUAAAUAUGAAAUAUAAAUAUAUAGAAGGAAAUCUGGAUUGUAGAUAGCACCAUAAGUAACACUCAAUAUUUACUACAUAAUAAAAGAGAUAGUGUUACAAAGGUAGAGAAACCUACAAUGAGUACUCAUCACCAUUCUCAAACAGAAACAUAGCAGUGACUUAUACAUAGAACCUAUAGGCUCGCAGGGAAAGAGUAACAUGAUAAGUGCACAGCGGGUAGCAGCUCUUAUUUUACGUAUUACUCAAAAUCUCAAACUAACCAAAGUCACUCAGUUGGGAUGGGUAGGAGAUGGUGGUUUGUGGGGUGGCUUCUGGGUAGGAGCUGGUGGCUUCUUUGUUGGAGUUGAAGGAGGCGUAAUCUUCUGAGGUGGCUUGUAUGAGUCUUUGGCACUCUCUGCAGGAGGGUGCCCAGGGUUGUGACCGGAAGGAGGUGGCUUCUGUCCCUUUGGUGGUUUGCCUAAUGGGCUUGGUGGCUUGUGCUCCGGGAGUUGUUUCUCUCCCUCGAGUAGGUUUCGAGUUUUGUCAGAUGGCUUGUGUUCUGGUGGUGGCUUCUCUCCCUGGGGUGGUUUGCCGAAUGGGCUUGGUGGCUUGUGUUCGGGGAGUGGCUUCUCUCCCUUGGCAGGUUCAGUUGGUGGCUGGUGCUCCGUAGGUGGUUUCUUCACCGCCGGCUUCUCUCCCUGGAGAAGGUUACGAGUUUUGUCAGAUGGCUUCUGUUCUGGUGGCGGCUUCUCUCCCUGGGGUGGUUUGCCAAAUGGGCUUGGUGGCUUGUGUUCGGGAACUGGCUUCUCUCCCUUGGCAGGUUCAGUUAGUGGCUGGUGUUCCGUAGGUGGUUUCUUCACCGGCGGCUUGUGCUCCGGAAGCGGCUUCUCUACCUGGAGAAGCUUACGAGUUUUGUCAGAUGGCUUGUGUUGUGGUGGUGGCUUCUCUCCCUGGGGUGGUUUGCCAAAUGGACUUGGUGGCUUGUGUUCGGGGAGUGGCUUCUCUCCAUUGGGAGGUUUAGUUGGUGGUUGGUGUUCCGUAGGUGGUUUCUGAAGUGGGGGAUGCUUGGGGUAGUCAGCAAGAGACGAGGUAGUGAGAACCACCAGUCCCAGCAGCAAUACUAGCAAGGAUGUGGAAGACAUCUUUGAGUUCAGGCUGAGAUUUGUGCAAGGCUAGAAGAAUUAGGUGGCCUUUUAUAGCGGGCUGGACCCAACAACCAAAUGACACGUAUCAUGAUACACAUAUGUGUUAUAAGAUCCUUGUGGGUCCUACAGAAGUUGAAAACUUUGACAAUUGAGGUGUGAUUACAACUUUUGUCCCUAUUGCUUUCUCGUCAGCCGUUUUGCAAGAUUUUUGACAGGAGGACGGUAGUUUAAAAUAAUAAUUUCUAAAGUACUUUUGUGAAAAAAAAUAAUUCCAAACGUGGAUUUUAUCAAGUAAAAAAAACAAAAAAAAGUUAUUUUCUUUUAAAAUCUUUUCUUCAUGAUUCAUAUACCAAAAAAAGAAUUGUUUUCUGUAGGUAAAAUUUUUAAAAUUCAUUUUUAAAAAAAAAAAAUUACACACUAAAAUUAUCUCUUCAAGAAAAUAUUUUUUAAAUUUUAAAUAAUUAUUAAUUUAUAAUUAAUUUUUUAUUAAUUAUUUAUUAAAUUUAUAUGUGAAAAAUGCAUUUAUAAAAAACAAAUUUUUUAUUAAUUUAUUAAAUAAUUAUUUACAAAAUAAAUAAUUUUGCUUUAUUUUAAUUUUAAAAUUAAUUUUAUUAUAUAAAUUUUAAAAUUAAAAAUAUUAAUAUUUAAUUUAAAAUUUAACUAUAAAAGGAAUAAAAUAUAGAAAAAUAAAUUAAUUUAUUAUUCAAUAAAUUAAUUUUCAAUAAAAUUUUCAGCAUUAAGAGAUAAAUUUUUAAGUAUUAAUCAAUUUAAAAAAUAAUAAUAAUCAUUUGUAUACUAAGAUAUUUUAUUUAGUAAUUAUGAAUGAUAAACAACUAAAGUAAUUUGAAAAAAUAAUAAAAUAUUUAAAAAUAAUAAUUUAAUACACUUAAAAUUAGAAAUGAUUAACUAUUUUUUAUUAAGAAAAAAUUGAAGAAAUAUUUUGUUAUUUAAAAUUUUUUAUUUGUUUUCAAUUUUAAAUGUUAUAGGUUUCAAGAAAAUUGAUCAAAUAAAAAUUAAGAAGUCAUUUUUUCAAAAACUAUAUAUCUAAAUAAAAGCCUUGAAAUUCAAAUACACAAUAUCAUAAAUAUAAACACCAAGUCAAUCCUUAAUUAUCAAAUGUUUUUAAUAUUAAAGAAUCAAAAUCACCUACUAUCAUGAUAAUAAGAAAACCAAUAAUAUUGUUCAUAUAAAUACUAAAAAGCUAACAAAUAUCCCAAACAAUUAAUAAAGUAUCAAACAUGAUAAAAAGUCAAUUAUUAUCAUGAAUGCAAAAAAUCAAUAAUUUUGUUUAUAUGAACCAUCAACAAAGAAAAAAAAAAUCAAUAUCUAAAUAUUAAACAUAAUUUAUAUUUUUAUAAAUAUUAUUGUUGAUAAAUAUCUUAAUAAUUAUAAUUUUUUAUAUAUUAAAUUUAGUAAAUAAAAUUAAUUAAUUUUAUAAUAUAAGAUAUAUAUAAUAAUUAAGAGACUAUUUGUCCCAAACAAUUUAUUUAUUUUUUUUUUAGGAAAUUGUCUCUUCAAGAGACGACUUCUCCCAACAUUUUUAAAAAAAAAAAAAAAAACAUCUAUUCAAAAGACGAUUUCUCCUCAUUUUUUAAAAAUGAAUUUUAGAAAUCAUAUUUUCAAAAAUGAAUUUUAGAAAUCAUAUUUUCAAAAGACGAUUUUUUUUUAUAUAAAUUAUUUUUUAAAAUGACGAUUUUAAAAGGAAAUAACGAUCUCUCUCCUACUUGGCAAAAACUAUGGUAAAUUUGGAAUUAUUUCUUCCACAACCAUAGUUUAAGAAUUAUUUUUUUAUACUUUCGUAGACUUAUCAAAAAUCCCUAUUUUGCAUGUCUCAUUUGGCAUGACUUUCUUACCUAAACAAGCAUAUAUAUAUAUAUAUAUAUAUAUAUCACUUUUGUCUGGGUUGAGUCAAUGCCCUUAACUAAUUUGUUCAUUUGAAUAGUCUAAAUUAUUAUAAGCUUUUAGUUAAGAAAAAUGUGAAACAUAAAUUACACCUCUCGGCACAACUUCGACACUGGUUACUCUGUUUCAGUUUAUUCACACAAGAUUAUUGGUUCUAGGGUUUAUUUGGUUUUGGUUUGAUUCUAAUUGCUAAACUUUCUCAAGGAAGAUGUUAUAUAGGGAGUGAGAAACCUUCACUCCUGGCUACCUCCAAGAGAAGAGCAAGUGGUCUGAAUCAAAGAUAUACUGCUCACUUUUUCUUCUUCUAAGGACAGCUAUGACCUUGCUUUAAAAUGUUCGAAUAGCCUAAUGCAACCUCCCAUUUCUCAAGUCAGCUGAUGAUGUAAGUCACCUUGGCUUUCCACAUUCAUACGGUGAGGACGUUUGUGGGUGUAAUUCUCUUAACAGUUUUCAUUUUAUAUGGAAAAAUUCAUAAUUAAGGGUAAUUACUGAUUCCAUUUGACAGUGACCAAGUUUAAAAUAUUAACUCAUGUAUUAAAUGCACAUUAAAAAAUCAUGGAAUAAAUAUAUUUACUAAUAUAUAGUUCUUUUGUCAUGUUCUGUCACAGAAGCAUCGAACUUUCCCUAGAAAUUUUUGCAUGGUAUUCUGCUUAUGAUUUUGAAAACUCUAGGCACCUAAGGCCACUGAUUGCAUGGUUGGAUGAGGAGCUGCAUGAGAUUAUGUAUCCUGUUGCUCCUUAACUACAAAUAUCAGUUUUAAGUAGCAUCUCCAUGUGACAUUUUCCUGAUGCAAUUUCGCUGUCCACCAACAAAUGUCUCCAUGCAGCUAGAUGAAUUGUAAUUUCUUUGUUGUUAUCAACAGCUUUAAUUAAUCUUGAUAUAUAUAUAACUUAGUAGAAGUAAUUAAUCUAGAUUGUAGUUGCACUAAGAUAAUAGGCAAUAUUAUAACAGUGCCACAAUGCUCAUCGCCAAAUAGAAAGGUAGAAAAACUACAAUGAGUAACUCACACAACAUUCUCAAACAGGACAUAGCGGCGACUGAUACAUAGAACACUAUUGGCACUCAGGAAAUGAUAAGAUCAGUGCCCAGCAGGCAGCACGUCUUAUUUUACAUACUACUUAAAACUAACCAAAGUCAUUCAGUUGGGAUGGGUGGGAGAUGGUGGUUUGUGCGGUGGCUUCUUUCCUGGAACUGGUGGUUUUUUUGUUGGAGUUGAAGGAGGCUUAAUCGUCUGAGGUGGCUUGUAUGAGUCUUCAGCACUCUCUGCAAGAGGGUGCCCAGGGUUGUGACCAUAAUGAGGUGGCUUCUCUCCCUUAGGUGGUUUGCCAAGUGGGCUGGCUGGCUUGUGCUCCGGGAGCGGCUUCUCUCCCUUAGGUGGUUUGCCAAAUGGGCUUGCUGGCUUGUGCUCUGGGAGCGGCUUCUCUCCCCCAAGAAGUUUGCGGGUUUUGUCAGAUGGCUUGUGUUCUGGUGGUGGCUUCUCUCCUUGGGGUGGUUUGCCAAAUGGACUUGGUGGCUUGUGUUCGGGGAGUGGCUCCUCUCCCUUGGGAGGUUUAGUUGGUGGCUGGUGUUCCGUAGGUGGUUUCUCAACCGGGGGCUGGUGCUCCGUAGGUGGUUUAUGAACUGGGGGAUGCUUGGGGUAGUCAGCAAGAGACGGGGUGGUGAGAACCACCAGUCCCAGCAGCAACACUAGCAAGUAUGUGGAUGACAUCUUUGAGUUCAGGCUGAGAUUUGUGCAAGACUAGAAGAAUUAGGUGGCCUUUUAUAGCUGGCUGCACCCAACACUCACAUGACACGUAUCACGGUGACACAUGUGCUAUGGGAUCCAUUUGGGUCCUACAGAAGUUGAAAACUUUUGACUAUUGAGGUGUGAUCACAACUUUUGUCCCUAUUGCUUUCUCCGCAACCGUUUUACAUGUUUCCUUUGUGGUGUUUAAUAGUGUUUUUUUCCUUAAUUCUAAAUAAACCUUAAUACUUAAUAAUGUUAAAUAUUAGGUUAUUUAUUUUUAUAAUAUUUUAUUUAUAUUAAGUAUUAAAAAGUAAAGAAAAAUCAAUAUAUUUAUUUUUCUAUUUAGAAAAAACUAUAUAUUUUUAAUUUUUUUAUUUAAUAAAAAAUUUAUAAUAAAUCAUGAAAAAAUAGAAAAACAAACAACCUAAAUUUUAAAAAUAAAUUGUUUUUAGUAAAAACCCAAAAAAACAAACACCACCUUAACUAAACAAAUAUAUAUUAUAUUUAGUUAAGAAAGAGUAAAGUGUAUAUGGCUCAAAUCAAGGAAGAGAAACAGAAUAAGUGGAAGACAAUCAAUUGUGAUAAACAGAUAUAUUACAUGCAUGUAGUACUAGUGACUUUAUCAUUUACUUUUAUACAAUAGAUCAUCACACUCUUUCUUCUAAAUAUUUUGGAGGAUAAUGGUACAUGUUGCUUGUUGCCAAGUCAAAAUUGGUGGCAAAAAUCGGCAUGAUACGAAAGGAUUGGUGAAAAGAUUCACAUAGAUGGUGCUUUGUGCAAUGCAGUCUUGCUCUAAUUCAACAGAGUGGACCAUGGUGAUGUAUUUUAAAUUUUAAAUUUUAAAUUAAUGCAUGCUUCAAAGUUUUAACUAGAUGUCACUUCCAUGGAUUUUUGUUCAUUUAAUUGAGAACAGGAUAGGCUAUCAAACUUGAAGUAAUAUAAAAAUCCCUUCAUUACUGUAACUAAUGAAAGAUCAUUAUCUGCGCUUGGUAUUUUGCCAAGGUAUUUGCUGCUCUUUCUAGCCCUAUCUUACAGUUAAGGACAAUGUGAUCUAGUUAACCUUAGAAGCUAUUCCAUGUCAUAUACAAGAGAUCAAGCACAUUAUCUUUGGGCUCAGUUCAAAACUAUAAUAUAUGGGUGGGGUGGGGGCCUAUACCAUUUGCAUAUCACCACUAUUGGUUUAGUUUGGAAGGUUUCUUCUGGAAGAUUGCUUUCUGGAAACAUUUCAAAGAAAUAUAUCUUUUUGUUCUCUUGGUGACGAGCAGCGGCAAUCAAGUCUGUUGACAAACAACCGAGUUGAAAAGUUUGAAAAUUGGUCACAGCCCACGUCCAUGGUUAAGGAAAAGGUCACUGGAAGUGAUCCCUUCUGGGCCUGUUGGAAGCAGGGGAGGUUAACACACCAAGCAACAAAGAACAGAGAUAUGCUGCUACUGAUCUAUAUUUUUUAUUUGAUCAUAAGGCUAAAUUUAUACAGAUUGUGUAACAGAUAUGACCUCAAAAAAAAGCAUCAAAUCAAGCUACUUGUUGAACAAACAACUACCUUCUACAAAAUAACAUCAAAAUUUAACUUAAAAGCAAAAACAUAAAAAUAGCAACAGCAAAAAUAGAAACAUAAAAAUAGCUUCAGCAUUCUAGUAAUCUCGUUGACUUCAAUUGCAUGUGGUUGACGAUUUCAGCCUUUUCCUCAGCAGCUACUAAGGCAUAACUCUCAACACUCCUCCUUGACUUAGGAGGUGCAAACUCCAAGUCUUUCUCAUAGAAACUCAAAUCUUAUUUUAGGAAGAGCUUUAGUCAGAAUAUCUACAUUUUGACUGUCUGUAUUGCAGUAGACUAGUUGUAUAUCUCCUUCUUUCUGUACUUCCCUCAAAAAUUACAAUUUAAUCUUGAAGUGCUUUGUUUUACCAUGAAAAACUGGAUCAUUUGCAAUAGAUAUAGUGGCCUGGUUGUCUACAAACACCUUUGUACUCACUUCUUGCUUCAUAUCCAAAUCUGUCAGCAACUUUCCAAGCCAUAAGGCUUGAUUUACAGCUGUAACAGCAGCAAUAUACUCUGCCUCAGCUGUGGAUUGAGCCACGACUUCUUGCUUCCUUGAACUCCAUGAAAAAACACCAGAACCAAAACUAAAACAAUAGCCUGAAGUACUUCUCAUAUCGUCAACACAACCAGCCCAAUCACUAUCAGAAAAUCCAUGAAAAUUGAAACUUUGAACUUGACUGAACUUAAUGCCAUAAUCCACAGUGCCUUUAACAUUUCUUAUCACACGCUUUGCUGCCUGGAAAUGAAUUUCACUAGCACAAUGCAUGUAUCUCGAAAGUAGACUUACAGCAUGCAUUAUAUCGAGUCUUGUUGCAGUCAAGUACAUUAAGCAUCCAAUCAUGCUUCGAUAAAGUCCUUCAUCUACCUUUUUAGCACCGUCCUCCUUACAGAACUUCUCUUUCUGGUUCAUAGGGGUAGAUGUAGGUUUGCAUUCCUCCAUUUUGAAUUUCUUCAUAAUUUCUUUGGCAUAUUUUUGUUGGCAGAUGAAAAUCUCAUUCUGCUUCUGGUGUACUUCCAUUCCCAAGAAGUAAGACAUCUCAUCUAGGUCUGUCAUCUCAAAAACCUGCUCCAUUUCAGCCUUGAAUUUGUUCACAAACCCUGCAUUACUUCCUGUUACAAGCAAAUCAUCAACAUAUAGAGAAACAAUUAAUAUAUCUUCUUCAAUCUUCUUAAUGUAGAGUGUAAAUUCACUCAAGCUCUUGUGAAAGCCUAAAGUUAGCAGGUGAGUGUCAAUCCUGCUGUACCAAGCUCUAGGGGCUUGUCUUAACCCAUACAAGGCCUUCUUAAGAAGGUAUACUUUUUCUUCUUUUCCUUUGAUAGCAAAACCUUCUGGUUGUUCGACAAAAAUCUCUUCCUCUAAGUAGCCAUUCAAAAAUGCUGACUUCACAUCUAGUUGAUAAAUCUUCCAUUUUCUUUGAGCUACAAGAGCCAACAACAUCCUGAUUGUAUCCAAACGAGCUACUGGUGCAAAGGUUUCCGAAAAGUCAACACCAAACAUUUGUGCAUACCCUUUGACAACCAGCCUUGCUUUAUGUUUGUUUAUAGAACCAUCAGAGUUGAGUUUGGUUCUGUAAACCCACUUAACCCCAAUAGGUUUUUUGUGUGAAGGUCUAUCUACUAGCUCCCAAGUGUUGUUCUUGUCAAUCAUAUCUAGCUCCUCCUGCAUUGCAACCCUCCAUCUUUUAUUUUCAGCAGCUUCAACAAACCCUGCAAGUUCAAGAACAGCUAUAUUACACCUUUGAUAAAUAUCAAAAAGUGUCAUGAAACCUCUAACUGGAAGUUCAUCAACAUCUUCAUCAAUAUAUUGCUGAUUCUGCUCAUCCCAACUCCAUUUCUCCGUUUCCAAAAACUUAACAUCUCUACUUACCACAAUUUUACUAUUUUGUGGCAAGUAGAUUCUGUAAGCUUUUGAGGUGCUGUUGUAUCCAAUGAAAAUUCCUGGUUCUGACUUUUUAUCUAGCUUGUCUCUUUUCACCUGAGGAACAUAAGAGAAACACAAGCAACCAAAGGUCUUUAAAUUCAUUAGCAUAGGCUUAUAAGCAAACCAGGCCUCAAAAGGUGUCUGUUUCUGCAAUGCUUUUGUUGGUAGUCUAUUUAGCAAAAAUACUACUGUAUUUGCAGCUUCAACCCAAAAACUUUUUGGCAGCUCUUUCUCAUGCAAAAGACAUCUUGUCAUUGAUUACUACUCAAAAAGUGCUAUUUGAUAGCCUUUAAUUAAUCCUUUUUAACACUUUUGAGUAGUAGUUUAGGCCUUUUAACUCAAUUGGCAUGUUAAGGAUCCUUUAAAGCAAUUUUGAUCACUUUGUGCAAGUUUUGGUGUUUUUGUUAGUAUUUCGAUCACCAAAGCAAGUCAAGAAUGAGGAGAGCUAUGAGGAAUCUUGGGCAAAGCUUAGAAUUCAAUUGCCAAGAGUGAAUCCGGAUUGCAAGGAGAAAAAGCAAAGAGGAUCAGUCAUGGAGCAUAUUCUUGAUGACAGUCGUAGCAGCCACUUUUGGAUCACUUUCUGAAGUCCAAAUGAUGCAAGCUAUAUACCAUUUCAAAGCUCAGGAAGUCAACAAUCCAAUGCUUCAAACGGUGUGCGAUUCGGAAUUGAAACGAAGAAGUUGCAGCCAUUACAAGCCAGACACUCUAAAGUGUUGCGGAAUCAGCCAUGUGUUGCGAGAAUUUCGCAGCACUUUUGUACAGUAAGGUGUUUCUCCUUCUAACGAUGCACGAACCAUGCCGCGAGAAGGGAGCUGGAAACUUCAAGAUGGAAGCCAACUUUGCAGCCUAGUGAAGAUAGCUCGGUCUUGCAAGAUAAUUUCGCAGCCCUCUUGGGUGUCUGCGAAAUUUCGCAGGCCUCAUUUUUCACCUGCGAAAUGGCUCUUGAAGCCUCCCGAAGCUUGCUACCGACAUUGGGAGAUAUUUUCCAUUAGAUUUUUGUUGUCUAAAUCCCAAAAUACUCCUUGUAAACCACCAAUUACAUGAUUCCUUAGUUUUUAAGUUAGUAAAAAGACCAAAUAUCUUUGUAACAAUUAGUUUUAUAUUUUGUUGUUAUAAAUACCUCUCGGGAGCCUGUUCUCAGGGAGGAGUUCCUUCUGUAAACGUUUGGUAAGCAAGUAAAGUCUAUUUUCUUUCUACUGCCUUACCUUCUCACUUUGUAUUUUCAUUUUAUUUCUAAGUUAUGAAUUCUCUGAGGAGUUUUCCCCAAAGAAUGAGUAACUAAACCUCCAAUUCCUUGGAGCUAAGGUUGCCGGGGAAGGUUCCAAGUGCAAGAAUGCAAAGCUCUGUGGUUUUAGCUAGUAAUGAAGAGGAAGUGAAAUCCUUUAGUGAUUUCAAUGUUUUUAGUUAACUUAAAACACUUUGGAGUCACCUGGGCCAACACUUGGUAAGGCAAGUGAUUUCCAACCAUGGAAAUGCACUAGUUUACCCCUUGCGAGCCUCUGGUAGGUGACUUCAAGGUAGGAUUUUCUGGAAUUACCAACACUUGGUAAGCUUUUGGACUCCUAGGAGACAUCCAUUAGUUAUCUCUUGCGAGUUUGUGAAGGGAAUCCAAGGUUAAAGAUCACCUUGAAUGGUAAGUGCUCGUGAGAGGCAUGAACCAUUGCAAGUUGUAUCAGUGAGAGAAUUAAAGUGAAAUCUAAUUGAAGGAGUCUUUGUACAUCACCGGUUAGAGAAUUGACUAUAAGUUGAAUCUCUAAUGCGAGGAAAUGAACCAACUGACCAGAGCCGUGUCUUUUGCAUGAGGAACCACCCCAGUGAACCUAAAUCUCCAAGGAAUGUUUUUUUCUUCCUAAAUUAUUCCAAACUUCUGUUAAGUUAGUUAGUUUAAAUCUCAACCUUUACAAAUCAAAGUUUGUGUUUUAUUCCUUAAGCUAACCGUGAAAUGAAACAAGACCAAUUCACUUGGAAUUGGUAUCAUUGAUUGCCUGCAAAUCAUUCCCAGUGAACGAUCCUAGAGCCACUAUACUAUAGUAGCUUUGUAUUUGCUACCCUAGUGUAUGGUGUUAUAGGUAUAAAUUUUGUUGAUCACUUCCUCAAUCAAGGAGCACCAGCUGAACACAAAUCAGCUGAGACACCAAUUAGGCAUGAGUCAAAUGGCGCCGUUGCCGGGGAAUGAAUGUCAAGUUCAUUGUGAUACCAUUGUUGAGCACUUGUGAUUUUCAUCACAAGUUGGUAAAGUUUCUUUCACUUUACUAAUUUUCAUUCUUUCUUUGUUUAUUUACAAUCUAAGUUUAUCUUUUUAAAUUUUAGUCUAGUUUAAUUUUGUUGUUGUAGCCCUGUUUUUCUUGUUGUCCUCUGUUUUCAUUUUUUUUUUCAGGUAGAUACUAGUUGUGUAUGCCCAAGUGGAUACGAGACAUAGGAGGUAGGCUUGUUAAGUGUGAUACACCUCAGAAAGGAGAAUUUGAAGUAAUCUUGAAUAUCAUGGAGGCUGCACCUGAAGAUCAGCAUAGUCACCAAGGUCGUCAAGACAAUCUCAAUGAAUUCAGAUCAAUGAGGGACCGUAUGCAUCCACCUCGUAUGAGUACACCAUCAUGUAUAGUGCCCCCUACAGAGCAGCUAGUGAUCAGACCAUAUCUUGUUCCACUUCUACCAACUUUCCAUGGGAUGGAAAGUGAGAAUCCGUAUGCACACAUCAAGGAAUUUGAAGAUGUUUGUAAUACAUUCCAAGAAGGAGGAGCUUCAAUUGACUUGAUGAGGCUUAAGUUAUUUCCUUUUACUUUAAAGGAUAAGGCCAAAAUUUGGCUUAAUUCUUUAAGGCCAAGGAGUAUCCGCUCUUGGACUGAUUUACAAGCUGAGUUCCUUAAGAAAUUUUUUCCUACUCAUAGAACAAAUGGCUUGAAAAGGCAAAUUUCAAACUUCUCAGCUAAAGAGAAUGAGAAAUUCUAUGAGUGUUGGGAAAGAUACAUGGAAGCUAUAAAUGCUUGUCCUCACCAUGGCUUUGAUACUUGGCUAUUGGUGAGCUAUUUUUAUGAUGGUAUGUCCUCCUCAAUGAAGCAACUCCUCGAGACAAUGUGUGGAGGAGAUUUCAUGAGCAAAAAUCCAGAGGAAGCUAUGGAUUUCUUGAGCUAUGUAGCUGAUGUUUCAAGGGGAUGGGAUGAACCAACUAAAGGAGAAGUGGGAAAGAUGAAGUCUCAGUUGAAUGCUUACAAUGCAAAGGCUGGGAUGUAUAAUUUGAAAGAAGAUGAUGACAUGAAAGCAAAGUUGGCAGCUAUGACAAGAAGAUUGGAGGAGCUGGAGCUGAAAAGAAUGCAUGAAGUGCAAGCUGUUGCUGAAGCACCAGUGCAAGUGAAGCUGUGUCCCAAUUGUCAAUCAUUUGAACAUUUGGUGGAGGAGUGCCCUGCAAUUUCAGUUGAAAGGGAAAUGUAUAGAGAUCAAGCAAAUGUUGUUGGACAAUUUAGGCCCAAUAACAAUGCUCCUUAUGGAAAUACCUACAAUUCAAGUUGGAGGAAUCAUCCAAAUUUCUCAUAGAAGGCCAGAGCAACUCAAUACCAACAGCCGGAUCCACCAUCUCAGCAAUCUUCAAGUAUUGAACAAAUAAUAGCCAAUCUCAGCAAGGUAGUGGGAGAUUUUGUGGGAAAGCAAGAAGCCACCAAUGCUCGAGUUGAUCAAAGAAUGGAUAGAAUGGAGAGUGUGUUGAACAAAAGAAUGGAUGGAAUGCAAAAUGAUAUGAACCAAAAGUUUGAUAACAUCCAAUAUUCAAUUUCAAGGCUUACAAAUUUGAAUACACUGCAAGAAAAAGGAAGAUUUCCUUCUCAACCUAACCAAAAUCCCAAAGGUGUCCAUGAAGUGGAAAGCCAUGAGGGAGAAUCAUCACAGGUGAAAGAUGUGAAAGCUUUGAUCACUCUAAGGAGUGGUAAGAAAAUUGAGCAGCCAACACCCAUGCCACAUGUUGAGAAAGAAGAAGGGAUAAAGAAAGGAAAGGAAAUAGAAGAUAAAGACAGUGAGAUCAGUGAAGAAAAGAAGGACUCUGAUUCAACAAUCAAAGCAAUUCCAGAGAAAGAGCUUCUGAAGGAAGAAAUGCUGAAGAAAUCAACUUUUCCACCUUUUCCUCAAGCAUUACAGGGGAAAAAGGGGGUUAGAAAUGCAGCUGAAAUCCUUGAAGUCUUAAGACAAGUAAAAGUUAAUAUUCCACUGCUGGAUAUGAUCAAACAAGUUCCAACGUAUGCAAAAUUCCUAAAGGACUUGUGUACUAUCAAAAGAGGGGUUGACUGUAAACAAGAAAGCCUUCUUGACUGAGCAAGUAAGUGCAAUCUUACAAUGCAAGUCUCCUUUGAAGUACAAAGACCCUGGAAGUCCUACCAUUUCAGUCAUGAUUGGAGGAAAGGUAGUGGAGAAAGCCUUGCUAGACUUGGGAGCAAGUGUGAAUUUGCUUCCAUACUCUGUCUACAAGCAACUGGGACUUGGAGAGUUGAAGCCAACAGCAAUCACUUUAUCUUUGGCAGAUAGAUCAGUGAAAAUUCCAAGAGGAGUAAUUGAGGAUGUAUUGGUUCAAGUGGAUAAUUUCUACUAUCCAGUAGAUUUUGUUGUUCUUGAUACUGAUCCAACUGUAAAGGAAGCUAAUUUAGUUCCUAUCAUCCUUGGAAGGCCAUUUCUUGCAACUUCAAAUGCAAUCAUCAACUGUAGAAAUGGGCUUAUGCAACUCACUUUUGGUAACAUGACACUGGAUCUCAAUAUUUUCUAUAUGUCUAAAAAGCAAAUCACUCCUGAGGAAGAAGAAGGUCCAGAAGAGCUAUGUAUUAUUGAUACUUUGGUGGAGGAGCACUGCAAUCAGCAUAUGCAAGAUAAGUUGAAUGAAAGUCUUGUGGAUAUUGAGGAAGGUUUUUCUGAAUCUCCUAUUGGGCUUGCUACUCUACAAAGUUGGAGAAAGAUAGAAGGAAUUCUACCUUUGUUCAAUGAAAAAGAGGAGGCAACUGUUGAAGAAGAAAUUCCAAAACUCAAUUUGAAGCCUUUACCUGUGGAGCUGAAAUAUACAUAUCUUGAAGCAAAUAAUCAAUGUCCUGUUGUGAUAUCCUCAUCUCUGACCAGUCAUCAAGAGAAUUGUUUAAUGGAAGUUCUCAUGAGGUGUAAGAAGGCAAUAGGAUGGCAAAUAUCUGACUUGAAAGGCAUUAGUCCUUUAGUUUGUACUCAUCAUAUAUAUAUGGAGGAGGAAGCAAAGCCAAUUCGUCAAUUUCAAAGAAGGUUGAAUCCUCAUCUACAAGAGGUGGUGCGAGCUGAGGUGCUGAAGCUACUUCAAGCAGGAAUCAUUUACCCUAUUUCUGAUAGCCCUUGGGUGAGUCCUACUCAAGUGGUACCAAAGAAGUCAGGGAUCACAGUGAUUCAAAAUGAAAAAGGGGAAGAAAUUACUACACGCCUCACUUCAGGUUGGAGGGUGUGUAUUGAUUAUAGAAAGCUGAAUGCUGUCACCAGGAAGGAUCAUUUUCCAUUGCCAUUUAUUGAUCAAGUGCUGGAGAGAGUCUCUGGACAUCCAUUUUAUUGUUUCUUGGAUGGGUAUUCAGGCUAUUUUCAAAUUGAAAUUGAUUUGGCAGAUCAGGAAAAGACCACUUUUACAUGUCCAUUUGGAACAUUUGCUUAUAGAAGAAUGCCUUUUGGUUUAUGCAAUGCACCUGCUACAUUUCAAAGAUGUAUGUUGAGUAUUUUCAGUGAUAUGGUGGAGAGAAUUAUGGAGGUUUUCAUGGAUGACAUCACCGUAUAUGGAGGUACAUUUGAGGAGUGCUUGGUUAAUUUGGAAGCAGUUCUUCAUAGAUGCAUUGAAAAAGAUUUGGUGCUGAACUGGGAGAAAUGCCAUUUUAUGGUACGUCAAGGAAUUGUCCUUGGCCAUAUCAUCUCUGAAAGAGGCAUUGAAGUUGAUAAAGCAAAGGUGGAGCUUAUUGCCAAAUUACCAUCUCCAACAACUGUGAAAGGAGUAAGACAGUUCCUUGGCCAUGCAGGGUUCUAUAGGAGGUUUAUAAAAGGUUUUUCAAGUCUUUCAAAACCUCUUUGUGAGCUGUUAGCUAAGGAUGCUAAGUUUAUAUGGGAUGAAAGGUGUCAGCAUAGCUUUGAUCAACUGAAGAAGUUUUUAACAACAACUCCAAUAGUGAGAGCCCCUAACUGGCAAUUACCUUUUGAACUGAUGUGUGAUGCCAGUGACUUUGCUAUAGGAGCUGUGCUUGGCCAAAGAGAAGAUGGGAAGCCCUAUGUGAUUUACUAUGCAAGUAAAACACUAAAUGAAGCUCAGAGGAACUACACAACUACAGAGAAAGAAUUGUUAGCUGUGGUAUUUGCUUUGGACAAAUUUCGAGCUUAUUUAGUGGGGUCUUUCAUCAUUGUCUUCACUGACCAUUCAGCCUUGAAGUAUUUAUUGACAAAGCAAGAUGCAAAAGCAAGGUUGAUUAGAUGGAUUCUAUUGUUACAAGAGUUCGAUCUUCAAAUCAAAGAUAAGAAAGGAGUGGAGAAUGUAGUAGCUGACCACUUGUCAAGGUUAGUUAUAGCACAUAAUUCCCAUCCCUUGCCUAUCAAUGAUGAUUUUCCUGAAGAAUCACUCAUGUUCCUAGUGAAAACUCCUUGGUAUGCUCAUAUUGCUAAUUAUUUAGUAACUGGGGAAAUUCCAAGUGAGUGGAAUGCACAGGACAGGAAGCACUUCUUUGCCAAAAUUCAUGCUUAUUAUUGGGAAGAGCCCUUUCUCUUUAAGUAUUGUGCAGAUCAGAUUAUUAGGAAGUGUGUCCCUGAAGAUGAGCAGCAAGGGAUUCUAUCUCAGUGUCAUGAGAAUGCAUGUGGAGGCCACUUUGCCUCUCAGAAAACAGCCAUGAAGGUAUUACAAUCAGGGUUUACUUGGCCAUCUCUUUUCAAAGAUGCCCACAUCAUGUGUAGAAAUUGUGAUAGAUGCCAAAGGCUUGGAAAGCUAACAAAAAGAAAUCAAAUGCCUAUGAACCCCAUUCUGAUAGUUGAGAUAUUUGAUGUUUAGGGCAUUGACUUCAUGGGACCUUUCCCAAUGUCUUUUGGUAAUUCUUACAUUUUGGUGGGGGUAAAUUAUGUUUCUAAAUGGGUUGAGGCAAUCCCCUGUAAGCAAAAUGAUCACAGGGUGGUUCUCAAGUUUCUUAAAGAGAACAUUUUCUCAAGAUUUGGGGUGCCCAAGGCCAUAAUCAGUGAUGGAGGAGCUCAUUUUUGCAACAAACCUUUUGAAGCUCUGUUAUCCAAGUAUGGAGUGAAGCAUAAGGUAGCCACACCUUAUCAUCCUCAGACAUCCGGGCAAGUUGAGCUAGCUAACAGGGAAAUAAAGAACAUUUUGAUGAAAGUGGUGAAUUCCAACAGAAAAGAUUGGUCUAUUAGGCUUCAUGAUUCAUUGUGGGCAUAUAGAACAGCUUAUAAAACUAUUCUUGGGAUGUCUCCCUAUCGUCUUGUCUAUGGCAAAGCAUGCCAUCUCCCUGUGGAAGUUGAAUACAAAGCUUGGUGGGCAAUAAAGAAGCUGAAUAUGGACUUGAUCAAGGCCGGAGAAAAGAGAUUUCUAGACCUUAAUGAGAUGGAGGAAUUAAGAAAUAAUGCUUAUAUCAAUUCCAAAGUUGCAAAACAGAGGAUGAAGAAGUGGCAUGAUCAACUCAUCUCCAACAAGGAAUUUCAGGAAGGGCAAAAAGUUUUGAUGUAUGACACAAGACUCCAUAUCUUUCCUGGGAAGCUCAAAUCAAGGUGGAUUGGUCCAUUUGUUAUUCACCGAGUAUAUUCCAAUGGAGUGGUGGACUUAUUGAAUUCCAAUGGCAAGGAUAGCUUUAAAGUCAAUGGAUAUCGUCUCAAGCCGUUCAUGGAGUCAUUCAAAUCAGAAAAGGAGGCAAUCAACCUCCUUGAACCUCAAAAAGCCUAAGUGAAAAGGGUUUGCUGGACGUGGCUUUACCACAGUCCAAAAUUUUUGUAAAUUUUGUAAAUUUUCAAGUUGUUUCUAUACUUUUGAUUUUAGUUUUUGAUCUUAAAUCAUGUUUUUAGGUGUGUUUUAAUCGUUUUAAAUGAUCCCAGGUGGAAGAAAUUUCAAGGGGAUUGAAAGAAAAAAAAUCGGGUCGAAAUUGGAGCCGAAACAGAGCAAAAACAGGGGAAAAACAGAGCUCUGCGAAAUUUCGCAGGGUGAAGGAAACCUCUGCGAAAUGAGCAUUUUGUUGCGAAACCAUUCCGCAGCACUGUAGAAGCCUCUGCGAGUGUAUUUCGCAGCUGCGAAAGUGAAUUUGGCACACGAGUGCCACUUCGCAGUACAGUAGCAUCCAUUUGGCAGCUGCGAAACUCAUUGCGAAAUGGAAAAGCGUGAUUUCGCACCAAAAGUCCCAUUCCGCAGGGUAUUUCGCAAUUGCGAAAGUGGUUUUGGCACACGAGUGCCACUCCGCAGCACAGUAACAUCAAUUUCGCAGCUGCGAAACUCACUGCGAAGUUGCUGCGAAAAUGGCAAGUUGCUGCGAAAUUGGCGUUUAGUUGCGAAACUUAAACUGACCCCUGAGCUUCCGUUUUUCCUAUUUAUACCGGUCAAAAGUGCUGCGAAAAGGGUUUCAAAAAUCAGAGCACCAUUCUCGCAGCCCCUUCAUCUUCUUCGCCAAGCCACGCCGUCCGAACCUCCGGUCGUCUUCUCCGUUUAGCAGCGCCGGCCAAAGAUCGAUAUUCCAAAAUGGCACGAACGCGAGGGGCAAAAUCUUCAUCCCCUUCGAAUCGCAAAAGGAGUCUGCGAAAGGAGCCAAGUCCAGGUUCUGCUCCAGAACCUGCUCCAAAGCCUUCGCCGUCGAGACCACAACCUUCUCCAGUGAAGCCGGCGCCACUAAAGCCGCCGGCAAGACGAUAUUUGACAAGGUCAGGCGGUUGGCCAUUGAAGAAGAAGCCCAGGGUUGAGAGCUCUGAACCAAUUGAUUUGACUGAGCAAUCCCCUGAGCAGUCCCCAAAUCCUUCACCAGUUCAAACUCCAGUGCCGUCACCGGUUCCCUCGCCAAUUCCCUCACCUGAAGCAACUCCAAUUCCAUCGUCGGUACCAUCUCCGGCACCCCAAGAAAAAGCUCAGGAGCCUCAAGCGCCAAUUCCAGAGCCCCAAAUUGCAGCUGAAGCACCUCUGGAAGAAGUGAUCCGAAGGCCAAUGCUGCCCCAGCCCCCAAUCGAAGGAAACUUGGAUUGUCGAACACGGGCAUUCCAUUCUGAGCUUUGCUUCGAUUUAACAGCAUUCAGAGUGAGGCCAGAGCUUGCCCAAUCCUUCCAGCUGCUGAGGAGAUAUCAUAUGGAGCAUCUGCUAGCUCCAAGGGAUUUUUUCUAUCCCCGGGUAGUCACGGACUUCUACCAGACCAUGACAACCAAAGAAGUAAGAAAUCCAACUCUGAUCCAUUUCAUAAUUGAUGGAAGGCAUGGUAUUUUGGGAGCAAGACACAUUGCUGAAGCUCUGCAAAUUCCUUUUGAGCCAACCCAAUUCGACAAUUUUAAAGCUUGGGUAAAUCCUACUGAGUUAGAGAUGGUUCGCACACUAACCAGAGGAGCUGCAAAUCGAUCACACCUGUUGAGGGGGGAGCUACCUCCAGUGAUGUUUUUGAUUGAUGCCUUUUUGAGGCAUAAUAUCUAUCCCCUGCAGCAUUGGACCCAAAGAAGGGGAAUUCUCCUGGAAGCUUUGUACAAGAUGUCAGAAGGAUUCUUCUUUGGGCCCCAUCAUCUUAUCAUGGCAGCCCUUCUAUACUUUGAGGAAAAGGUUCACAAGAAGAAACUUCAAAGAGCAGAUUGCAUUCCACUCCUCUUCCCAAGGCUGCUAUGCCAAGUUUUGGAGCAUCUCGGAUACCCCUCUGAGCCUCAGCAGGAAAGAAAGAGAAUAUGCCGUGAGCCAUUUACUCUUGAUAAAUGGAAUAAUAUGACGGCCUACAAAAUUGAUCAGCCUGGGCAGCCUCAGCCAGCAGCAAGGAGAGCCUCCCCAAGACAUGCACCUGAAGGUAUAACACUUGCUACUCCUGCCAUCCCUCGAGCUUCACCAGCUGCACCUGCUGCAUCACAGCCAUCCACAUCAGCUGAGCCGAGGAUGGCCAUCCCUAUAUCCGAAUAUCGAGAGCUGUGCCGAGCAUUGGAGACUCUUACAGCUUCCCAGAGCAAUCUUGCUCAAGAGUUGGCAGCCAUCAAAGCAUGCCAGGAGCAGAUGUUAGCCUCUCAGGCUCAACAAGCUGCCAUCCUAAGGCAGCUUCAAGUCCAUUUCGAUCUGCCACAAGCUGUAGAGCCCUCCACUGAGACUCCACCAGAGCCACACUCUCAGCCUUCAGAGUCUCUUCCUCCAGAGCCAGAAGCCCCAACUGAUCCACCUACAGAGGAGGCGGAUCCUUCUGCUUAGCACCAUCACCCCACUCAUCAGACAUUAUAUAUAUUUGCUGUUUAUGUUUUUAUGCAUGUUUGUUUUGUUUUAGUUGAAAUGAAAUCCCAGUAUUUUGGUACUAUAUAUGGGAUUCCUUGUGAUUACUUGUCCUUAGCAUUGUACUCGAAUGAAUUGAAAGUAAUACAAGUUGAAUUUUUCUUGUUAAAAGUUAGCAUUAAAAUUCUCCUUAUUUCCUUUUCUCACAUAUUCUAUUCUUUUUGAAACAUGUGGUUUUCCCCAAUCAAUAUUCGAAUUUGAUAUCAGCAUGGAGGUACCACUUCCUCCCUUUUAUUACAGUCACUCAAAUCACAUUGAGGACAAUGCUCAGUUCGGUUGGGGGGUAUGAGGAAGGAAGUAUUCUAAAUCUUUUUGGUAUUGCAAUUAUAUUGGUUAAUUAGUUGUAGAUUUUACGUUUUACUCUUGUUACUCUAUUCUCCAUGAAUUUUGAGGAAAAAUUUUCAAAUUAAACCAAGAGAAAUUGAACUGUUGUUUUUCACUUGACUUAGAGUAUGGAUUAUGCUUACUAAAGUGGUUCAAUUGUUGAAACUUCUACUGAAAUUGAAUUGAGUUCUUCCAUUUUAAGCUAUCCACACACUGUGCACAUUAGUUUCUGAUUAUAAGAUGAAAAGCUAUUUCCCUCUUGACUUAGGAUAAUUUUGGGACUUGGUAUAUUUGACCUCAUUUGAUAAAAAUUGAAACACCCUGCAAAAGGCCAAUGAGCCUUUGAAAUAAAGAAAGAUGUUUGCUUGCCUUGAAACCCGAGCAAGGUCUGAGGGGCAUAUGGUGAAAGCCUUUAAAGCCUGGUGCCCUAAGCCUUAAUUGGUUGGGAGUCACCGACCUCAAUGCUCGUUACAAGGGUGAAUAGGUAGAGCUAGCAUAUGGUAGAUGCUUGGGUAUUAGAAAUUCAUUCUUAAAAGUCCAGGGAAAAAUCCGAGGAGUUAGUGGUUGAAAGAUCCUUAAAACUUGGUGCCCUAAACCUUAAUUGGUUGGGAGUCAUCGAUGGACCCCCAUUACAUGGACAAGUCAGAAAGAGUACCCCAUAAAGCUACUUUAAAAAAAAAAAAAAAAAAAAAAAAAAGAUGAUGAAAGUGUGUUCUUUUCUUAUUGAUUUUGGUCAGAUUGCUAAAGUGUUGAAAAGAGAUAGGUUGGGGGGGGAGACUAGUUUAGCAUAUUAUUCUCGGAAUCUAAGGAACCAAUACACAUAGAUUUUUGUGGAAGAUUGAAGUUUAGUUCUUAGAAAGUGAAAUGAUUUUAAAACUUCAGUUUGCAUAAUGCACUCCCUUGAUUGACAGUGUUUAGCAUAGGUGUUAUGACUCUUGUUGAGAUUUGGGUUUGUAUUUCUUUAAUGAUUCAUGUGAGAAGUAAAUCAUCAUGCCACUUAAGAAUUAUUUUCCUUUCAGCAUGAUGUUGUAAAUUUUAGAUUAGUUUGCUAUUUAUUUUUAUUUUUCUCUCCUUUAUUGCUAAGGGACUAGCAAUAUGUCGGUUGGGGGGAGUGAUUACUACUCAAAAAGUGCUAUUUGAUAGCCUUUAAUUAAUCCUUUUUAACACUUUUGAGUAGUAGUUUAGGCCUUUUAACUCAAUUGGCAUGUUAAGGAUCCUUUAAAGCAAUUUUGAUCACUUUGUGCAAGUUUUGGUGUUUUUGUUAGUAUUUCGAUCACCAAAGCAAGUCAAGAAUGAGGAGAGCUAUGAGGAAUCUUGGGCAAAGCUUAGAAUUCAAUUGCCAAGAGUGAAUCCGGAUUGCAAGGAGAAAAAGCAAAGAGGAUCAGUCAUGGAGCAUAUUCUUGAUGACAGUCGUAGCAGCCACUUUUGGAGCACUUUCUGAAGUCCAAAUGAUGCAAGCUAUAUACCAUUUCAAAGCUCAGGAAGUCAACAAUCCAAUGCUUCAAACGGUGUGCGAUUCGGAAUUGAAACGAAGAAGUUGCAGCCAUUACAAGCCAGACACUCUAAAGUGUUGCGGAAUCAGCCAUGUGUUGCGAGAAUUUCGCAGCACUUUUGUACAGUAAGGUGUUUCUCCUUCUAACGAUGCACGAACCAUGCCGCGAGAAGGGAGCUGGAAACUUCAAGAUGGAAGCCAACUUGGCAGCCUAGUGAAGAUAGCUCGGUCUUGCAAGAUAAUUUCGCAGCCCUCUUGGGUGUCUGCGAAAUUUCGCAGGCCUCAUUUUUCACCUGCGAAAUGGCUCCUGAAGCCUCCCGAAGCUUGCUACCGACAUUGGGAGAUAUUUUCCAUUAGAUUUUUGUUGUCUAAAUCCCAAAAUACUCCUUGUAAACCACCAAUUACAUGAUUCCUUAGUUUUUAAGUUAGUAAAAAGACCAAAUAUCUUUGUAACAAUUAGUUUUAUAUUUUGUUGUUAUAAAUACCUCUCGGGAGCCUGUUCUCAGGGAGGAGUUCCUUCUGUAAACGUUUGGUAAGCAAGUAAAGUCUAUUUUCUUUCUACUGCCUUACCUUCUCACUUUGUAUUUUCAUUUUAUUUCUAAGUUAUGAAUUCUCUGAGGAGUUUUCCCCAAAGAAUGAGUAACUAAACCUCCAAUUCCUUGGAGCUAAGGUUGCCGGGGAAGGUUCCAAGUGCAAGAAUGCAAAGCUCUGUGGUUUUAGCUAGUAAUGAAGAGGAAGUGAAAUCCUUUAGUGAUUUCAAUGUUUUUAGUUAACUUAAAACACUUUGGAGUCACCUGGGCCAACACUUGGUAAGGCAAGUGAUUUCCAACCAUGGAAAUGCACUAGUUUACCCCUUGCGAGCCUCUGGUAGGUGACUUCAAGGUAGGAUUUUCUGGAAUUACCAACACUUGGUAAGCUUUUGGACUCCUAGGAGACAUCCAUUAGUUAUCUCUUGCGAGUUUGUGAAGGGAAUCCAAGGUUAAAGAUCACCUUGAAUGGUAAGUGCUCGUGAGAGGCAUGAACCAUUGCAAGUUGUAUCAGUGAGAGAAUUAAAGUGAAAUCUAAUUGAAGGAGUCUUUGUACAUCACCGGUUAGAGAAUUGACUAUAAGUUGAAUCUCUAAUGCGAGGAAAUGAACCAACUGACCAGAGCCGUGUCUUUUGCAUGAGGAACCACCCCAGUGAACCUAAAUCUCCAAGGAAUGUUUUUUUCUUCCUAAAUUAUUCCAAACUUCUGUUAAGUUAGUUAGUUUAAAUCUCAACCUUUACAAAUCAAAGUUUGUGUUUUAUUCCUUAAGCUAACCGUGAAAUGAAACAAGACCAAUUCACUUGGAAUUGGUAUCAUUGAUUGCCUGCAAAUCAUUCCCAAUGAACGAUCCUAGAGCCACUAUACUAUAGUAGCUUUGUAUUUACUACCCUAGUGUAUGGUGUUAUAGGUAUAAAUUUUGUUGAUCACUUCCUCAAUCAAGGAGCACCAGCUGAACACAAAUCAGCUGAGACACCAAUUAGGCAUGAGUCAGUCAUCUCCAUUAUUGUUUUAUUUUUUCUUUCCACCACCCCAUUUUGUUGUGGGGUGUAUGGUGCAAUGAGCUGGUGAUCUAUGCCUGCAUCUUCACAAAAUUUGUUGAAUUUUUCUGAAGUAUAUUCUGUACCAUUAUUCGACCUUAUAACCUUGAUUCUGUAUUCACUUUGAUUUUCAACCAUGGCCUUAUAUCUCAAAAACACAUCAGCAACCUCAGCUUUGUAAGUGAGAAAAUAAAUCCAACAAAAUCUUGUGAAGUCAUCAAUAAAUGCAAUAUAGUACUUACUCCCUUUCAAAGAUGGUGUCUUUUGAGGUCCACUCACAUCUGUGUGAACCAAUUGUAGUUUCUGUGUUGAUUUCCAUGCUGCUUUUUGAGGAAAAGGAAGUCUUGUUUGCUUCCCAUAUUGAUAGGCUGCACAUAUAGGAAGUUCUUCUUCCAAAUCAGGGAGUCCUUCUACAAUCUAAUUCUUCUUCAUGUAGAGCACGGUAUUGUGGUGGAAAUGCCCUAAUCUUUUAUGCCAAAGCAUUGUAUUGUUCUCGUGUUGUGCAGCAGUAAUUUGCUCAUCUUCUAACAUAUUUAAGGCAAAACUUUUGCCUUUCAUUUUUAUGUUGAACACCUCUUUGCCUUCAGCAUCCUUGAUUAUGCAAUUUUUGUCUUCAAAACAAACUUUAAACCCUUUCUCAACAAGCUGUCCAACACUUAGCAAAUUUUGGUCAAUGUCAGGCACAAACAAAACAUCAGAAAUGAGCUUUAAACCUGUUAGGCUUUCAAUAGCUAAUGUUCUUUUACCUUUUACUGGAAUAUACUCACCAUUUCCUAUUCUAACUUUGGAAAUAGUUGUCCUAUCAAUCUCCCUAAAGCGAUCUUGAUCAUGUCAUGUGGUUUGUGCAACCACUGUCCACGAGCCAGCUUUCAGAGGUGCUACCGUUUGCAAAACAUGUUGCUGAAAAUAGUUGUUCCUCCUGGUAUUGUUCAGCUGCUACAUUGGUUUCUCCCUGCUGCUGCUGAGUUCUACAGAUCCUUUCUAUGUGUCCAUGUCUACCACAUUUGUUGCAUUUCACAUCUGGUCUCCACCAACAUUUUUGUUGAGGAUGAUUUGUUUUCUUGCAAUGAGGACAGGGUGGAUAGGUUCCAGUUUUUUUAUUGUUGUUGUUGCUUGGCUUAUUGUUGUUCUUUUUGUUCUUCCUCCUUCUUGUGUUACCUUCAUUGGUCUGUGUCUUUGCUUGAAAAGCUCCUUCUACAGAACUUCCUUGCCUCAUGAGUCUUCUUUGUUCCAAAGCUUGUAAAGCAUUUAGUAGUUCUGCCAAGGUGAUACUUGACAAAUCUUUUGUGUUUUCCAAAGAAGAAAUUGUAGCUUCAUAUUUUUCAGGAAUUGUGACAAAAUUGUUUUGAACAACUCUUUCAUCAGAAAACUCUUUACCUAGCAACCUCACCUUGUUUGCUAUGGUAAGAAGUUGUUCUGCAUAAUCUUUUAUGGUUUGAGACUCUUUCAUCCUCACCAUUUCAAAUUCUCGAAUUAGAUUCAUUACCUGCACAUUUCUGACUCUUUCAUUGCCUUGAUAUUCUUCCCGUAGAUGCUUCCAGAUUUCUGCAACAGAUUCAAGUUGCAUGAUUCUGGUGAGAAUUAAUGGUGAGACUACAGAAAAUAAGCAAGCCUUGGCCUUAGCCUUCCUCGUCUUUUUCUCCUUAUGGUUUUUCAUCUGUGACACAGUUGGAUUGGCUCCAAGUGGAGAAAUUUCAUAAUCUUCCUCUAUUGCUUCCCAGACAUCAAGAGCCUGUAGAUGAACAGUCAUCCUGACAGCCUAAGUUUGGUAAUUUUCUCCAUUGAAGACUAGUGGUGCUGCUGUGAAGCUUGCUUCUUCCAUUUCUGCAAGGUUUUCAGAUUCAGGUUUGGUAUACGGUGUUUAGGCUCACACACCUCACUGGUCCCUCAAGACAAAAAUUGCUCUGAUACCAAACUGUUGGAAGCAGGCGAGGUUAACACACCAAGCAACAGAGAACAGAGAUAUGCUGCUACUGAUCUAUAUUUUUUAUUUGAUCAUAAGGCUGAAUUUAUACAGAUUGUGUAACAUAUAUGACCUCAAAAAAAGCAUCAAAUCAAGCUACUUGUUGAACAAAAAACUACCUCCUACAAAAUAGCAUCAGAAUUUAACUUAAAAGCAAAAACAUAAUAAUAGCAACAGCAAAAACAGAAACAUAAAAAUAGCUUCAACAUUCUAGUAAUCUCAUUGACUUCAAUUGCAUGUGGUUGACGAUUUCAGCCUUUUCCUCAGCAGCUACUAAGGCAUAACUCUCAACAGGGCCUCUUAAUUUCCAUUCUGGCAUCUAUAUGACCUGAUAAAUAGAAAGAAAAAAAAACAGAAGAAAAGCGGCACCUGGGUUCAUAGUAAGCAUCAAGACAGGAUGCUGAAAGAAGGGAGAGAGGAGAUUGCAAGUCCAAUCCUGAUAAAAUAUCAACAAAGAGUAUUAAAUGGGGCCAACAUAAAGACCCAUUAAGGUCAGCAGAUGGCAUGGCAUUUUUCUCCUUAAGUUUUCCAUGAUUAGGCUUGAAGUCAAAAUUUCACAUGUAAAUUUGUAUUUCUACAUUUCCCACUGACGACACCCAACUUCAACUUGAGUUAGAAUAACAUUGUGUGAACUUAUCUGGCCCUCAAAAUUUACUGUGAAGUGCUUUCUGCGUGUGAAGAUUCAGAAAAGCACCAAGGGAACAUGUAUGGUCUGCCUUUUUCUGAUGUUAUGUUUGUCUCUAAUUCUGUUCCAUGUCAUGGUAAAUGUUCACAUUGCUUGUAUGGAACACACCAGGAUCACUUUUUCAGGUUUAGGGGGAUACAAAAGGCUUCAUAUUGGGUUCAAUGCUUUUAAUGUGUUCAUUGGACAAAUCUGAAUUAUCAUACGCAUUUAGAUAAGAACAAUAAUGUGAAACCCUAGUUACACCUCCCCUGCAUAACCCCAACCCUGCUUGCUCUAUUUCAGUUUACUCACAAGUUUUACUGGUUCUUAUAAGUCAAGAAAAGGCAACUGAUGUUGGAUCGACUCUCUUCCAUGUAAAAAAUGCAACUUUUAUACAUAUAAAAGAACUUCUUCCCCUCACCAAUGUGGGAUUUCAUAGAUUUAUUCUGGAAACACAUCAAAGGAACAUCUUUUCUCUUGGGUGACCCUAAGUGGUGAGUCAGAUCAUUUGCAUGCCAUUGAGUUGCACAGUUGGAUAAAUGCACCUGCCUCCUGGGCUCCAGAGUUAAAAGGGUGGAUCCCUGGAUUGCAACCCUCUUGGCAUCUUGGUUUCUAUUCCAACAUCCACAUGACUUGACAAAACAAAAAACAGAAUAAAAUCAGCACUAUAUUCAUGCUAAGCACCAAUACAUGAUGGAAAUCAUUGCUUAAAGAUUUGGGGUCGUUUUAGGUUUUGACUGCCUCCUACCACCUCACCUAAUGACAAGUUUUUAUGCUUACAAAUCAAAUAUCGUUCUUCAUUAUAUUAAAAUCAUUUUAAGAUUUCAGAUCCAUCUGCUAAUUAUGAUUAUGAUAACAUUUAUUCACCUGUGCUUCUCAUUUUCGACACACAAGGCAUCUAGGUUUGCAGGAUUUCCUUAUUAGAUGAGAUAAAUGAGUACGUAUGGUUAUGUAUCCAGCAUUCAUUAACCAUGGUAUGUGACAUUUAGAAUUAAGAUAGCAAGCAAACUUUCCCUGCAGCUAGAGUAAAUUGUGAUUUCUUAGCCUCUAUGAGUGGUUCCCAAAUCAAAUUAACAUAGUGAAAUAUACGUAGUCCAGUGAAAGGAAAUGUAAAUUAUAAACUAACAGCACUACACUACUGGUAACAAUCGAUACUCUCUAUAUAAUGCAAUAAACAAUGUCACAAUUGCCUACAAGCAAGGCACAAACACUAGAACAAGUAAAGCACAAACCUUUCCCAACAGUUCCCAGUGACUGAUGCAUAUCAUACCCUCAACUCACAGAAGGGGAUGAUAUCAGUGCACUGCAGCACUUAUUUUACACAUACUACCACUACUACUACUACUACUACUACUCAUUAGCCAAAGUCACUCAGUUGGGAUGAGUGUGAGGUAGAGGUUUGUGGGGUGCUAUGUGGAAAGGAGUUUGGCUUCUUCUCAGGAGAUGGUAGCUUCUUUGCAGGAGUUGAAGGAGGCUUAAUCUUCUGUGGUGGAUUGAUUGUAUGAGUCUUUGGCACUCUCUUCUCUAGUACAGGUGAAUACCCAGGGGUGCAUCCAUAAUGCGGUGGCUUCUAUCCCUUAGGUGGUUUGCCAAAUUCAAAAUCGAAGGAUUUUUUUUUUUUAAGUAUACGUAUCUUUGAAAGCUUUUAUUUUGUAUGGCAAAUGGAAUGAGAGGAGCAGUCAUAUUCUAUUUGGCCAGAGCAACAUAUCACAAAUGAACAAGCUAUUUACUGCCACACUGGGCAAAACAUACAUAAUCCUUGUACUUCAAACAUCCAUGAAUUCUCAUCAUUUUCAGGACACGUUGCAUGGUCUAUCAUUCUAUAUGUCGGCAUAGUAAGUGCAGCUAAUAAGCCUAUUCAGAGCUGAAAUUCAAAAUCUAUUCACAGGAUAAUGACCUUAUUAUUGGAUUUUGCUCACUGUCAUACACACAUAUCAGAUAAAGCCCCACAUGCUCAUAAGCUACAAGCAACCUACAAGCACUAAAAUGAGUGUUAGACGUAUGAAACAUUCCCCAAUACUAGUAGUAUUACCUGUUCCAUAGAACACUAAAUUAGAAGAGAGAAGAUGUGAGACUCCAGCUUUUCUUUCUACAUAUUACUCAUAUCAAGUUGGAAUAGUUAGGCGGUAGAGGCUUGGGGUGGCUUGUGUAGGGGACUAGGCAGCUUCUCUCAGGAGUUGAUUUCGUCUUAUUCUGGAUGUCCAGGUUUCGUCCUUUCGAAUUUCCCAUGCAAAUCAGCAUUCUCCUUGGGAAACUUCACUCCGUUGGGAAACUUGUGUGAAUCUUUGGCAUUCUCUACCAGAGAAGGCCCAGGGCAGUGACCAUAAGGUGGUGGCCUUUUUUCAGGUGGUGGCUCCUCUCCCACUGGAGGCUUGUGGUAAUCAGCAAGAGAGGCAGUGGAGAGAAUCAUCACCCCAAGGAACAGCACUAGCAAGUAUUUGUGAGCCAUAUUUGGGAUCUGAUGAUGAAGACUAGAAGAUAGGAGUUGCCUCAUAUAAUGGGUUGGAGACUAUAUCUCAAGGGGACGUGUAUUUAUGCAUAUGAUCUAUAUAGGACCAUCCUCCUAAUAUUUUCAAAAUAAUGUUAUUGUCUCUCUUGGGUGACAGUUUGAUUUGGUCUAUUUCCAUGCCACUGAGUAGAAAAGUUUGACAAUUGGCUACACCACCUACCUGGAUUACAUGGUUGAAAGUGAAGAUCAGUACAGUGUGAUCACACUUGACCUCUUGUUCCCCAUUCCAGUAUCUAAUUAACCUGACAAAAGUAAAAGGAAAGGAAAAAGGGAAAAAAUAGAAUAAUGUUCAAAUAAAAACGAGAAAAAAUAGCAUAAUGUUGAUGAAUCAUGAUAAGCAUCAAGGCAUGAUAGUGAGAGAGAGGAAAGAAGACAGUGUAAUUUGCAAUCCUGAUAAUCAUUAUAUAGCAGUAACUUUAAUCAUUUUUCUAUCACAGGGAACAUGACACUCAUCUUCCUAUGGAGAUAUUGCAUAAGUUUUUUUCUUUGUAUGUCAACACUAACCAAUGAAGCAUGUUAGCUGGUUUGAAACUGAAACUGUAGCCCUCUGUUUGGUUCUUGAAAAACUUGAGAGAAAAUGGAAGUAAAGUUAAAAGGAAAGAAAAAGUGAAAAAAAAUAAAAAUAGAUUGAAAGUUAACAAAUUAUUUUUACAUGUUCCCUCAAAUUUCUUUCACUUAUUUUUCCUUUUCUAUAUAAAGAUUAAAUGAUUUAAAAAUCAUAAAUUUCUAACUAAUUAUAACUAUAUUUGAUUUUCUUUCAUAUUUUCCAAGAUAAAGUCAGACAUGAGAAAAUCAUUUUCCUUAAAAAAGAAAUUCUUUCCUUUACAGUUUCUUAGAACCAAACCUGGCACAAAAGUCCAAAUUGGGGUUUCUCCAUGUUCCAUUUUUUAUGGCUACCUUUAUGGACCAUAUAAUAUAGAAUGUACUUCUGCAUACCUUCAAGAUCAAGCUGAACUAUAAGAAAAAGACAAGCCAUGGCCCACGGAGCAGGGAUACCAAGCUGCCUUCUCCUAGAUUAAGUUCCAAGAUUUCAGUCUUCAAACCUGCUAAAAGCUAAAGGCAUGUUUCCAGCCUGCGGCAGAUAACAUGCACUGUCCAACAAUAAAUUGCAAACACAUUCGAUGCAGUUUAUUAGUACAAUAAGAUUAAAUCCACCAAAUCUUUUACAGUUCAACCAACACUUGAACUAGUAGCUAGCUUCACUACUGGGUAAUAAUAUAUAAACCAAACUCUUGAUAGGAACCAACCUAUCGCAGAUCGAACUUCUUACAUCCACCAUGAAUUACUGAACCAAAAGAAGAAUCGAAGAGACUGCCAAGGAGGAAAGCCUUCCUAUAACUAGAUAUUUAUAUUCCAAAUUAGGGAGAGCACCCACUGCCCAGGCCUCGCCCAGCAUAAACAGAUAGUAUACAUAUACAUGCAAAAAGCUCCAACCUUCAAGAUUUUAACUAUUAACUUAACACAAUUAAAAAUGUAUCCAAAAAGCAAAUCCCCUUGAACUCCUGAAGCAAUUACUCCAACCAAAUAAAGAUUUUAAGAGUUCCAUGUUCAUAUCCUGCAAGGAAAUCAUUCAAUGUUCAGACCUCUAAUUUCUGUCUUUCUAAAUGCCCAGCCAAAAGGCAUAAAGUAUCAUCCAAAUUGGAUGCACAGCAUAUGUUCUUAAAUCAUGGGAUUUCACCAUAAGUUACUACACUCUAACAGGGCCCAGAAAUUGACCUCCAGAUAUGCCUAUCAAAAAAUUAUCCCCACAUACAUUUUUCUGCUGAAAAGACAAUAUUGUUACAUUUGACAUUCAACCACUACUUGAACUCAACAACCAGGGAAAAGAAUAUAGUAUUUCUACCAAUGAGGAUGAGAGGGGCUGGUGAAUUAACAGGUAAAAGUUUGUUUUGGGUUCAUUGUUUGCAUAAUAAUGUAAAAAUGGAGUAGUAUAUUAUAAAUUAAUGUAAAAAUGGAUUAGCAUAACAUAAAUUGCCAUAAGAGAACCACAAACUACAAAGAAACUUAUUUUCCAAACAAGGAAAAUUAUUCAUAGCCAUUAUUACAUAAGAAAGGAAAUUGAUAAAAUUAUUAUCCAGUUCCCCAUCAGGAAAUAUGAAAGUACUCCUAAAAGCCUCAAUUCUAACCAGAAAACCAUAGAAAUGUAUUAGAAAUAUUGUACAGGGUUCUCUCCAAUAUUAGCUUCAGUUGCUAAGGAGAUCAGAACCUUGAAAGUAAGUCACAAAGGUCGUGUGGGUUUCCCAGAGUCUUCAACAACCAGUAUUCACAUAUGUACACAUUAAAAUUAAAUAAAGCAGGUAUCAAUUCCACAGGCUUUAAGAUUUGAAUUGCUUCUCCCUGGAAUCAUACACCACUCAUAUUGUCACUGACUUUCAAUUACUUCUCCCUGCGAUCAUAUGCCACUCAUAUUGUCACUGCCUUAGGGAACAAAGUGAAAAUCUGCAAUUUCAAUUAAUUCCAACAUAAAAAUAAAAAUCAAUCCUCAAAAAAUGGAUUGCCAGGAGGUAAAUAUAAUAGAAGACGAACAACUCUCACAACCAAGUUAAAGAAACCAGCCGCUAGGUACCUUUGAGUUCUAUACUACCAGGAACAAAUUGGAUGAGAUUAUUUAAAGGCUAUUCCACAGUGGAAAUUCAUUCGUUCAAAAAACAUUUGUCAUGCAUAUAGGCAAUCUAUCCUAUGCAUUCAUACAUCAUGGUCUCAUGCAAUCUUAAUAAAAGUGGUCCUGGAAAAAGAGAGAAAAAAGUAAUUACAAGCCUGUGCGACCAGAUUUCUUUUGUUUUUUUUUUUUUUUUCCUUUGCCAAACAACCAUGUUCAUAGUUUCAGAAGUUCAUUCUGUCUUUAAGAGACCAUGGCAGUGACUUGGCCAUUCAGCUAAGANNNNNNNNNNNNNNNNNNNNNNNNNNNNNNNNNNNNNNNNNNNNNNNNNNNNNNNNNNNNNNNNNNNNNNNNNNNNNNNNNNNNNNNNNNNNNNNNNNNNUCACCAAGGACUCCUCAACCUCAAAAUAAUAGAGAAAGUCUAGGACACCAUGUCACUACUGAGGACAACCCAACACCACAACAUUUCAGUCCGUUCAAAAAGAGUAAUUGGAAUUGUUGCAAAAAAUGUUCAACUAGUCCCAACAGGAGGCAAAUUCCUCCAUUUCUUCAUCGGGUCCGGAUCCUUUGCUCAAAAAGGUAAUUUUCUUACUGCCCUAAAAGAAAAAGGGAAAAUGUGAGUCAUUGGAUUGUUGACUCAGGAGCUUUUGAUCACAUGACUAGAGUGCCACAAUUUUUCAAAAUUAUACACCUUGUUUUGGGGAUGAUACAAUUCGUAUGGCUGAUGGUUCUCUCUCAAAGGUGACUGGUACAAGUUUUAUUGUCAUCUCUAAGGACCUAACUCUUGACUCUAUUCUUUUGGUUCCAAACUUGGAUUGCAAUCUAUUGUCCAUUAGUAAACUCACUUAUGAAAAGAACUAUGUUACUAAAUUUUUCCCAAACCAUUGUGUUUUUUAGAAUUUGAAUUCGGGGAAGACGAUUGGCAAUGUUGAAGUGUGUUUAGGACUCUAUGCCUUCAAAGUGAAUUAUUAUAUUGAAAGACAAUCUUAACCAACAGUUGGUGAAAAAUGGUGUCUUUUUGUCUUUAGUUCUAAUAAAGAUAGUGAUGUUAUGUUAUAGCACUAUUGUCUAGGACAUCCUAGUUUCUUAUAUCUCAAAAAACUCUUUCCAUGGUUUUCAGUGUGAAAUUUGUCAACUAUCCAAGCAUCUUUGCAAGCCCUAUCCAUAGUUUUAAAAGACUUAAGGCACACCAAGACGCAAAGUCCUCUUGGAGCCUUAGGCGCAAGGCACACCUAAGGCGCGAACUUUAGUAAAGUGAGGUGCAUCCUGUUUUACAUAUAUAUUUUUAUAUAAUACAAUCAAGUGCCCGAAAAUUUUCCUCUAAUUUUCCCCUUCUUCUUCAUCCUCUUCUCUUCUUCACAUUGUUCGGGAGGCUAGGACAUUUUUUUUUUUUUACAUGUCUAAAACAAGCAUAUAUUGGGUUUUGGAAGAAGAACAAGCCAAAAUGACAUCGUUUUGGAGCCUAAUCUUUUAAAUAAAUAAAUAAAUAAAUAAAAACCAGCCAAAAAUGACACCGUUUUGGCCCCUGUUCUUUUAAAAGAACAAACCAAACAACGUCAUUUUGAUCUCAGGAAAUUAAAAAAACAAAACCCUCGUCAUUCUCCCUUUGCUACUCUACAACUCAUCGUCAAAGGGUAAAAAGAUGACCAAAAGAAGAAGAAGAAAAAAAAAAAACGACGACAGAGGAUAGAGGUGCACCUGUUGAGGGCGUUGCGCCUAGCCAAGAGGCGAGCGCCUUGCACACUUAAUCAACGCCUCUGUGAAGGGGCGGCUCCUGCAAUCAGGCGAAGCGCUGAAGGGUGAUGUCACAUCGUCUAGAGCCUAGGCGCACCUUUCACAACUAUGACCCUAUCCAACUCAACCAUACAAACCAUCUCAUCUUUUUUCCAUACAUAGUGAUGUUUGGAGGUCAUCUAAAAUAAAGAACAUAACAGGGACUAGAUGGUUGAUGAUCAUACUAGAAUUUCUUAGAUAUUUCUAAUGAAAAAAAAAUCAAAAAUUAGUCAAAUUUUCUAAAAGUGGACCAGAAUUUCUUUAUUGAAUUAAAAAGUUGAAAUUAAUAUUUUGGAAAAGUUAGGGCCGCUCAAGAGGUAGAAAUAGCGCUCGAGUGGUAGAAAUAGCGCUCGAGUGGUAGAAAUAGCCCUCAAGUGGUAGAAAUAGCGCUCAAGCGCUAGGACCGCUCAAGCACUUAACUAGCGCUUGAGCGCUCAUAUAGAAUCUGCCAGAAUAUGGAAGAAUAUUUUUUGGAUAAUCAUGAAAAUUGGAUUUGGAAACUUUAGAAUAUCAAUCUCCUUCGGCCUAGAGGUUUAUAUAAACCCUAUUAUAACCCUUUAGGGUUAAGAAAUUCACCAAGUGGUUUACCCUAACUUGUCAUACCAUUCCCGAUCUCUCAUCAAGGAAUCAAAGUGUUUAAUCUUGGGUUGUUUGAAGACCUGCAUCCCUUCAACAAGGCUAAGGUGUAUUCACUAGAACAAUUGAAAUUGUUGCAUUGCGGACAUGAAUCAAGUUGCAGGUUCUAGAGAGUAAGUCUUUAGAAUAAAGCAGACAAAGAGUUCUAUGUGACUUUAUCUCAUAUAGUGGAUUUAGCUUUGAGGUCUUAGACCUCGUGGGUUUUUAUCUCCAUAGUUAGUGUGGGGGUUUUCCACAUAAAAAUUAUUGUGUCUCUUGAUCUUAUGUUUGAUUUUAGAUAUUCUAUUUAUCCCUGAUAUCUCACAGGUUAACUUUAGGUUAAAAAUUCAACUCCCUAUUUAAUAAUUUUUAAAAUACACCCAUUCACGAGUGUUAUCCUACUGGACAUUGGUUUUUCACCAUAUAUAACACUCAUACCAAAACCCAUGCAACAUGGACUCCAACCUUAAGCUUAACUUUCUACGAAUGGAAAAAAAAAAAGACAUAACAUAAAUAGACAGAUUUAACAACAUGCUCCUAAUCAAGGUGAAUGUCCCUCUUUUUGAAAGAUAUGACCUUUUCCAUACGAGGAGCUUUCUUUAAAAUUUCACCUCUACCAAUUCCCAUGCCUUUACAAAGUUGUGGAAAGCUCCAAAGAGAAGGCCCAGACAUGUAAUGGGUAGAUUCCCUACCUUAGAACCUUACACCAAAGCUAAACCCCUAAUAUUUGUGACUUCUAUAAGAAUCAAUUCAUUUUUUUCCAUAUUUAUUUCUAAAUCAGACAUUGCCUCAAACCACAUGAAGUUAUAACUUGGAUGUUACAGAUGCUCUUAAUUAGUGUCACAAAAAAAUAGGGUAUCAUCAUCAAACAAGAAAUGUGACACUUCCAUCCCCUCCUCCUGUCUUCCUCCCACUUUGAAACUUGAGAUGUAACCCCUUUUAUCUAAUUCUCCUCAAAAUUCAAUUGAAAGCCUUCAUUGCCAAUAUGAAAAUGUAAGGGGAGAGAGGAUCUUUCUACCUCAAAUCCCUUGAGCUCUCAAAGAAACUGAAUAGGACACUAUUUACUAGAAUAGAGAAUUGAGUAGUGGAAAUGAACCAUUUGAUCCACCUCACCCACUUAUGAUCAAAGUCCAUUUUAUCCAACAUCAUUAACAAAAAGUUCCAAUUUACAUGGCCAUCGUCCUUUCCAAUGUCUAACUUGCAAAUUACCCCACUAUUGGGACUCUUUAACCUUGAAUCUAGAGCAUCAUUUAUGAUUAGAACUGCAUCUAGAAAUUGUCUGUCUUCCACAAAAGCAUGCAAAUAAACUAAAACUAUUUUACCCACCACAUUUUUUAGUCUUUUAGCCAAGACUUUUUCCAAUAGCUUGUACAAAAAAACCCCCAACUAAGCUAAUCAAUGUAAAAAAUUUUAGGUUCUCUGCUGCACCUAUAUUAGGGAUCAAGACCAAGAACAUGACAUUUAAAUUUUGCUCAAAGGAACAAUUAUCAAAAAACUCCCCAAGCUCAUUUGCCAAAAUAUUAUAAUAAAUCCAUUUGGCCCCUACAGCUUUAUCCCCACUCAAGCUAGACAAGGCAACAAGAAAUUCCUCAUCAAAGAAAGGUAACUCCAAUUUCCUAGAAUCAGCACAUAGCAUAACUUCAAAGGUCAUCCCAUUAAUGUUGAGUCUCCACUCGCCCAUAUCAGAUAGGAGAUUUUGGAAGGCCCUAAACUCCCCUUCCUUUAUAUUUGCUUCCCAAGCAACCAUUUUGCAUUCACUCAAAUUUUAAACAUGAAGUUUUUUAUUCUUUGGGCAUUGACCAUUUCAUGGAAAAUUUUGGUGUUUUUAUCCACCCCCUCUUUUAACCAAAUUUCUCUUUAUUUUUGCCCCCAUACAUAUAGAUUCUUCUAACAAGGCCCACUUGCUAAACUCAAUCACCACUAACCUUUGGCCUCAACGAUUUCAAGAGAUAAGGUAACUGCUCUCUACUUUGAGUCCCAGAAGUUGAUCCAGUUUAGCACCUCUAGGUUUUUUGUUGAGACAUUCCCAAAACCUUCUUCAUUCCAAGAUUUUAAAUCUCGUUUGACAGCCUUUAGUUUAACUUCCAAAAUAUGACCAUACAAGCCAUCCACAUUAUAACCAUCAACCAACUCCUCACAAAAUCUUUUAAGCCUUUUGUUUUAGGCUACAUAUUUUAAAAUGUAAACUGUGUUUUCCCACUCCUUAUCCUACCUCCAUCUAAAACUAUGGGGUAAUGACCAAAAAUUGGUUUAGGUAAAAUACUCUAGAUUAAAGUAGAAAAACGAUUCUACCAAUCAUCUGACACUAGGAAAUGGCCAAGCUAGCCUUGAAGAAGACAAAAGAUUAUGAACACCACUCCAAGUGAAUAGCCCUCCAACUAGCGAAAGAUCCCAAGGUCAAGUCCUCUAUGUCCUCUGAAAAGAACCUCAUAUCAAACAACAUUCUAAGGCAAUUCCUCCUUUUCAUGGGGAACUUGACCAUAUUAAAAUCCCCUCUGAAGCACUAGAGGUCAUCCCAAAGGCCUCUUAUGGCACCCAACUCUACCCAGAAAUCCACUCUUUCUCCCCUUUAAACCAACCCAUAAACUCUUACGUAUACCUAGACAAAGCUAUCUUCACAAUUCAUAGACAAGCAAUAGAGAAUGCUUCCACCUCCUUACCAAUUAACUCUAAUACCCUACUAUCUUGGAAAACCAAAAUGCCUACUAUCAAGCUUCUAACUUCCAAUACCAUUUCAAAAAUUUUCCUACUCCUAAACUCCUUACCAGUUGAACGAACAUCUAUCGAACCUUGGUUUCUUGUUAACAAACUAGAUCAACCCCUUGAGACCUUAUCAAUGACUUUAUUAUCAUAUACUUUUCCUCAUCAUUUGCUCAUUUGACAUUCCAAGACAGGAUUUUUAGCUUCAUCAUGCAACCUAUGUUGGAUCCUAACUGCUACUCUUGGAGCCCUUUUCCUUUUUGUUGAGCUUUUAUAAUUGACUAAGCAUCCCAACUUGUUGAGGUCCCUCUCAAACCAAGAUAUCGAGGUUAACUUCCUCUUCACCUCCAACGAAAAAACAGAAACCCCUCUCCUUAGCCUGCCACACAAGGGAAAAGAUCUCUUUUUCAAAUCCAUCAACUGGCAUUCUUGAGAAACUAUUGAAAUUUGCCAACUUACAAGAUAUACAAUUGGAGGAGUGCUUCUCUACCAAACAACUACUAAAAUUCACCUCAAAGGUGACCUUUUCCCCUGAUCUCUCCCCGGCCUCCAUACCCACUGACCCUUUCACAAAAUUUUCUAGAAUUUCCACUAUCAAGCCGUUACGGAGAACCAUCCUCAACAAACUCCUUUGACUAAUGUGAAAAACCCCACCCAAGAGCAUCUUCCAGAAGUUAACUUACAAGAUUAACUAUAAUCUUGUGAAGACUCGUUACCUAAUGGGUAAAAAAUUUGAAAUUCUAUUAGUAUAAUUCUUUUUAGGCACAAAAGCUGUGAAAAUAGCAUUGGUGCUCUAAUUAAUAACCCCAUAAUUAUUAAGCAAUAAAACAACUUUUAAUAAAUUCUCUUUCACCACAUCCCACCAAUCCUAAUGCAAAAAAGCUAGGAAAAAGUCAUCAUUGCUCUAAGCAUUUCUCCUCACUAGUUGAAAGACUGCUUUAUGAACUUCCUCUUCGACAAAAGGACAAUCCAACCAAUUAGCACCAUUUUCCAAAAUGAGAGACCAACCCCCACUCUUCUAUCCUCUAAGGAUCUUCAUAUAACCAUUAAUGCCUUUCUAUACCAGCUAGUAUAUAUCGGGUUUUGGGCAAGUCCUAUAAAUUGGUUUGAGUAAGAUUUUUAAUUACCCUGUUCUUUCUUUUUAGUUGAUAAAUAUGCAUAUAUGUAGUAAUUCAUACAUCAGAAAAGAUUUUGCUAAAACAAAAGAAUUGACAUGCAGAUAGUGACUUCUUGAUAAGAGUAAUAGCUUAAGGGAGGAAAAUGAACUCCUCCAGUGGCCCCAAAGUGGUAAGUUCCUUCAGAUCCCAUGUUGCUAUUCUGCAUUUCUUUGUGUUUUGGCAUCAGCCCUCUUAAUUAAUUCACUAUCCAGCUUCUCAAAUUCCUCGGAUUCUUCCCUUGUUCUUGUGGAAACAUCUGCAUCUUGUCCUUGCAUUGUUAUGGAUUGGUGAUUAUCAUUCUUUGAGAACUGUGUGGCAGCUGCUCGUGCACCAGCUAUGGCUGCAAGGAGACCUUCUGGUUUCUUGUCUUCAGCAGCUUUGGAGCCAUCAAAGCAAGAAACAAGUAAUCCUGGUUUCAAAGAGAGGGGAUCUUGUGGUUCUGGAAGCAGAAACUUGACAGGUAGUGGAGCUUGAACAGGACGAAGACCCCUAACUGCUGCCUCAUAUAUCUGCAACAAUUUCAGGGGGGAUAAGUAAUUAAAAAUCAGUCACUCUAUUGCAUUAGUUAGACUUGCUUUCAAUGCGAUAGCAAAGAAAGAAUCAUCAAUGAAAAAAGAAAAAAUAAAUGAAAAAGAACAAAAAGGAGAGGGAAAAAAAAAUGAUGGGUGCUCAAUUUGUACUUUUCUUUCCAGGUUAUAAAUACGUUGGUACCCGCGCAUCUCAAAUGGUAUGAUUAAUUUCUGCAUCAGGUCAGGAGAACUAAGUCCAUCAAUAUACUAAAAAGCAAAUAUACCAAAAGGCAAGCAAAAAUGUUUAACCAUCUUGAGUGUCAAACUCUCCAAGAAACUAUAUACUUUUAGCUGAAUGAAAACACAUGCCUGUGGUUGCUCACAGAGCCAGCAAAACUCUGUUUGCGCUUCUAGCCUUACCUACAAAUAGAGUUUAGGUUAUCCAACCAAAAUGGAGAUACAUCACACAAAACAAACUGUACCUAAUCAGUUUACGAAGGGGACGGGGGGAAGCAAAAAGCAAAAGUAAAUUUCUAAGAUGCCCACCCCUUCAGGUACCUCCUUCCAGCACGCCAGCUCUUCACAUUUAACACAACCAACUACUUCAAUACAACCUGUGGCAAGAAUAGAGUUUGUUGGAUUUAUUGUAGCAUGCCAUACAGAAAAAUUUAGCAUUUCAGUAAGAAUAAGAAUAAGAGAGCUACUUUCCACUAAAAUACGAAUCACCCAUCAACUGUUGCAAACAGACAACAAUGUGAAUAACAGGUUUUAUAUAUAUAUAUAUAGAGAGAGAGAGAGAGAGAGAGAGAGAGAGAGAUAGAUAGAUAUAGAGAGAGAGAGAGAGUCAAAUAAUAAUAAAGGACAAAAAUAUUUCUUUGAGAAAGACUAAUUAGAAAGAAGAAACAAAGAACCCACAUGAAAUCAAUUUAGAUAAGAGAAAUACCUUUAAGAAUCUAGUUCUUUUUGCAAAUUGCAACUUAGAAUUGGAAUGCCACAUAUUAUUAUAAGGUAUCACAAGAGAUUAUUGCUUCAUUUUUUUUCUUUGCCAGAUCAGUUUUAAUAAAUAUAAAUAUAAAAAUAUAAGCAUGUACACACACACACGCAAACACAUUAUGUGUGUAUGUUUAUGGAUAUGUAGAUAUAGGUUUUUAAUAAUAGAGCAUGAAAACAUAUCUAGUCAGAAAUUCCAAAAAUCCAAAACCAUUAGCAACACCUAACAGUCUUGAAACUGGGUAAUGUUCUGGAAACUUGAGGUCUGCUAUCCCAUUCACAGCAUAGAUCUCCCUGUAGAAAUUCUCCAUUGCUUUGAUUGUGUCUGAAUCUGGGACCUUACUAGCAGCAUGAAUCCAGAGUCGGCCUUCAUAAAACAAAACAUGUAUAUUAAGAAAUAUCCUUGUAGAACAGUAACAUUUUUGCCAGCAUGCAAUUCGUGUUAAUAAUCCUUGGUUCUCACCACUCAUUGUACAUUACAAUGUAAAGACCUAAUAAGCCCUAAUAUAGGUAGGUGUCUGUGCAGAGAGAGAGAGAGAGAGAGGGGAGGGGGGUGAAAGGAAAGAUGAUUAUAGAACAAAUACAAGUUGAAUCUCCUGAAAUAAUGUCCAUCAAGUUAUUUCCUAGCAACAAGUACUGAUUAUGCUUUUCCUGAUAACAUGAUUUUCUUUGCUAACAACCAUACUAUAUUUUAUCAAGAAAGAGUAGUGCAUGUGGCGUGCAUCAAGACCCAUUAGAGUUCCGCUAAACCUAUAGUUCUGUCAACGUUAUCAUUUACGUUUCCUCUAGAUAAUGGCAUUUUCCUCUAAAACUCUUGCACCAUUAGGCUUCAAGUCAAAAUUUCACAUGUGAACUUUGGAAAUUUUCUCCAUUUGCCCCUAAGGAUACAGUUAGAAUUGACUUAAAAUCCUGAUUGAUGUAUACUUUUAACCGAAGAAUAUUGUAUAUAAUAAUUGAAAUAUUGUUGAUUCAUCGUGGAAAUACAUUUUGUAAGGAAAGUUGUUAAGAAUUUAGUAUGCUAUAUGGAGAAAAAAGUCAUGACUUAAGGUUGAGUAUGUAUAUUCUAUAUCAAAUAUUAGGUAGGAAUGUGGAAAAGAGCAGAGUGUAAUUAUAAGAAACAAAGAAAUAUAAGAUAUUCUUGAAAGUGGAAAAUGUAAAAUGGCUAAAAGUCAAAUUUAUGAUGCAUAAGGGGGAUCAUGUCACAUAAGAAACUCAUGGCAUACCAAAUACGUGUGGUAUGGAGUAACAAUUUUGUUAAAAUAAGUUUCUCGUUGGAGUACAUUAGGUGACAAUUUUUUAAUAUCAAAUUAAAGAGUCAAGUGCAUCAAUGAAGUCAUAUGUAGAAAAUUUGUUUGUGACAUGUACCAUAAAGAUAAGAUUGACUUGAUAUAAUUUAGUCCAGGUAGGAGUUGUUAAAGGUGUCUCAAAUUUCUAAUUGAUAUAUAUUUUUUUCUAAAAAAAUAUUAUAUAGAUAUUUCAAUAAAUGAUUAAUUCUUUGUAAAAAUACUUACAUAAUAAAAAACAUCAUUAGAAAUAUCUCUAUAAAUAUUUUAAAUCACAAAAAGAAAAAAAAAAUCACUAUGAGAUAAUUAUAAACAUGCAACAUUGUACCAAGUAAACAGAAAUGUGAUAAAAAAAUUUUGAGAAACACUAAAUAAAGGAAGGGCUUGUAUAUCAAGAUGUAAAUAUAGAGAGCAAUAUUUUUAAUCAUAUGAUAGAAUUAUUUUCUCUCAUUCAUGAUUAUAAGCAAAAUUGGGAACCAUUAUAAAAUCUUGUACACCUCGUGUAAAUUGAUGUUUGUCUUCAUAUUUUACACCAACAAAUGACAUUGAAGUUGUCAUUGAUAAAAGGGAAAAGGCAUGGCCUCCACACCAUGUGCUUGAAUCGUAUGGUUCAAGUUUAAAGAAUUUUCUCCAUAAUUUGAAGAUCUAAAACAUUUUCACCUUUAAAUUUCAUUUAAUUAUUAAUAUCUACAAAAAAUAGUUAAAUACUCUUUCUAUUUUUGAGUUGUUGAAUUUUUUGAAAGUUUUUAUAUUUGUUAUCAAGAAUUUAUAUUUUAUUAAGUGUGAAUAUUUAUAAAUAAGAUAUUAUAUAAUAUUUGGAUAAGAGAGAAUGGUGGAAUAUAAUAAAGUUUUAAUCCUUCCCAAUUUUUAUCUUUUUUUUUUUUUUUUUUUAUAAUCGCCUUUCUCUUUCAAUCCUAUUAUCAGGUACCUUAUAUUUGCUGAUGCUAUCUGGAACUAAAUUCCAAUCAGACAUUGUCCAAUUACUAAUAGGACAGAUCAUGUCUCUCUGUUUCUAAACUAACAUGUAUCGUAAUGUGGCCUCAUAAGGAAGGCUAGGAAGAUGGAGGAUUUUGUGGGAAGCGACCAGAAUCAGAUGGAAGAGAGAUAGCCCUGUUGACCUAAUGGCUGUAAUAGGAGAAGCGUGUGGAUUUAUGGGACUUAACUGAUACUAAACCUAUAUGAUGCUUGGAGUGGUGUUUCUUUCAUUUUGUUAAGAAAAUAUGGCAGCAUACAUCCUUUCAAUUGAGUGCAUCAGAGCAUCCAUAAUAGAUGGUCUGCAACCCUAGGUGCAUGCCACUUUCUGACUGAUAAUGAAACUGUCAGGUACUUGGCCUUGACUAAGCUCAACAGCAUCACAUAAAAAGAAGCUUUCAUACUUAGAUUACUGUUUAAAGCUUUUGCUUAUUUGCUUUCUUAAUGCCAUUAUGACAUUAUUGUUUCAAUUCUGCUACCGAUUUUCGAAGUUCUGGGCAUCUACUGAUUGCAUCAUUAUAUGAGAAGUUGCAUGAGUUUAUGUAUCCUGUUAUUGCUCCUUUGCGAUUUCACUGCUCACGGGACUAACCUCUCCAUUCAGUCGAAAUGAAUUGUAAUUUCUUUACUGGUAGCAGUAGUACUUUUCAUAGCAAAGAUAAUAGUAAAUAUGAAAUAUAAAUAGAAGGAAAUCUGAAUUGUAGAUGGCACUAUAAGUAACACUCAAUAUUCACUACAUAAUAAAAUAGACAGUGUUACAAAGGUAGAGAAACCUACAAUGAGUACUCAUCACCAUUCUCAAACAGAAACAUAGCAGCGACUUAUACAUAGAACCUAUAGGCUUGCAGGGAAAGAAGGGAAAGAGUAACAUGAUAAGUUCACAGCGGGUAGCAGCUCUUAUUUUACGUAUUACUCAAAAUCUCAAACUAACCAAAGUCACUCAGUUGGGAUGGGUAGGAGAUGGUGGUUUGUGGGGUGGCUUCUGGGUAGGAGCUGGUGGCUUCUUUGUUGGAGUUGAAGGAGGCGUAAUCUUCUGAGGUGGCUUGUAUGAGUCUUCGGCACUCUCUGCAGGAGGGUGCCCAGGGUUGUGACCGGAAGGAGGUGGCUUCUGUCCCUUUGGUGGUUUGCCUAAUGGGCUUGGUGGCUUGUGCUCCGGGAGUUGUUUCUCUCCCUCGAGUAGGUUUCGAGUUUUGUCAGAUGGCUUGUGUUCUGGUGGUGGCUUCUCUCCCUGGGGUGGUUUGCCGAAUGGGCUUGGUGGCUUGUGUUCGGGGAGUGGCUUCUCUCCCUGGAGAAGGUUACGAGUUUUGUCAGAUGGCUUUUGUUCUGGUGGUGGCUUCUCUCCCUGGGGUGGUUUGCCAAAUGGG
rnacentral:lncRNA from 1 species